rnacentral:lncRNA from 1 species
GCUCAUGGGAUGACUCUGGUAAUCUACUUCUAAUUCAUUAUGCAAUUACUAAUUAUCGAUGUUCUGGUUCACAACUCUUUUGAGUAAUCUAAUCUAUAGAACGCUAUAGGUGAGAGUUGUAGUAUAGGUGUAAGCGUGGUGCUUAGACCUAGAUUACUUGUGGAUAUCCCCUGUCUAGCUGGAUCGUGUGGUAGGCCGUGUAGGUGACAGUUACGUUGGUCCUCUGUAGUCCACCUCUCGUUAGCAGGACGGGUAGGGUUUAUCGGCCUAAGGAUAAGCAUCCUUUGUGGUGUACUCUUAUCACGUGGUUCGUCUCAGACAUAGACAUACCCCAUUGAAGUAUAGAAACCAUAGUUAUACUCUCUAUUCUGCUACCAUCGCCCAUAUACUAGAAUUGCUCUACUCUCUAUUCCCAUAUUAUCACUCACUGUUAUCUUACCUUUAGUAUUGUUCUUAUUCGAUUCUACCAUCUUUCCUAUUUACACUUAUUUACUUAUCUUGGUUAAGUUAGAACGUAGAUCAGUUCUCCCGUUUCCCUGUGGAUACGAUAAAACCUUUAAUCGGGUAAAAGCUUCAACGGUAUCCGUGCGCUUGCGGAUUAUCUGUGUGCAUAUAAAUACCAUAGUACACUCUAGUGCCAUGCUAGGGAUGACAACCUAGUAUUCAAGUGUUGUUAGCAAGUGUCAACAUUUAUGUGUUCCUAGAGAUGCUAGAAUUCUGGAGAAUUUUAUCUUUGAAAAUCUUUAAAAUGUUGCAUGAUGAGUUCCUGUAUGAUGAGAGUUUAAAUUCCUACCACAACCAUAUAUACAUGCUUGCUAGACUUUGAGCCACACAUUUACUUUUUACUCCUUAUGAGCAUUGAGUGUGGUCAAGCUGUUUAGACCUUUAGGAGUUUGUCAUGUGGUUAAAUCAAGAUUCACUUGCACGUUCACUCACACAUGCUGCUUCUACUCCGGAAGUUUGCAUCCUCAUAUAUCCACCCAUUUCUAUCUCCAGAACCACCCAAAAAUAUUCUACUCCUAAUCUGGGAGAGAAUAGCCAAAAAUAUUUCUAUUUUUCCCUGUGAAAUAAAUGCUCAAGUUAUCUUGGUUACUACCACUUGCUAUAUUAUUUCGAAAGAUGAGUGCUCUAAUUUGAAAAAGAGAGAAAAAAAGAGAGAUACAAGGAAAUAAAAAGGGGCAAGUGCCCAGAACCUCGAAGAAAAGAAAAAGUGAGAUGAGAGGUAAAAAUGGACAAGUGUCCGACAGUAGAAUUAGGGGUACAAGAUACCCACCUGAGAGAAAAGAAAAAAAAAGAAAAUAUAGAGCAACUCAUUCCUCUCAAAAAGCUUCAAAGUGCAAGAAAGGUAUGUAUCCCCUCAAAAGAGCAUAAGUAGAAUUAGACCUUCACCAUUGUUAUCACCAUCAUCACCAUACACCAUUCAUUCGCCACACAUGCACAUCUUGAUUUGACUUAUUGACUUGUUCUUCUGGAUCCAUGGUUUGACUAUGCAAUAAAUGUCUUGCAAGUAUGUAUUAGCUGUCUCCUACCUAUGAGCUCCAGAUAUCAAAACCUUAUUAGAGUAGGGUGAGAGAGAAGGCAAUGUCACUAUGCCUUAUACCACAAAUACCACAUACUUUGAGAGAAGGCAUAUACCAUUACUGCCUUGGUAAGGAUCCAGAAAUACCACAAAAGAGAGACUAGAGAGAGUCAUACAAGGAAUCUCUUAGUUUUAUUUGAAAAUCUGCAAAAACUCCAAAGCUAUAGUUAAUCGAAGAACAAGAGACAUGACGCUUGACUAGACCGUUCUAUCUUUUAACUGCUCAAGACACAAGUGACGGUUGCAAGCCCCAUGGUGAAAGGUAAUAUGAGUAAGUUUAAAUCCUAACAGUUUACCCUAAUCCAGAGAUGAGAUCUUGUUUGAACGCAUGUGUAUCUUUAAGGUAUGAAACCACUACAGAAACUCUUGAGUCCAUCUUUGCUCAAGGUCGAGCAAAGGUUAAGCUUGGGGGAGCUUGUUGACGGUCCUUAAUUCUUACAUUUAACUGUCAACUAAUCAUAGAAAAGGAUCCAAAUGCAACCAACACCUAGACUUAGGGUUUUAUCUGACAGAAUUCCACGAGUUUUGGUGUUUGUCUAUUUCUGCAGGGGGUUAUCAGGAAAUACGGAAGAAAGGCCCACACGUCGGAUUUACAUAGAGAUAUUAACGUGCCGUGCAAUUUUCUACCAUCUAGAAGACUCCAGAAGCCACGGGAAGGAAGCGGAGGCCGAACGGGGCCAGGGACUGGGCGCCCGCCCAGUUGACCUAGGCGCCCGCCCCCUCCUAGAGUCUAAAGAGGACUCUCUUUCGGGAUCAAUCUCCACCGACCUAAAAGAUCAAGGAUAACCGUUCAAUCAAUGUCGGUUUGAUCCAACGGCCCAUAUUCACUUGAAGAGACUAUAAAACCAGACCCCCUGGCCCCUAGAGAUCAUACCUCUUCUACAGAAUCAAAGCUAGGGUUUCAAUUCUUCAUCCAAGUAAAGACGAUCCCUCUAGUUCUUCUAGUUCUACCUCUAGUUCAUCUAGUUCUAGUUCUAGUUCAUCUAGUUCUAGUUCUAGUUCCUCUAGUUCUAGUUCUAGUUAGUUCUAGUUGUAAUCUAGAAAAUAGGGAGAGAGAAGAGGAGAGCGGAGGAAGAGGAGCCGGAUCUGUCGGAUCUUCCUCAACAUUGUACUUUUGCAGCAACUGGUUCGUUCUUCAUCGUUCUCUAGGUUCUUCAAUUCAUAAUUCCUGAGUUCUUUAAUUACUUUUAUUUACAUUCAAGUUAUUUAUUGGAUUCCCGCUUGCAUCAAGUGCUCUAAUCUUUGAAACAUUAGAGUAGUAAUUAAUAGAUUAGACGUGGUGUUUAGUCUUGCAAUUACCUGGAAUUGCACCCAAUCCUAUGCAUUGUUGUGGUAGCCCUAGGGUAGUGACAGCCCUAACGGUCGAUGUAUUCCACCUCGUUCGGAUCGGUGUUUGUAGGACCGUAGUCAGAGCUUCCUAGCCCCCUUCUCAUAUCUUUCUGUGGUUAGUGUUCUGAUGUCCCGAAAUAGAUAAUCUUGAAGUAAUUCUUGAUUCUUAGAUCAACUAGAGAACUCUUAGAAAACUUCCUCUCUUCCCACCAAAAAUAAUUAUAUAGUUAUCCUUGGGUGAUCUUGAUUCUUAAUUAGUACACUCACGUUCCCUGUGGAAAAUCAAUACUUUGGAAUACUCCCGGGUGAAGGCUACAUCGGUAUUCGUGCGCUUGUGGAUUUUCUACUUGCGUUUAAAAUACCCAACAAAUUGUUAGUUAAAACCCCCUAUCUUCUAUGUGUAGUGUUCGUAUCUCGUGUUUAUUUCACCAUAAAAAGUUGACACUAUCCACUGUCAACAUAGGACAUCCAUGGGAAUUUGAUAAUGAUGCUUUAUAUCAUGGUAGUACUAAUAAAUACACUCUCAUGCAUAAGGAUAAGAAAAUUACUUUGCUGCCUUUGUCACCAUUAAAUAUUGUUAAACAUGCUAAAGAGAUUAACAAUGAACCUCCAAUAGACUUUGAUAAAAAUAAUGAGAUUAAGUUACAAGGAGGUGCUUUACUUGCUACAACUUCUGCUACUACUGAGUUAUGUGAUAAUCUAGAUGCACCAUGUUUACUAUGUUUUGUCAACCUAUUAUGUCGUGUGCAUUGCCUGUUAUCACUAACCUUUUGUAGGAGUUCGUUGAUGGAGAAGAUUCGUGGACGACUCUGAUUCUAGAAGGAGGGGAUGAUGAGAACAUCACCAAGAUGGAGUCGAGGAUGACUCCAAUUCAAGAAGGGGAGGAUGAUGAGGACAUUGCCACGCUAGACACAUCGACACCAUCGUCUUUCUCAAGUUGCAAUUUAUCUCCAACUCAGCUACCACGUCACUCUGAGAUUCAGCAGACAUAUUGUCAGUGUUUCAAUCAUAACUUCUUCAUACGACAUCAAAACAGGAUGAUCUUAGACUCUUUGGAAAGAGGACGAUGAUGCCAUCAUUUUGGAUCUGGUCCCAGCUCCAGAUAGUUCGUGGAUUGAUCUAUAUGACCCUAACAAGGUGCUGCAUCACCUAUUUUUGGGCCAACUUGGCCAUGUAUCGUGUCGGGACUUAAGCCCAAGUUGUGGGUGCCUCUCCUUGGUCGCCUCCAACCCUAGGACGCCUCUCUUUUAUAUUCUAUGCAGCCGCUGCUGCUUAGAGUUAGGUUUUGUUUAGAGAUUAGUUUUCCAUCGAGAAACUGAAUUGUUCAUUGUAACUAUGGUGACAAAUCCUUUUACAGUGAUCCAAGGCCCCCGUUCUUGAUGUCCUCCACUGUGUUGAUUAGUCCUUUGGAACUGAGUUCUCGAUCCCUCCAUUGAUAUUUGCUUCAUUCAUAUUUGCAAUUUCAGAUUGCGUGUUUAUACCUUCUUGCUUGUGUUCCUCGAUUCGCUUGUAGGAACAGCCUUCUUGGUGAGGUCAAUCAAGUUGUGCUCGGUUGAUAACCAAUGGAGCAGUGGUGUAAUGGAAGGAUUCAAAUCAUGUCUGAUUUAAAGCCGGAUCGCCAACGUCGAGAUCUCCACAAAUCGAACUUACCCGUUACCUCUCGGAAGAUCGGGCCUCGUCCUCAUCAGCAGGUAGCACAGUGGGCACCAUCCCCUACCACAGCAUGGGUGAAGAUGUGCCCUAUGUCCCAUCUGCGAUGUAGAUAUCAUGCACAAAAAGCCUAGGAACAAGUCAUCCGAGCCGAGGCUUAGGCUCGGGCGAGGCAUAGAUUUUGUCCGAGGCUAGGGCCUGGGCGAGGCGUAGAUUUCGUCUGGGGCCAGGGCUCGGGCAAGGCGGAGUAUCGUCUAAUGCCAAGGCUCUGGUGAGUCGUCGGUGACACGUUGCCCUACUAGAUUUGUUUGUUGGGCCAAGAAAGAAUAGUCUCGUCCCAACCUGAUGAUGUCCCAUGAAGCUUUUCGGGUUUUUGAGCGUUAAGCUUUGGCUUUUUUAUUCCCUUAGUUAGGGUACCCUGGUUUAUGGUACCCGACACCAGGUUUGGAGCAAAAAUAUUGAAGGAGUAACAAAUGCAAGGUUUGUCCAACCAAUCAUUAUGCAACAUUGAAUUACUUUUAACCAAUCUUGAUUUUUGUAAAAUUCAAGCUUGGGGAUAUACUUCCAUACAUAUAUCUUUUUCCAUGUUGCUAUACUGUCCUAGUUGCCUCUAGCUUUAAGACAUGCCCAAUUUGCUAAACACUUGUCAUGCUGUAUCAUCACUAUUGAGUAAAUCUCUAUAAUGCUCUCAUGCUACCUUUGUUUGCUAUAGUAUAUGUUUAGGUUUGGAGUAGUUUCAUACAUCUCUUAAAUAAAGCAUGGUGCCUAGUUUAGAAGUGGUGAUCUUACAUUCAAAGGCUUUUUAAAUUAAGCAUGGUGCUUAGGUUAAAAUGCCCUCUCAAAUCAAAUUAGACGUGGUGUCUAGGUUCAUUUUUGAGCCAAUAGUAUGUUGUAGUAGAUGUUGGAUAUUUUGUUAGAGUAACCCCUACAAGAAAACUUUUACACCAAAUUGGGAACGUCCUGAGACGAACUGACACUGGAGAUGAAGAGGGACACAAUAAUUUUGCAUAAGGGAGACACAACUCACUCCUAGCCAAGAAGAAAGAAGGGUGCCAUAAAACAUGAUCCACAAUCAAAACACUCACUCCAUGGAGUUGCAUUCUCUUGUCAACCACUAAAUAUCAGGAAUCAAGAAAAGGUUGACAAGAGAAGAGAAUGCAAUGUUCUGCACCCUCACCUCUGAGAUUGGGAAGCUAAGAAAUGAGGAAGAAAGGUCAACUCCUCUAGAUGAUCCAACCAAGUUCUUCCUCAUCUCAUGCUCCCAUCGCUCUACACGUGUCACACCCCAAAAUUUCUGAGUUUGGGUUGUGCAUAGAAAACACUAAACAAAUAAAAUAAAUUUAAUAUUUGCAUAGGAUUUGCUAAGUUUAGUUUGAGUUAGUGCAAAUUUAGUUAUAGGAAAAUGUGAAUUUUUAAAUUGAUCUGAAUUAACUUGAUGGGAUUUGUUGAUGUGAUGUGAUGCUUAUUUGUUGUUUGACUUUGCUUGGUAAGUGGGUACAGUAUUAGAGCGCGCUUAUUAAGUCAUUAAUCUAUAUCCGGCGUGUCCCUAUCUUUUUCUAUAAUUAAGUUUAUUCUUUUUUGAUCUUAAUCUUUUCAUUUGAAGUUUUUCCAUAUCUUCAUAUUCUACUCUAAAUCAUUCCUUUAAGUACAUAUUCCAUCAACCGACCUAUUAAAACUUAUCAGAAAUUAUUUCAGCAUUUUCUUGGAAUUUAUUUCCACUUGAAUCUAAAUAUAAUCUAUUUUUGAGAUACUCCUAGAUAUCUUUUUAUGAGCUCUAAAUACUUUAUUUGGGUUUCUCAUGUUUUAAAAUACCUCUAAGAAUUUUCUCAUAAUUUUUGGAGCCUUCGGGGUAUUUUUCGGAAUUUAAAUAUCAAAUUUUGGACUUUCUGGAAUUAUUUUUAUUCACAAAAUUAAUUAAAUUCGAAAAUAAUAAAAUAUUCAAUUUUUUCAUAACAUCAAACUCUAACAAUAUAUAUAUACCGUUUUGUGAGCCGCCACCAAACCAAGCCCCUAGGCCGAGCGCCCCACGCUCUGUCUCGCCUCACGUGAAGAUGUGUCCUUCCCCCGUUUCGCCCACGGUGGUUUGGUCCGCCGGCGCCUCUGCUGGUGCCGCCCAGGCAUGUGCCCAGCUUGGCCACACAGGCCUAGCGUGCCGCUCCGGCCGCUGCUGGUGCAGGGCCCAGCGCUACGGUGCUCUUACCGGCUUGCCAAGGUCCAGGCCGAGACCCCCCACGAGCUCAGCUGCAAUUUUCGAUGGCCAUCCUGUACCUACAGACAUCCAAGGUAGAAGAAGACAUAUUUAUGAUUUUGUCACUGCUCGUUUAAUCCGCCGUUUAUUCGUUUUAACUUCGGUUUGAGACAUUCCAGUUGCGUUCGUUGGUCAUAUUCUACGCAGUAGUGGUAACGGUCAUUAUGUCAGUCAAUUAUGAACUUAUUUUUUUUAAAUACAUUUCGAUUUAUAUUUAUUUAAUAGCGUUCUAAUUAAAAGCAACAUAGGUUUAUAAUUCUGGUUUUGUUGCGGCGCGAUUGUGCAGGCGUAAAGCUACGUAUUAUUAACAAUGUUUGUUAUGUUAUGAGUUUACGAAUUUAUAAUUUGAUUUAUGUUUAUAUAGUGUCUUCUUAAAUUAAAAGUGACUUAGGUUUAUAAUUUUAAUCUUUAUAAAUAAAUAAAUAAGUGUGAACGUAAUUAAUAAAAAAACAUAAAUGUUUAUUAUUUAGUUGUUUAGUUAAAUAUAAAAUGUGUAACUGAUAUGAUUAAUAUUUAUCUUCUGUCUUUUAAUUUAUCAAGAGCAACUUAAGUCUAGUAUUUCGUAAAUAAAUAUUAAUAUGGUUAAUAUCAAUAGAAAAAAACUUUAGUUAUGACCAGCUAAAUUUAAUCUUGAAUUAUAAAUGUUCUCAUUUAGCUUUUAUUCAUGUUCUAGGUUUUCUAAACUAUAAAUAUUUAUAUGGCUUAAAUGAUAUAUAAUUACAAUAUAAUUAAGUUUUGAUUAAUUUCACUUUAGAAUGUUUCUCUAAAAUAUCCAUCAAUUUGUUUUCCUAAAAUAAAAUAAAUACACUCUGUAGUCUUUCAUCUCUUUUUGUACCUAGUCACGAUAUUUGCAUCUUUUUUACUGAUAGUUCCGUUAUGAGCGUUUUUUGAGACCUUGUAGCAUUAGCUAUCUAAUCGUAUGCUCUUUUAUAUUUUAUGGUGUAUUAUUCUUAGUUGUUUCUAUCUGUUGCUUGUGUGUUUGUCUAUGUGUGGUGCUUGAUUCGAGUAGACGAGAAUUGUUUGUGGAUGCUGAAGAUCAGAAGGUGAUGACUAAAAGCUGAUGGUGUGAAAAAUAAGCAAGUGUUCAAGGCAAGAAUAAUUUCGGACCAUCCUUGUUACCUACACACUUAUAAUUAUACAUAUAUCAUAUGCAUGUGUCCACCUUGACAACCUUAGCAAGAUCAUAGAUGUUUGUUAUCUUGAAUUCCUUGAUAUACCUAUUUGGAUAUGCAUUUGGGUAGUUCUUGCUAGUGCUUGAUUAUUAAUCUAUGAUCUUGUAACAUGAAUAUUUGAAUAUACAAUAAACAAUAAAAUAAGCUUUCUAGCAACUUAAACAUAAAGGGUGGAAAGAACUCUAGCUUUUGCUGGAUUGAUCUUGACCCUCCAUAAGGACUUAUCCCUUAGCAAAAGCUGGGACAACUCGUACAACCAUCAGUGCUAUAUGUCUCUGGCUUUAGCUCAGUAUGAGGACCUUUUUCUAGCUUGUUAGCGGUUACAUUAAAUGGCGUAAGAAUGGCUAGACACGUUGGGUAUAGUGCGGCCUCUAUCCGUGUGUAUAGGCUGCGUGUUAUGUGCCAUGGAAGGGGGCUCUAAAUCUACCUGCCGAGUGAAUCUAAUGGUCCUAACUUGUUAGACGAAACUUUUGAAAGGCUUCAUAGUGAACCCUGCCGACCUCCCUUGGAAGGGGGUUAAGAGAUUAGCUACCUCGGGCGAAAGGGUAAAUCAUGACUCAUGGGUAAAGAUGUACAACCCCUGCAGAGUGUUAAAUCUGGUAUACAAGCCGUGCCCACGGAUACGGGCGUCCCGGAAAACUGACAGAAUAGAUGGACACUGAUGAACAUGAUUAAUGAUAAUAAAUGAUGGUUUAUUAUGUUGUUUAUAUGUGUUAUUCUUAAUUCUUGUAUACAUUGAUCAUGUGGUUAUGGGAUUUAAUUUUGCUACCUUGACAUUUGCUAUCUAAAUAUGAACAUGAUAUAUACAUAUAAAAGCUAAAUGCAGUUAAACCAGUGUCAGCUAAUUGAGCCUCAUGAACCUCUGGUUAUAAUUGUUGAGUACGAUAUGUGCUCACUCUUGCUAUUUCCCACCACUCCAGUCUACUAGAAAGAGAUGAUUAGAAGGAUGGUGGAGUCACGAAGGACGUUCUCAGAAUACAAGAAGUGCUAGGCAUAUGUUACCCCCAAUCAAUUGUCCCUGUGAAGAUUGAGCCUAAAGAUUAGUUAUUAUUCCGCGAUACUCUAAUGUAAGUGUUUAAUAUAACCAUGUUUCCGUUAUAUAACGCUGUUUCUGAUAUUGUUCCUUUUUGUUGUUGUAUGUGUGGAGUUCCUGGGCACACAUAUAGCUAACCUAGUUUUGUUCUUUAAAACCCGGUGUGACAGAGUGGUAUCAGAGCAAUGUUGACUGUAGGACGUAUGCCUAGUUAGCACUGGUCGAUUAGAAGAGUCUAAUUUACUAUAAAACUAAUUUUCCACCUCCGUGACCAUUGAUUUGACUAUUUCUUGUCCUUGUCAUAUUGUUUCUCCUCCUUGAAUAGCUUCUUUUGAGCUAUUUCUGUUUAUCACUUUGGCCUUUAUUUACUUGUUUUACUUUACUUUUCAAAACUUUCUUUAUACAAAAUUCGAUGGCCUUUCAUCAUCUCUAACAUGCCCUUUAGGAUGACCGCCAUUAUUGAAGAAACACGUAUAGAAUCGAUGAUGUGUUGUGUGCUUGUCUUGUUUGUGUGAUUGCCUCUGUGUUGUCUCUAUCUUGUGUUACAAAGGAGAUUUGGAAGGUACCGUUUUGAGAAGUAGCUCGUUCUUGUUAAGUGGGGUAACGUUCGCUACCGUCAUCUAUCUCAAGAUUCAAGACAUAAAAAUCUAAUGAUCAAUUUUAUUCUUCUUGUAUAUCUCUUUCUUGUACAUCAAACUUUAUCUUUUCUAUCAUCAAUCUUUGUGUUUCUUGUGAUCGAUCAUUAUUUUUGAAGCUAACCUUGUCAGUCUACAGUUAUUUUUAUCAACUCUCAUUAUAUAGCUCAAAAUAACGUUGAAGAACUUAUCAAUCCUUGCUAAUUUUAAUCUUAUAUCAUAAAUCUCAUAAUCUUGAAUUAAGGAAUUCUGAGCACUAUAAGAUGUAUCCUUAUCUUUUAUAUUAUCUCUUGUUGAUCUUCAGUCGACUUUAAACCUCAUAAUGUGAAGAUCCGUGAUCAACUUUUAUCUUUUUUUAACCUUCCUUGAUCUUUCUUUUCUACCUAUGCUAAUCUUCAAUCCUUUGAUCUCAUGUCAUAAAUCCUAAAUGAAUAUUGAGAACAAAUGUUUGACAUUUUUAUCAACUUUUGUGAAUCCUCAAUCCCUAAAUCGUACCUCAUCAAAAGUCUCAAAACAACCUUGAUGAUCAACUUUAUCAUUAUCUUUGGUCUCUACGAAUCUCGGGACGAGAUUCCUGUUAAGUGGGGUAGAAUUGUCACACCCCAAAAUUUCUGAUUAUGGGUUGUGCAUAGAAAACACUAAAUAAAUAAAAUAAAUUUAAUAUUUGCAUAGGAUUUGCUAAGUUUAGUUUGAGUUAGUGCAAAUUUAGUUAUAGGAAAAUGUGAAUUUUCAAAUUGAUCUGAAUUAACUUGAUGAUAUUUGUUGAUGUGAUGUGAUGUGAUGCUUGUUUAUUGUUUGACUUUGCUUGGUAAGUGGGUACAGUAUCAGAGCGCGCUUAGUAAGUCAUUAAUCUAUAGCUGGUGUGUCCCUAUCUUUUUCUAUAAUUAAGUUUAUUCCUUUUUGAUCUUAAUCUUUUCAUUUGAAGUUUUUCCAUAUCUUCAUAUUCUACUCUAAAUCAUUCUAAAGUAUGUGUUAUUAAUGUUUUUUCCAUAUCUUCAUAUCUUCAUCUUCAUACGGGCGGUCCGGAAAACUGACGGAAUAGAUGGACACUGAUGAACAUGAUUAAUGAUAAUAAAUGAUGGUUUAUUAUGUUGUUUAUAUGUGUUAUUCUUAAUUCUUGUAUACAUUGAUCAUGUGGUUAUGAGAUUUAAUUAUGCUACCUUGACAUUUGCUAUCUAAAUAUGAACAUGAUAUAUACAUAUAAAAGCUAAAUGCAGUUAAACCAGUGUCAGCUAAUUGAGCCUCAUGAACCCCUGGUUAUACGUGUUGAGUAUGAUAUAUGCUCACUCUUGCUAUUUCCCACCACUCCAGUCUACUAGAAAGAGAUGAUUAGGAGGAUGGUGGAGUCACGAAGGACGUUAUCAGGAUACAAGAAGUGCUAGGCAUAUGUUACCCCCAGUCAAUCGUCCCUAUGAAGAUUGAGCCAGAAGAUUAGUUAUCAUUCCACGAUACUCUGAUGUAAGUAUUUAUUAUAAGUAUGUUUCCGUUAUAUAACACUGUUUCUGAUAUUGUUCCUUUCUGUUCUUGUAUGUGUGGACUUCCUAGGCACACAUAUAGCUAGCCUGGUUUUGUUCUUUAAAACCGGGUGUGACAACACGCUGGUUUGCAAUCUCUAAAUUCACUAUUGCAUUAUUUCUAUGAGUUUGAGUUAAUUCAUAAUUCCUAUAUCUGAGAAUCAAAACAAAGACGUGAAAAUAAAUUCAAUCCUUUAGAAAGAAGUAAAUGUGAAUAAUAAAUGCACUAUGCUAAGUAUGUUAAAACAACUUCUUUUGUAGCAUAGAAAGUGAACCUUAUCUUUGUGACAACAUUGCCCUUGUCGUUGCUUGUAUAUUCCUCCCGGUAUGUGUUGUCCACUAAUGAUUUGUAGGGAUAAAAUAAUAAGAAGAGCUAAAGGUCCAAGAACAAACUAGACAGAGAACAAAUGAUGGCAUAAGGUAAGAAAGGAGUACAACAAAGGAGACAAGCUAUUCAUAAAUAAGACAUGUGACUAGCCAAGCAAGGAAAGCUUCCACAAGAUGUUGUGGCUUCAAUUCAACAUGCUUCAAUACUAAAGGUAACAUCUCUAGGUAAGUGAUCAUUACUUCCAAAAUAUCCUCCUUGAUUCUGGCAUGCACAUAAGUAGAGAGCCAAACAUGCUUUGAGUUACAACCUCAUUUGAUCCAAUCUAAUUAACUCAAGAUGUUCAGUUCUUUAUGCUUGUCUCUAGUAUCACUUUCUUGAUCACAUAGCCUUUAAUUCAAUGAUCUGAAAUGUUGCACAUCCUAUCUUUGGAAGAUGAUAGUCAUAAUCAUAAAAUGGUUACACAAUAUGCAUAGAUAUAUCAUACUUCCAUAAUGUUGAGUAAUCUGAUCUGCUAAAUGUUUUAAUGCUACAUGCUUGCUCAUCUUUUAUUCUUAUCACCCAUGUUUAGAUUGAGCAAAACACAUAAACAUCAUCUUUAUCUUGUUCAAUGUGCCAAAGCCUAGAGUAUAAUGAACAAGCGUUUUGGUUCUAUUGGUGUUUUCCCACCAACAGAGCCUGUGCACUUGAUAUCUGCCUUGUCUGUAUCAGCAGGACACACCUUGAGCAAAAUUAAGGAAUCUUCCCCAGUUCCUACAAGUGAAGAUCCUUGACCUAUGAAUAUGCACAGUGAGUAAAGAUGCUGCCAACUCCCAAAACUAGUACUUGACUCCAACCCAUUGGAAGAGCAAUAAACAUGGGUGACACCAUCUUAAGAGGUGCAACUAUCAUGGUCUCCAUCUUUGGGACUAGAUAUAACACCUAAGAAAUUAACAUGGUAAGAGGUUCUGUUCGGAAGACCUAAAUCAUCGAACACCAUCCCAAGAGGUAACUUGGUAGUUAUCAAUAUUUCUGUUUUUUUCACUACAUAAUUUUACUUCAGCAUAUUUACUUUCCCUUAAAUGCAUAAUUAGUUGCACAUCAACUUUAUCAAUUCUGCAUUAGAAAAAAUAUGUCACGCAUUGCAUCUAGAAAAUGCUAAGCCCUAUGUGAAUAAUUUUGUGGUGCGACAGCUCACAAAGAUAUCCAUGAUGGUGGCAUAAAAAUAAGUUUUCAUCUUAGUGCAUUUUUUGCGUAUCAUAAAAUAUAAAAGAUCAGCAAUAUUAAAGAUCCUGCUAAAAGGUAUAUGAAUUAAGAAGGUUAUAGACAUCCAAGGCUUAGAGGUUUAUCACUAACACUUAAAUUAGUUCCACAAGCUUUGUUGCCUAUUUGAGCUUCACGUAAUUCAAAGGAUCAAGAAGAGCUAAUAUGAAGAAGGAAGUUAUGUCCCUGACACAGAGUGUUGUCUUCAACAAUCAGAGUGUUGUCUCAACAAAAAUCAUCCCUAACACUCCAUGAGAACUAGUAUGCCAACAGACUACCUCAACAUCCAGCAUGGGGGAGAGCACCCCUAGUAUAUCCAGCUAAGUAUCACUAGCUUAUUUAUUAAGUGUGCUAUGUAAAUCCAAAACAAAUUAAAAGAAGCAUACCAUAGAAAACCCAAAUAAACAUUUCUCUAUCUAUUUUUACCUUUCUGUUUGAUAUUAAGUUUGCUAAAUAAAAUAUAGGAGAGUAUGUGAAGAGUUUGCCUACUAAAAUGAAUCCCACAGAAUAAACUCUUAUAUGGACAUGAUGAAUAGUUGGUCUACCAUAAUUCCUUUCAAGUACCUAGUUUUCAAUCUUGAACUCUCCCGAGUUUUGGACACAACUGUUUUUAUUUGAGGUCUGCUUUGAACCUGAAACUUGUCGGUAGCGAAUGCUUGAUCUAAGUAUAGGUAGUUGAUGGAUAUGAUAUGGGAAGGUGUUGAGCUAUUGUCCAUCUUGUUCCUAUAUAUACUAGAGUUGUGGAGAAUUUAUCUUUGAAAAUCUUAAAUUUAUGCAUGAUGAGCUCCUGUAUGACGAGAAUUCAAAAUUCCUACCAUAGCCAAAUAUACAUGCUUACUAGAUUAGGGAAGUCAUCCACUUCCAUAUAUCGCUUGUAGGCAUUGCAGGUAGUUAAGCUAUGUUGAUCCUUAGGAAUUAGUAAUGCAGUUAAAGUCAUGUUGACACCGUUUUUGGACACGUACCCAGAGACCAAGAUCGGCAGGUGGAGCAACGGUAACUAGCCUGCAGAAGAGUUACUGAUGAGGAUAGUUGCCGAUGAAGAGACGAUUGAAUAUGACUAAGUCCAGAGGUGGUGACGUGUUCUUGCCGAUGCUCAAUAUUGGUGUUUGCCGAUGGCUAUAACAGGAAGACUGCCGAUGACUCUGAAGGGAAGCGUGGAGGUUGCCGAUUGAUCUGUGGCGGUGUCCCAAUCGGUUGCGAGGGGAUGGUUCUAUGUUUUCCUUAGUUAUUUAAAAUCGUUUUGUAUACGGAUUCUGUUUAAUUUGGAAUUCGAGUCCUAGUCAUGUCUGAUUGUAGCUCUUUGAGCAGGGUAUAAAUGUAGACCCUAGGGCCUUGUAAUGAGAUAUCUAUCGAUCAAUCAAAUACAAGUUUUUACUCAUAUUCCAGCAUCUACUUUUUCGACGACUUCGUCAUAUUUUUCUUUUUAUUACGAGUUCUUAGGAGUUCGUCAACUUAAGCUCGGCGUAUUCUCGAGUUCUGCGUGAAUACCUCUUGGCCAUGACAUCCGGGCGCAUCGCUGUUGUCGGGACCAAAGUAUUCGAAUUAUCACCUUUGCCGAUAGUAAGGUCAAAUCGGCUGGCACGCAACGUUUAACUACAAGAAUGCUGGGCUUCUGUGACAGUUAGAUUAUGACGAUAACAGCCAGUUUUUUGUCACUGACUGCGUACAGUGAUGAAGUGGCUAUCGUCAUAGAAGGUGGGUCACUAGAGAGCUUCUGUGACCACAAGAGGACAUCGUCAUUGAUAUAGUGAUGAUAGUUCUCUCGUCAUUGAUGCAAUGACAAGACUAAAUUUGUCAUAACAAAUUGAACCAAAUAAUGUCACAUAUAUGAUGACAUGGCGGGUGACAUACCAAUUCACAUUCAGCGCAUAUAAGAUGGGCCUUUUAUUUUAUUAUCAUUUACAUUCAGCCCAAUUAGUCUAAUUUUCUUUUUUGGCCCAGCUUCAAAUUGGUAUUUUUUUCCUUUACAGCCCAACAGUACAAUCAAGGCCCAUAUUAUAGGCCAACCCAAUUAAAGAAAUAAUUGCAGAUUAUAAACCACAUAAGGAAUUGCACAAUAAUUAUAGUAAGCCCAUAGAAUAGAAUAUAUUGUUGCCAUAAAUAUAACAAUCAACUCAUACAAUUUCAACUCCAGAAUACAUGAUUUGCAUACAUAAAAAUAUUUCAGCCACAUUCCAGGCUUUCAGCAACCAAACUACAACACCAUACUACACAAGACAGAAGUACCAAGAAUGUUUGGCUGCAUCCAUCCUCCAAGUUCAACUACUGCAUAAAAGUACCAGCCAGCAGCCAACAACACAUUCCAGCAACCAAAAUCUCAUACAAAGAAGUACGAGCACAAAAAUCCACUCCUGCACGCAUUCAAGCAGUAUAACCCAAAAGAGAUCGCAGCUCCAAGUUCAACUAAACUAAAAUUAUCAGCCUUCAAAUUAGGUUCAGCCACCAAAUUCCUGUUCAAGACACCAUGAACAAAAAAAUCAACCACCAAAGAAACAAUAAAAACAAUCUUGAUUUGGAUGCAAAGGCACAAGAGACAAGUUAAAGCUAUGUACCUAAGCAUACAACUAGCUUAGGGGGGACUGAUCUGCCCCACACCAAAUGCUACCAUUUGUCGAAGAAGGCUUUGGGUAUCUGCUGCCAUCUUCCUCAAGCUCUCAAUCUCCUCAGCUUGUUUGUCCACUUUUGUAUUAGAUUCUUGUGCUUGCGCCUUUAAUCUUUCAAGCUCCUGCUGAAGUCCUACAGACUCUAACUUCUUUGCAUCCAAUUUAGCUUGUAGCUCUUUCAUCAUAUUGGUUGUCUUGGUAGCAGGAUGCUGAAUUCCGACAUUGCGAAGAAAUGUAUUUGACUUUGGCAGCACUUUGGAAACAACUUCAAUAGAAGUCUGGGCUUGCUGCCCGUCUUCAGCUGAUGGUGAAGUGAGGGCUUCCCGAGCAUGCAUGUCGUCCUAGCUAUCAAAGAAAGCUUUUAGUUUUGCAUCAUUAUAUAAAUAAAGGUUUAUUGCACAAUGUACUUAAUAAAAAAAAGGAAACAAGGUUUAGUACAUACUAUAGCUUUCUUCACAGGUUCACUAAAACCUUUAGUUUUGCUGCAGUGCAACUCCUCGAAUAGAUCAAUUGCAGUGGGCUCACUAUCCUUGUAUUUUUCUUGUUUCUGCAAUGUUGAGAGAAAAAAUGAUGGCAUGAGCAAUGGUUAUGUUAAAGUACACACUAAUGCAAAAAACAUGUCCUCUAGCACAAGCAUUCUAGUUGACAUUGAUUCUUUUUGUUAAACAUUGACAGUGGUUGCUAUGUAAAAACUUAAUUGAUGUCACCCCAAAUAAGCAUAAGCAUAAGCAUGGCAAGAGCAGAAUAAUCAAAUCAAACCGAUACAAAUUUCUAGAUAAAAUAUUAGCAUAUUUUUACAUGUUUGAUGUGUGAGAUAAUCUGCUACUCUCCCUCCAUGUUUUGCUGCAGCAAGGGUUAGAGCUUUGGUCACCUCUUGUUAUCGUUAUCUUGCACUAUAGAGGUAUGCCACUACAAGAAUGGCAUAUUGCCAUACCUCCACAAUGCAAAACAAGGGCAGCAAGAGCUGAAUAAUAGGCCAACCCCUGCUACUACAGCAAAACAUGGAGGAGAGCAGCACGUUAUCUCAUAUGAAGAAGAGAGCCUACUACAAGAUUAGAUCAUAUAGCAUUAUGCAGAGCCACUAUCAAUAUGCAGAUAUAGAUCUUCACUAGGACUAAACACCUCCACCAGGAAACACAAGAAGAACAUCCAACUAGAUGACAUCAUAAUUAUUUCUUACCACGACAUAGGCUUGUGCAAUGUAAGACCGAGAUCCUGUACGCUGCUGAAACUUCACUUUUUUACGAUUCAAUUGGUUUUUAGCACAUUUGUCCUGCACAUGACACAACUACAUAACAUAAGUAAUAGAACUAUGCAUCUAUUAUUUCCAUGCAACCUCAUUUUCACUUGUUUUCACGUGCCACUAUUACAUCAAAAAUGCAAAUAUAGCUGAUCCAAAUAGAGCUAUAAUCUUGACUAUGGAAUAAUUAGUUUGCCACCUGAGGCAAUCAAAUUUUAUGCUGAUGUAUCUUAGGAAGCUAAGUGGUUAAAAAACUCAGGAAGUUUACAUGAAUUAUCUUAUCAGGUAAUCUAAAAACUGCUAUAAUAAAUCUAAAAUUAUCAUAUGUAGUUGGCGUGUUCCAAUUCCUACUAAUAGAUUCAAAAGAUCUCAAAUCUACCGCGUAUCAAAUAUGUAUAUACCUAGCCAAACAUGAAUUCAUGCUCGUAUUCACACAAAAUGAAAAAUAUGCUAAACAUUACUUUGUGCUCUGGGCUUGACCACAUGUCAACCAAUUGUCUCCAUUCUUCAUCAGUCAUACACUUCAAGGGCGAUGUAGUCCUUACUUGAUUAGCUGGCACCCCAUCAAAGUACUUUUUUUAAGCCUAUACCUCAUCUGGCGUACUCCACCCUUUAGGAUGUCUUCACAUGCAGCUUUUACAGGGUCGCUAUUGGUGUUAAUAGUGAAUUUUAUCUAUUCAUCAAAUAGCAUAACAGUAAGCUUUGACAAAAGUUGAAAGUAGAAUGUAGAAAGUAACUACAAUAAUUUAUAUGUACUAUUCAGUUUGAAUAGUAGGAACAACAUGCAUAGAUGAUAUAUGGUUCUCCAAAAGAGGCUUAGCAAAAACAAGCAUUUGAAUAGUAUGAGCAGAAUGAAUAGUAUGAACAGCAUGCAUAGACGUUAGUGACCACCACAUACCAAGAGAGAUGUAUAUAUGCAUAGCAAGACUAUGCUACAUGUACUUUUACUUGUAUUUCAGUUCAGACAUCAGGUAGAGUUCUCCAUUUUAGUGCCAAAUGCAAGCUAAUUAUCAAGCAUGUAAUGUUAAUAGCACAUACAGAAAAUUUGAAAGCUUACACUAGACAAAACUUCUAACAUAGCAUGGAUUUAAUUAGUUGAAUAGACUCUUACCUUGAGUUUGCCCUUGAAGUUUUCAAGUUGAUGCCCAUCUUUCUUGUACUUUGUCCAGUUUGGAUAUAUUGGUACAUGCUGCCUGAUGAUGAUCCCACUCUCUGAGGCCAGCUUUGCAGCUUGCAUAGGAGCCUCUGGCCUUCUUUUCCCUUCCUUGAUAACGAUCGGUAUCAUAGUCCCUAAACCUCUGCUUAUGGAAUCAAUCUCUUUGCCCAUGCUCUUCCCCCUUGGCACCAUUUGUCUAUUGUCAGUGAGCGUGCCUAACAUAAAACAUUUAUAAGUGUCAAAAAAAAGAAGAUCUUGCACUUGAUACAAAUGAAGCAUACCACAUAUAUGGACAAUAAAACACAACAAUCGCAGUCACUUGCCUUGUUCAGUAAUGCUCAAUUCCAUUGGCUCCACUUCUGUACUUAAAGUGAGGUUGCCUAACAAAAUACAUUUUGAGACAUGUGUUAAAAAAAUGAUCCCUGCACUUAAUAUGAAUGCAGCAUACCACACAUAUUGACAAUAAAACACAACAAUCUAAGUCACUUGCCAUGUUUAGUAUUGUUCAAUCCCAUAGCAGCUUGUACUUCUGUACUUGCAUUAAGGUUGGCUACAAAACAUAGUUUGAAAAGUAAGUGUUUGUUGCAAUGAACCCUGCACUUAAUACAAAUCAGUAGUUGGUAGUGACUUGCCUUGUUCAGUAUUAUUGGUGUCACCCUGAAUCUGGUUUGCAAACAAAUCAGGUUUGAGUCCAACCUCUGUGGCUUCAAUCAGGCUAGUGGUGGACAAUUGUCUCGCGGCCCUUUGCCUAGUGCAUCUCAUUGUUUCUUCCAAAUUUUCAGGUGCUCGCACUCGCUUAGAUGUUCUUCCUGUUAUAGCUUUGACAAUAUCACCAUUGUUGCCCACAUCUUGCCCUAGUAACAAAGCCUCACAAAGCAAACAAAGACAUGUCAAAAUCAGUUGCAGAAACAAAGUCACAAAAGACUUCCUUAAAUAUCCACUGUGAAUAAAUAUGUCAUUUUCUGAAACUAGGAUCACUUUUAUAAAUAGCAAAAAGUGGGAGUGAAAACUGAAUUAAAUACUCAAUUGCUCAGCAGCAUCAAUGCCACAAUGUUGUUACUAUGAUCUAGAUUAAUGGUGCACAAACUACAUGAGCAUAGCUCAGCCAACUAGAGAUAUUGAUUAGUACAAGAGUUUAUUACAAGAAUUGGUACCUUAGAUUUAUUGUCAAUACUCUUUCCAACAGCUUUCUUCUUUGCCACGGAACUUUGGAGUAAUUCUGCUAGUCUACGGACACCCAGCCGAUGAGCAAAUUGAUUGUUCCUCAAGAUAUUCCGAGCCCUCAGUGAGCUUAAGUCCCUGUCUUCCUCUUCUGCACAUACAUUGCAAUUAUAUUCAGUGGGUAUGAAAGCAUACAUUGCUUGUUAUACAUUGCAAUUAUAUUCUUCCUCUUCUGCACAUACAUUGCUUGUUAUCUUCCAUAUAGAAAACCUUUGUUGCCUGUGUGGCACAGAUGAAAGCAUCAUCCUUGUACCAGCAACUGCCAUGGCUGAUGCUUUUGAAAUGUCCAUCAUAUUUAAUCCUAGACUUCUUGCUACAAGUGUCAAACCAAUUACACUGAAAUAAAACUACUGUUCUUGGACUGUUCAAAUCAGAGUUGUACUGCAACUGAACUAUUUCCUUCAGCUGACCAUAAAAGUCUAUAUCUUCUCCAUUAUGUGAGCCCUCAACCAUGACACCGCUGUUCUAUGUUUUUCUACUUCUCUCACGGUCCAAUGUAUGAUAGCGAACUCCAUUAACAAGACACCCCGAAAAUAAAUGAACUCUAAAAUUUGGUUCACUUGCUAAUGCAUAUAGGUCAUCAUUGACUUCUUCUCCAUGCACAAAUUUUCUGGUUGCAAGCUGUAACAAUAUGUUCAGAGAAUAAGGUCAGAACCAAAACUAAUAAUUCUUAAAUUCAACUAAGAGCUACAUGACUCACAUGUUUCUUAAACCAUCCUGCAAAUUCCUUAGCAAGAGCCCUAUCAACGUCAACAUUGCCAGCACUCCUGCAUAUCCUGCAAAUAGUGCAAAACUGUCAUGUGAGGCGUAAAAAAUUACAGCAUAGGAAAAAUAUUGGUUGCUCUAAUAAAAGACAUACUCUAUAAAUGGCUCAACCUCCGGAGUAUUGUUGAGGACAUACCAAACCAUCUUGUUCCUUAAUCUUCUGAAGCAAGGAUUUUUGUCACAACGAACACAGGCAUAGUAACCUCUAGUGACUCUGCCUGAAAGUGUGCUCAGUGCUGGAUAGUCAUGAAUGCACCAUAUAACUGCAGCAUGAAGAUCAAAUGAUUUCCUUGUCAGAGCUUCAUAGGUAGGCACACCUUUCCAAAGAUCUAACAGUUCUUCAAUCAGUGGUUGCAAGAACAGAUCCAUAUCCUUUCCUGGGCAUGUCGGACCAGGAAUGAGUAGGCCCAUCAUGAAGUUGGAUUGCUCCAUACAUUCCCAUGGAGGAAAAUUAUAAGGGAUAAGAAAUACUGGCCACAUGCUAUACGAAGCGCUCAUCUUCCCAAAUGGAUUGAACCCAUCUGUAGCGAGGCCAAGCCGAAUAUUCCUAGCAUCUUUUGCAAACCAAUCAUAUUUCCUAUCAAAAUCCUUCCAUGCCUCGCCAUCAGCUGGAUGGCUAAGCUCAUUGUCCACUGGUUUUCUCUUUAACUUGUGCCAUUGUGCCUGCUUUGAAAGUUUUUUGGAUGCAAACAUCCUCUGCAACCUUGGAACCACAGGAAAAUGCCUCAAAACCUUGUUUGGAAUUUGCUUUCUUGUAUCUUCAUCCUUCCAUCAUGAAGCACCACAUACUGGGCAUUUAUCCAUUUUAGCCAACUUCUUUCUGAACAAAACACAGUUAUUCGGGCAAACAUGUAUUGAGUCAUAUCCAAGUCCCAAUGCACGGAUAACUUUCUUCGCUUCAUCAUAAGAUGCAGGGAUAGGACAUUUUGGAAACGCUAAACUUAACAACUUCAAGAAAGCACUGAACCCAGCAUUGCUGAUUCUGUAAAAUGACUUGAUGUGUAGCAACUUCACAACAAAAGAAAAUCUGGUAUAGGGACCAUCAGGGUGUAGUUCCUGUUUCAUCUCUUCUAAUAUGGCUGCAAACUUGGACUGUGUUGCUGGUCCACGAUCUUCAGCUGUGUACAACUCUUGUACUAUCUCAUGGAUUUUAUCAUCAUCUGGUUCAUCUUCAGGCUCUCUCAUCUCAGUUUCAACAUGGCAGUCAAUAUCCCUAGUUUCAACACUGCAGCCAACAUCCCCAGUUUCAGAAUUCUCAUUUAAUCCGACUUCCAAUGCUUCUCCAUGAUGUAUCCACCUAGUGUAUGUGUUAGUCAUCCCAUAAAUAUAUAAGUGAUCCUCCACUUCUCCUUUAUGUUUAUGUAACUGAUUCAAACACUUACGGCAUGGACAUAAUAUUUCUUGACUGUCAUCCAAAUUAUGAGAAACAAAGUUCAUAAACUCAGUGACCCCAUCUCGAUGUUCCUUGCUAAAUAGCCUAGUAUUCAUCCAACUUCUAGCCAUCUGUGACACACUAAAAUAAGACAAUAAUCAAGGAAUCAACAACCAACCAUUCACCAUAACAGACUGCUAUUCCUUCUAGCUUUCUAACACUGCCAUGACUCACUACAAAUCUAAUUAAAAAAGACUCACUACAAAUCUAUGCAUUUGCUAUCAUGAGUUUCAUGAAUCUAAACUGAACUAUGCAGUACCGCAUCAAUUCAACUGAUAAAACAAAAAAUGGGGUCAUAUCUACCUUUUCUAGCUGUUUUAUGGGGAUGAAGCCGUCAACAGAAUGGAGACAGCAAUGCUGGAUUGGAAUAGCAGCAGCCGGCGUGUAGACACUGGCGGACGACAGCUUUGGCGAGCGAUUUGGAACAGUCGGAGAUGGCACCGGCGGCACCGGCCGGUGGACAGACAGCAGCGUCUGCCGUGGAGAAAGCGGCAGCCCGCGCGGCCGCACGCGGCUUUGGCCAGUGGUCGGGGCCUGCACCUGGGGGUGUGGAUCUCCGGCCGACGGCGUCCACCGUGGAGAAAGCGAUGCGAUUUUGGCCGGCGGCAGGGUCCUGCAGAAGGGCGUGGAUUUGCAGCCGGCGGCGGACCUGCAGCCUGAUGCGUGCGUACGUGUUCAGCAGACUGAGAUGCCUAAUUUCGGAUCUGUUUUUGCCAGCAUCCAAACUUCAGAGUACAAAAACUGUCGAACACUCCCCUCUAGCAACAAAAGAGAGUGGUCUUCAGUGGUUGGCUGAGGACUAAAUGGUUGCAGGUCCCAGGUUCAAACCGUGUGGUUGCUGACAUUUUGGUGUUUUUUUUAUUUUCUUUUAUCCAAUCCUAUAUGGGGCUAUAACUUGGGUGUUUUUUUUUUGAAUUUUUUUUUUCAAUCCUACAUGGGGCUCUAACUAGGACAUACGGUAGUGUGCACCAACGACUAAAUAGGAUAAUAUAAUUUUUAAAAAUAAUUAUAAUAUAUUAAUAUUUAUAAUGAUCAAUUAUUGUUACAAUCUAUCAUGACAAAUACCAACAUUUUGGUGUUUUCUUUUGAAAAUUUUUUCCUCCAAUCCUACGUGGGACUAGGAGUUAACUAGGACGGAAAUAAUUCAUCUAGGACAUAUGAUAGUGUGCACCAAUAGCCAUGUGGGAUAACAAGAUAUUUUAAAAAUAAUUAUAUAAUAGAUUUAUAUUUUAUGACAAUUAACUAUUGUCACAAUCUAUCGUCAUAAAUCCCAUGCAACUAGAUGCUAUGACGUUGUUUAUGACGAAGACACAAUUUGGUCAUAAACAGUUGUCAUCCACUAAACAGUCGUCAUAAACAACCUGUGUUUAUGACAGAUAGGUGUUCUGUCAUCUGGUAAUCGUCAUAGAAGCCCAGAUUUCUUGUAGUUAUAAAUCGGGUAUUAGCCUUUUAUGUUUGCAGAUCAGCUUUUGCAUCAACACAUCUUUUGGCACGCCCAGUGGGACAUAUUCAAGAGCAAGAUCGACAUUUCGACUACCGAAUUCGAUUUAGAGAACAUCAUCCCCGUGACAGAAGCCAAUCUCAGAGAUGAGCAGAAGCAAGCUAUUGCAAAAGCUAUGGAGGAUUACAAGCAGCAAUGUUUGAAGUCCUUCAGUAUCAACAGGAGUGGCGAGGUGAUCCAGAAGGAAGCACUAUCGGCACCUCGGCAGGUUACUUUUGAAGCCAAUCCUGGUAAACUUCAAGACAUGGUUGAUAGUGCUAUUAACCGUGCCUUGAUCAAUCAAGCUGGUGUGCUGUCCAAUACGGUUUUCAACACCGUGGCUAGAACUCUCAGAGAAGGACAAAUGCCACCAAACUAUGUGGGCCCUGUCUAUCAUCAGCCAGGAUCACCAGUUGUCACGGCUCCAUCGGCUGCUACGGCCGCUACGGGUACGGAAACUACCGUUCCUUCAAGCAUGUUAGGAGUCACUAACGCGCAAUCUACGCCGAUGACAACUAAUCCAUCAACGUCAGAUGAGCCGAUCAAGCUUACUACAGAUCUAUUGGCAUCGGCAAUGUCGGGGUCAAUUCCUCCCAACUGGUGGGGUUAUGGUACGCCCCCAGAGAUGAUGUUGAAGACUCCUGGAACAUCUCAGACGGCUGACACGAGAGGCAAGGCUCCUAUGGCAUCGGCACCUCCAAAUUUGCCGAUGAAUCAGAGUCCCCAGUAUACUACAACUACUACUGCAAGACCUUACACUAGGAAUUCUCAAGUUCCAAUGUUUCAGAUGCCUAAUGCAUCGGCAGAUUCAAUGCUGAUGCAGCAGAGGUUCAUGACACAACCAGGGUUUGGCAAUUCAAUGAUGAUGCCCAAUCUUCAGUCACCGGCAAGGUUCGUGUCAAUGAAUGCUGAUAAUGGAUGGACAGGGCAGCUAGUCUUUCCACAGAUGCCUCAGCAGAAUCAUCAGGCUGUUGGAUUCCAACAAGGACAGGUCCAACCUAGGUUUCAGAAUCAAGGAUUGAUCAACCAGCCGGUGAAUCUGGGACAGCAGAUUGGUGGUCAUAUGGUUAACCCCAUGUUCCAUGCAGAUCGUGUGCCUCAGUGACACGUGGAAGCUUACCAACAGGCGCCAGAUCCACAACCACCCCAUCGGCAAGAUGCCGAUGCUUAUUGGGCCGAUAAGAUCGCUGAAGUAAUGAGAGACCAGUUCGGGAUAAAACCCAAAGUCAACACUUACUCUUAUUAGACACCGUAUCCUCCUGCAUAUGAUUUAAUCCCGCUUCCAAAUCUGUACGAGGUGCCGGAUUUCACUAAGUUUUUGGGUAGGAUGAUACAUCGACCAAGGAGCAUGCCAACAGGUUCAUCAUCCAGUGUGGGGAAGCUGCUAAUAGGGAUGAAUUGAGGGUUCGACUGUUUUCAUCAUCUUUAUCUGGAUCGGCUUUCACCUGGUUUAUAUCAUUACCUCCUAAUUCAGUGAUUACUUGGGCUGAUCUGGAGAAGCAGUUCCACAAGUACUUCUUUUCUGGAGUCCAUGAGAAGAAGAUUACCGAUUUGGUCAGAUUGAAGCAGCGCAAUGAUGAAUCGGUUGAAAGUUUUGUGCAGAGGUUGCGGGAAGUCAAGAACAAAUGCUAUAGUCUGGUUUUGGACGAUCGGCAGCUAGCUGAUUUGGCUUUCCAGGGUUUGUUGCCACAUAUGAGGGACAAAUAUGCUUCUCAAGAGUUCGAGAGCCUGAGUCACUUGGUCCAGAGGAUUUCCGACCAGGAUAUCAAACCCUUUGAACCCAAGAGAGCUUGGAACAAAAAGGUGUCAUUUGUUGACGAGGUAGCAAGCUCAAAUUCUGAUGAAGAGCCGGUCAUCGGCUUGGCAGAGUGGGUGAAGAACAAGAAGCCGAUGUCUUGUCCUUUUGGGCAUAAAGAGCCAGAGAAAUUCGCAUUUGAUAUCACGAAAGCUGAUAGGAUAUUUGACUUUCUACUUCAGGAAGGUCAGAUCCAAUUGUUGCCCAAUCAUGUAAUCCCAUCGGCUGAAGAACUAAAGAAGAUGAAAUACUACAAGUGGCACAAUGCAACUUCUCACAGCACCAAUGAAUGCAAGGUUUUUAGACAACAACUGCAAUCGGCUAUUGAAUCUGGAAGAAUCAAAUUUGAUAGUUCCAAAUCUCAGAAGCCGAUGAAGAUCGAUCAACAUCCUUUCCCAACAAAUAUGUUGGAUGCCAAGGGGAAAACCAAGGUUUUGACGUCGAAAGCAGCUGAAAGGAGUGCAUCGGCAGAUCCUGAGCAUCAAAUUACUGCUGCCGAUGCCAAAGGAAAAGGCUUGAUCCAAGAGGGAGCUAACUUAGGAAGGCCUCCCCGAUCUGGUAUUGUGAUAACUCAUAGAAGGCCUCGGGAGACUUGGCAGGAACGUGAGGAUCGGUAUCGGCGUCAGCAAGAAGACUAUCGUCGGGAAGAAGAAAGACGCUGUCAAGAGUGGAAUCGACACAAGGAUCACUGGAACCGCCCGUUCUUUAUCCAUUGCUAGGAGGAGAACGUCAAGUUGCCCACUGUUAGAGAUUGCCCUGAAUGCAAUGGUUAUGAUCGGUAUGACAGAUCCGAUCGCCGCUAUCACGAUAAUGAUCGGCGAUUUAAUGGGCCGAUUAGGGGGAGAGCGUCAGUUCAUGAUCGGCUUGGGGGCAGGCUCAGUGUGCAUGAUAGGCUUGGUGAUCGUGUUGAAUAUUUUCCUAGGAACCAGGAAGAGCUUGAAGAGAUGGCUAAUGCGCGUGUUCCGGAUGAGUUCAUAUUUUGCAGAGAUGCCAAUACUCAUCGGAUGGAGUCAAGGGAACAUCGUCGUCCAUCAGCAAGGCAGUCACCACUUCCCCCAUGGUGUCCAGAAGGGUUGACCAAGACACAGAAGAGGAGACUGCAACGCGAAAGACGAGAAGAGCUAAGCAAGGGUGAAAACUCUGGCCAGUCUGGGAUCAGCACCAACCAGAUCCUAAGGGGAAAGGGCCAUCGGCAGAUGUUAACAUGGUAUUUACGUUGCCGAUGGAGUUCCUUGUGCCAUCCAGUGAUGAUGAGGAGUUGGAGUUUUCCGACCAAAUAGCUCAGUUGGCUCUGGAUCCGAUGACAUCUAUUUUUGAAAAGCCUGCCGACAAUGAAAGGCAGCAUCUUAAAGCUCUGUUUGUCAAAGGAAGAGUUGAUGGUCAGCCAAUGACCAAGAUAUUAAUUGAUGGUGGGGCUGCUAUCAACAUCAUGCCGUAUGCAGUCUAACGGAAGCUUGGGAAAGGAGAUCAAGAUUUGACCAAGACCGAUAUGAUGCUGAAAGACUUUGACGGAAAUGUGUCUUCGGUUAAGGGGGCAAUUUGCGUCGAGUUGACCAUCGGCAGCAAAACUUUGCCGACAACCUUCUUUGCGAUCAGUGGAAAAGGUGCUUAUAACUUGCUGUUGGGGAGAGAUUGGAUUCACGCUAAUUGUUGCAUCCCAUCUACAAUGCACCAGUGCUUGGUUCAGUGGGUAGGUGACAAAAUCGAGAUUGUCCUGGGGGAUUCUUCUUAUGUCAUUGCAUCGGCAGAAGCAGACACCUAUGAAAGGACUAGGUGUAUCUCGAGAGAAAUUUGGGAGAAGGAUUUCCUUAAAGUUGCCGAUUUUGAAAUUCCACUGAUCCAAGCAGUCGGUUCUGAUGAGGAGUUUUAAUGGAUAGAUUCGCCGAUGAUGGAAAAUUAGGCCAGGGAUUCAGAUCGGCCGAUGAUUUGGUAGAAGUAGAUAUAGGUAGUGGUGAUAAGCCUAGACCUACUUUUAUUAGUGCUAAGUUAAAUUCUGAGUGUAAGCAGCAGUUAACCGAUUUGUUAAAGGAAUAUAAAGAUUGCUUUGCUUGGGAUUAUACUGAGAUGCCUGGUUUGGACCGUUCGUUUGUUGAACAUCGGUUACCCAUCAAGUCUGGAUUUCGGCCACAUCAACAGCCAGCUCAUUGAAGCUAAAAUCCUAAUAUUCUUCCUGAUAUUAAGGCCGAAAUAACCAAACUCAUUGAAGCUAAAUUUAUUUGGCAAUGUCGGUAUGCCGAGUGGAUUUCCAAUGUUGUUCCAGUCUACAAGAAAAAUGGGAAGCUUCGGGUUUGCAUUGAUUUCGGGAACCUUAAUAAAGCUACACCGAUGGAUGGCUACCCAAUGCGAGUUGCCGAUCUGCUAGUUGAUGCUGCGGCUGGGCAUCGGAUCAUCAGCUUUAUGGAUGGCAAUGCAGGGUACAAUUAGAUAUUCAUGGCUGAAUAAGAUAUUCCAAAGACUGCAUUUAGAUGUCCUGGUCAUGUUGGGUUGUUUGAAUGGAUAGUCAUGACCUUUGGUUUGAAAAAUGCUGGUGCUACUUAUCAGAGGGCUAUGGAUUUUAUUUUUCACGAGUUCAUCGGCAAGCUGGUGGAAAUUUAUAUUGAUGAUGUGGUGGUUAAGUCUGGAGAUUUCACAAAGCAUCUUGCCGAUUUGCGAAAGGUGUUGGAAUGCACGAGGAAGCGUGGUUUAAAGAUGAAUCCCAAUAAGUGUGCAUUUGGUGUAUCGGCAGGACAAUUCCUUGGGUUCAUAGUGCAUCAAAGGGGGAUUGAAAUUAGUAGGAGAUCCAUUGAUGCUAUCAAUAAAAUAGUCGCUCCUACCAACAAAACUGAGCUCCAGUCCUUGAUCGGCAAGUUAAAUUUUAUCAGAAGGUUUAUAUCUAAUUUGUCUCGUAAAAUUCGUGCUUUCAGUCCUUUGCUCAAGUUGAAAGCCGAUCAAGAGUUCAUAUGGGGGAAAGAGCAACAGUUGGCUUUCUAUGAAAUCAAGAACUAUUUGAUAAAUCCUCCACUUCUGAUUCCACCUCAGCAAGGAAAGCCCUUCAGAUUAUAUUUAUCUACCGAUGGGAUGGUCAUCGGUUCGGCUUUGAUUCAAGAAUUUGAAGGAAAGGAGGGUGUGAUUUACUAUUUAAGUAGGAAGUUGGUUGAUGCUGAGACCAGGUAUUCGGCCAUUGAAAAGUUGUGUUUAUGCCUAUAUUUCUCAUGUAUUAAAUUGAUGCACUAUUUAUUAUCGGCUGAAUGCACUGUUAUAUGCAAAGAUGACGUGGUCCGAUAUAUGUUGUCUAUGUCGAUUAUGAGUGGCAGGAUCGGUAAGUGGAUUUUGGCACUGUCGGAAUUCGAUCUGCGUUACGAAUUGGCAAAAGCGUUUAAAGGACAGAUUAUGGCCGGUUUUGUAACUCAACAUUGCAGUGCAGUGGAGGCUUUGGAAAUUGUACCGUGGACGCUCUUCUUUGAUGGAUCCACGUGUGACCGGGGGGGCAGGAAUCGGCAUAGUGUUAAUUUCCCCUCGGGGAAGGAAAUAUGAGUUCUCCUUGCCGAUUGUUGCUACGUCAACGAAUAAUCAAGCCAAGUAUCAAGCUUUGAUAAAAGGGUUAGAAUUGUUAAGAGAAGUUCAUGCUGAUGCUGUUGAAGUCUUCAGGGAUUCUAUGCUGGUUAUAAAUCAAUUGGCUGGGAGCUAUGAAUGCCGAAGCGAAGUCCUGAUAAGUUAUCACGAAAGGAGUAUGCAAUUAUUAAAGGAAUUCAAAGAUUUUUGGUUAGAGCAUGUUCCUCGAUUGCAUAAUGAGGAGGCUAAUCGGUUGACUCAGCAUGCUUCAGGGUAUCAACCUAUGGUUAACAUGUUAUCGGCAAUCGGUGCCGAUGAUUGGAGGAAAGAAAUCAUUGAUUAUUUAAAGGAUCCAUCCAAGAAAAUUGAGAGGCGUGUUCGGUUUCAAGCUACCAAGUAUGUGCUCCUCGAGGAUGAAUUAUAUUAUCGAACCAUUUAUGGGAUUCUUCUCAGGUGCUUAGGUGUUGAUGAGGCUAAAAGUUUAAUGGGAGAAAUCCAUUAAGGAGUAUGUGGAGCACAUCAAUCGGCUUUUAAGAUGAAGUGGAUGAUUAGGAGGAAUGGGUAUUAUUGGCCGACCAUACUUGAAGAUUGCUUUAAAUAUUUCAAGGGGUGUCAAGAAUGUCAGAAAUUUGGCAAUAUUCAAAGAGCACCCGCACCGGCCAUGAAUCCUAAUAUCAAACCUUGGCCGUUCCGAGGAUGGGCUAUUGACUUGAUCGGCCAGAUUUAUCCGCCAUCUAGCAAAGGACAUAAGUUUAUCUUGGUUGCCACCGAUUAUUUCACCAAAUGGGUUGAAGCUAUUCCUUUGAAGAAAGUUACAUCGGCCAAUAUGAUUCAUUUUGUGAAUGAGCAUAUUAUUUACCGAUUUGGAAUUCCUCAAACAAUUACUACCGAUCAGGGUACUAUGUUUACAUCAGGGGAGUUGGAUGAGUUCUCAAUCGGUAUGAGAAUUAAGGUGUUGAAUUUUCUCCUUAUUAUGCUCAAGCUAAUGGGCAGGCCGAGGCAUCUAACAAAGGAAUUAUUAAACUUAUUAAGCGAAAGAUUGAGGAGAAUCCUAGAAAGUGGCAUACAUUGUUGAAUGAAGCUUUAUGGUCAUAUCGGAUGGCUUGUCAUGGGUCGACCAAAGUUUCACCUUAUCAGUUGGUGUAUGGACAUGAUGUAGUGCUACUUUGGCAGAUUAAGACUGGGUCUAGGCGACUAUCUUUUCAAGAUCAAUUGGCUGCCGAUGAUUAUGCUACCCUGAUGACAGAUGAAUUGGAUGAUUUAGCAGGGCAUCGGCUGAAAGCUUUGAUAAGUAUAGAAGAAAAUAAGAAAAGAGUUGCCAGAUGGUAUGAUAAGAAAGUAAAGGCUAAGGAGUUUGCCGAUGGAGACUUAGUAUGGAAGCUAAUCUUACCGAUUGGGACUAAAGAUUCAAAAUUUGGGAAGUGGUCUCCCAAUUGGGAAGGUGCCUAUCAGAUAAAUCGAUCUGCUCCUGGCAACGCCUAUAUCUUAGAAACUCUCGAAGGAGUUGAAUUUCCUAGAGCAUUGAACGACAAAUAUUUAAAGAGAUAUUAUCCCAUCGUGUGGCUUGAUGCAUGAAAGUUUAAGUGCCGAUAACAUUCCUAUCGGCUGGAUUAAAAGUGUAUCUGGGGCUGGACUUAAUGUUUUAAAAGGAUGCCGAUAACAGUCCUAUCGGCUGGACUAAAAUGAUUAGAAGAAGGAAGCAAAGAAUGCCACCGAUGAAGAGUUCACAUAUUUAGCAGAGCCUGGAUCAUCGAUAUGGCGCGCAGACAGAUCUGAUUGGCUUCUUCUAUCUCCUUUACGUCAUAAUCGGCAGAGCCCUCCACUGGCUUCAGCUUCUUCUUCAUUUGCAGUGCUUUGCAGGCUUGGACAUUUCGCUCUUGUUCAAGAAUCUUGAUCGCCUCAGGCAGCUGGCUUUCUUCCUAUUGAGCUUGGGACAAAGCUUCUUCUACCUGUUUGAGUUUUGCCAAUAGGGCUUCUCUCUUUGCCAAUAGAUCAGAGAUCUUAUGCUUCAGUACAUCUCCCGAGGUUUUCAAAACGCCAAUGCUCUUAUGCUUCUCAUCGGCAAGGAGUUUCACUUUCAUCAUCUCCUCUGAGAGCUGAGCGUGAGCAGCUCUAUCGGCAAGACGCUGAGCAGCCUUUUGAUUCUGCAGCUGACGACUCUCUAAAUGUGCAGCCUGGAAAAGAACCUCCUCGCCAUCGGCAGGGAUUUGACCUCUGAGAGCCUUGAAUAGAACUUUGGCUGGGUCAGAAUCAUCGACCAAUUGCGUUGUAUCUUGAUGGAGGAGGGCUGACAGCUCCGCCAGCUUUGCUUUAAUCUCUGCCGAUGAGAUUCCGAUUGCUCGAGAAGAACUUGCUUCCUCGCCUUCGUCCUCAGAAAUUUCGAUGGCAAAGGAGAACAGACUGUCGAGAGAAUCCUGUUCCUGAAAGAGAGGACGCAAUAAGUUAUUUUAUGAUCAAGUACUGAUAACAAUAAAAAUGAAGAUCAGGUAACUCACUUGCUUUAGAGCUAUCUCUCGCCUUUGGUUAGUUGAAGCCGAUGGAACCACUGGCUGAUCGGCUGGGAUUGCCGAUGAGACCAUGUCAGCUGCAAGAUUGACAGAAGUUAUUAACAAAGUGGAAAAAAAGGUUCAUCGGCAAUAAAUGGAAAGUAUGUUACCUUGAGGGGACGCGGUACUUGUCUCAAUCGAGGAGACUACCGAUGCUAUGGUUAGGCUUGCUGGAUCGGCGGUCUGCUCAUGUACGUCAGCCGGUGUUUCUUCUGGCUGAGGUUCCUCUGGUUGGAGCUCUUCCACUUGGGGUUUUUCUUGUGGCUGAGGAGGAGAUGGUAUCUGCUGUGUCUGGGCUUCUGGAGAAGAAGGGGAUGAUUCUACUGGAAUCGGAGACACUGGGGGAGGAGAAGGCGUUACUGUUCUCUGAUGCUUUGCUUGUAAUCUGGUACUCUUGGACCCUUUUCUCUUCGGUUGACUGGACUGGGGGGCAUCGGCAGUCAUACUUCUGGUCUUUGCCGAUGUACCGGUGUGCUGAUACAACAGUGAGAAGAUUGUGGGUACAAGUGUAAUAAGUAUAAGAAUGGAAUCGGUAUAAGAACUUAAAAAUUUACCUUGAAGGCUUGUGCUAGGGUAGAGGCAGCUACCGAUGGGGAUAUCUUCGCCCGCUUGGUGGUAACUUUCUUGAGACGCACACCUCGAUGCAUUAUGGCAGCCAGGGUUGAAGCGUUGUUGCCGAUCAAAGAGAUCCGGCCUGAUGGAAGGAGCUCAAUCGGCUUGCCACUCCUGCUGACCAAUGGGGGGGUGUCAUCAACCUGCAUGUAACAAGGGGAGUAAGAUAUCGAUGAAAAGUGAAAGUGAAAGGAUUGAAGCAUCGGUUUAGAGUACUUACAGUAUUAUCAGGGACUUUGUACUGGGGGUCGAUCAUGCCACGGUAUGUGAGAGCCGAUCUGCAGAAUAGAUGAUCUUUCCAUUCUUCCCACCACUGUUUGUAUGUCUGAGUGAUGAAGAGAGCUGGAAUCCAAGCCGAUAAAUCUACAUUUGUAUCAGCAUUUGGUGGAAGUUGGGCUACUCUGAUCCACUCGAGAUGGCUGGUGAUAGUUUCCCUUGGCUUUAUCACAUCGGCAUAGCAGAGUGCAAUCGGCAGUUGAUCGAAAGCUAGUUGACGAGCUAGUGCCAAUGGAUUGUAGAAGUCAUAAGUUAGAUUAGAAACUUUCCCACUGCCAAAGAAGUUCACCGGUAUAGCUCUGGGAGUGAUAAUUGCCAUCAUCACCUCACGAUCCUUGUUGAGAGCAUCAUUGAAGGGGUGGAAAGUUAGAGGGAAUCUGGUGUCUGGAUCUUCAUAGGGCAUCCAUGCCCGCUGUUCCCAGGUCAAACCCACAUACAGGGUUUGGAAGAAUCGGCUGACCUGGUCUGCGUUGCCACCUGUGCCAAGCAAAGCUAUGACGCCUUAGCCAAAGUUCAGAGGGAAACGAGUUGUCGAUUCUUCUUCAUCCAGUUCAUAAUCCUCGGCUAUAUCUCUAGGGAAGCGCUGUGCAAAAAGGUCAAACUCAAAGCGCUUGUGCAUGUGAAGACUAAGCCACAUAUUGACGAACCACCAGGGACCCCCUAAGUUGCCGAUGGAUUGACCAAGCAGUAGUUUUUGGGCUACUUGAUGGAGGAGGUGAUAAGCAGAGCCGAGCAGGUAUCGGCCAAGAGGAAAUCGGCCACCAUUAGCUAACCUUUCUGCUGCCGUUAGGUAGACAGAGGUUGGUCCUGCCGAUCGACCACAGAAUACAAACUUAUCUAACCACAUGUUCAGGAAGGUGGUCUGUUCCUUUAUACUGACAGGUCCUGUUCGGCGGUACUUCUGAAUAUACCCUGACCAACCGCCGAUAGCACGGGUUUCUACCUUAGCACUGGGCUUGGUGUCGAACAGGUGGGUGGUAUCGGCAGUGGAUAUGUCUAAACCGGUGAGCAUAAGAACAUCGGCAAGUGUGGGGGAAGCAGGGCCAUGUCCGAACACGAAAGCAUUAAGUGUAUCUAACCAGAAGUAUGAGGCAGCUAUUAGUAGCGACUCAUUUCUCUCCAUAUCGGCAAGAGACAAUCUAAUGCACUGAUCUAAUUUCCGUUCACCCCAUUGGACUUCAUUUGAAUUACUGAUUCUUAGAAACCAAUCCUUCCAUCCCUUGGUAGGACAGGGCCAGGAACGGAAGGCGUCUUUCCAUAGAUCUAAAGAAAAAUUCUCGGCUCUGAAAGCGAUUUUAUUUGUCUCUGCAUUUAUGAGAUCGGUGGGAUCCAAGUUCCCUAGUGGACCAAGGCAUUGGAGAUGGGGUUGAUCGGUAGGAAUAACGAUCUUGUCAGCCAAAUCCUAGAAAUUUUUAGGAAUGAAAAGAAGAACAAAAAGAAAAAGGAUUCGGUAAGAAAGAUUGCGGAUGAACCGGGGUAUAGUAAAAGUACAGAAAAAGGGCAGUACGCUGACCUCACGAACGACGAAGUUGAUGGCCAUCUCCUCGCAGGGGACAAGAUCGAAAACUUAGGAGUUGUUGGAAGAAGUUCUUGUCGGAGUUCUUGGAGCUCUCAAAUAGUGUCGCCGCCUGGAAAGCAGAGUUGGGGCUGUAGAAUGAUGCGAUGGAGAAGGAGUACCCGAGAAGGAAGUAUUUAUAGGACAAAACGAUCAAGGGCAAAUUUGACUUAUCUCUUCGCCGUAUCUGUGAAAUCCGAGGAUACUCAGGUGGAUAUUGUAACAGAACCGCCCAAAUUAUAAGAGAUUAAGCCUAAUGGUGACUAUUUGCAUAGUCAUCCCAUCGAGCUUAAACCCAUGUAAUCCCGGUAGUCCGUGAAAUCUCGAAGGAUUUCAAACCACAUAACGUACAUACAGCCAAGAUCGUAAUAAGUUUAGCAGUCACCAUCCACAAUUACAUCCAGUUCAUAAACGACCAUCAAAUACAUCAGAGUGCUUAAAAUUAUUACAAACCAAGUUCUCAAGUAGCGGAAGCUUCAUAGUUCGAAAAUAACACACACAUACUUAGUCUGGUAUAGUGCCAUAGUUCAGUCAUUCCCACAAAAGCAAAAGAGGAGGUAGAGUGACCAUCACCCUUGGUCUAGUCAUCGCCCAUUGCUGGGUACAAGCAGAGGAUGCAAUAACUAUAGUAUAUUUGACCAUCUGCAAAACAACAUGGGAGUAGAACCCUGAGUACGAGAAUGUACUCAGCUAGACUUACCCGUCAUAAACCAAAAAUAAAGACUCUUCAAGGAUCAUGAAGGCUAUAUGGUGGGGGUAGCUGAUGACUUUUUUGGCGUAAAAGCACUAUUCUAUUAAACAUAUCCUAUAGGAAUCCUCUUUCUUUUAAUUAGCUCAGGUUGAAAGUAUCGUUACCUAUUAGCUAGGUUUGCUCCUGCACUAUGGCAAACAAAUAUAAUAAUAUGAUGGUACCUCAUCCUAGCAUUCAUGCAAUUUUUUCAUCAUAUAAGCCAAGUGUUCCAUAGUCCUUACUACGAGGACGAAGCUCAUGUCAAGUGCUCACUAUCCAAGAGCGAUGGCGAUUCGAAUCGAUUUCUAACCAGCUGGCGAGUUAUUCCCCGCACAAACCACACUCACUGAUCAACUGAGCUACAGAUCACCGUGUUGCACUAUCCAGGACCAAUUCGCGGGUUUGACAGGCACCGCCCGUACCCGAGGACCGUUCCGGCGACCGAGGUAUCCAAGGUAUACCAAGGUUGCGCGCCGCGCCCUCGUCGUUCUCCUCAACCCUCACCAAUACAGCGCGUACAUCGGGCCGAUUCCCGGCCCGGAUAGUGCUCAGGCUUCGCGGUAGGAACGACUUAUCCUUCCAGCUAAGUGUGGGGCAUGCGUUCAACAUGACAAGAGGGCCGUCAACGAUCGGUCCUUAAUCGACACAGGCAGGGGCACUACAGCCAACCCACCAUAAGACCCUGCCCGGUCUCAAAUUCCAUUCCACACUUGGUAAUCUUUCCCAAAGCAAUCACCGCUUAAUCAAGCAGGUAUCCACCUAUAUCUCGUAGGUGACAGGAAAUCACCCGACUUCUACCGGACUAAGCAAGCUAAGAAUAGACUCCGUGCCUAUAUACAUAGGACAAGGUAGAUAAACAAAUGGUGAUAUCAAGGAGAACAUAUGCAUCAACGGUAUCAAGCAAUUCCUAUCACUUAAAUGCAACAUAGUAAAACAAGCAUAAUAUAUCGUUUAUGUUAGUGAGAAUAGGGAGACUUAGAAUGCUCCGGGGCUUGCCUUUCUCAAACGUGCUCGGCUUGUGAUCCGGGCACUCUUGCAGCUCUUCUCCGGGUUCUGACACUCCCAGAGGUUCCUGCUCCUAUGCUUCCUCCUGCUCCUCGGGUCCCACCUCAUUCUCCUGUGAGCCUGUAUGAUGCAUGGAUGCUCAUUAGUGGAGUGCGAGAUGCCCGGGGUGCAAUGCUCAUACGAGAGGAUACCAAAUGACCAUGACAUGAUGCAUAGAUGAUUUAGGUGGUCAUUUUUACAAGGUAGUCAACAUCAUUCAAGAACAUGCAAUUACACUAAGCAUCUAUUUCCUUCUCUUCUACAAAUUGUCCUCAAGUGAAACCAGCAAACUCACAAGAUGCUUCAAAGAUACACCAAACCCCUUUUAGUCUACUUAAUCUAUAUAUAACAAUUCAUAAUUUCUUUAUCCAUUUUUAGGCCUACCAAACUAUCAUACAUUUCUAUUUAUCAAUAAAUUCCACAAAAAUUACAGUAGACUACCAGUCAAACGUAAAGUCUACCAUAAAUUUUUCAUAAUAUUUGGACACUUAUUUUGAGCUACAAAAAUCACAAGAUUAAUUCACAAAAGCAAGUAUAAAUACUCUACUGUGUUAUAAGUGUCAAACAGCAGAUUUCAUAUUUUUAUAAUUUGCUUAUUAUCCUCAGAAACACCCACAAAAAUUCCCAGAUUAAUUGCAUGAUCCAAUUAUUUAUUAAAAAUCAUAAACCACUGCCAUGCAAGCAUUUAAAUCACCAACAAUUAAUUCACACAACAAAUAAUGUGUAACAUAUUUUUCCUAGAGCCUAAUCAUCCAUGCAGAGCCAACAAAACAAAUUUCAUAUUUUUCUAAGCUUUAUUUUAAUUACUAUGCAUUUUCCAAUCCUAGCAAAAACAAGGAUUAAAUAUAUUUAUACACAAAAGUUGUUCAAACAUGACAUGCAACCACACCAGGCUAUAGAUCUGAGAAUAGGGAACACACCAAAAUUUGUUUCACCAAUUUUGGAGCUAUACAACUCAAGAUAUGGAUUUUACAUUAUUUAAAUCAAUUUCUGGAAAACCUUUAUUUAAGAAAACCGAUAGAAAACGUUAGAUUCACCCAGAUCCACACCCGCAGAGGCGCUGACAGGUGGGAUCCAGGGGUCGUGGCCCCACGGGUCAGCCAUGCAGCACUCCGGCUAACUUUGGCCGGCCGGCUCUUGCCGACGGCGAGGUCUCCGGCCACUGGGUGAGCACCAGCGUGCUCCCCACAGCGAGGCGCACCCAAGGGUGCCCUUAGAUCGGCCGGGGGAGCAUGCAUGGCGGCACGGCGACGCUGCUCGCCGUGGCCAGGCCGCUCCGGUGCGGUAGACCGCGCGCGAGUGCUCCUUCGAGCUUCCUCACCGAACUACGGACCUAACGCACCCAAAAACGAGCGAAAAGAUGCAGGGACUAGUGAGAUUCGACACGGCAGAGCUCUCCGUCGUGGUCGGAGCAACUCCGGCGAGCGAUUCACGGCGCACGACGGGCUCUCACCUCGGUAGAGCGUUCGCAGGGGCUUACCGCGGCGGCGACGAGUGCGCUGGUGGUCUUGGCGUCGAGGUUGGGGCACUGGCGUGGCCGGCGGUGAGCAGCGGAGCCCUCCGGCGAUGGCGCUGCGGCGGAGCUGCUACGGCUGCGACGCUCGCGAGCGGAGGAGGAGGAAGGAGAGAGGAGCGGGGCGACAGAGUGGAGCCUGGGGGCGGCGUCCCGACCAGGUUAUAGCCGGUCGGCCGCGGCGCGUCCAACGCCAGCGUACGGCCGCCACGUGGCCGGCGCCGAGUGGAGCGAGGUGGGCGCCGCGCGCGGGAGAGAGAGAGGGGAGGGGAAGUGGGCCGCGCUGUCUGGCUGGGCCGAAAGGGAGGCGGGUCGGCCCAGCAGCGCGUGUCCCCUUUUCUUUUUUUUGAUUUUUUUUUCUCCAAAAAGUUUAAAUGAGACUUUUGAAGCUUUUACAAAACUUUUCAGGGGUUGGAGUAAAAAGAAGAAUGGUUCCCCAUAAAAUUCCCUACAACUUUGCUUUAAGAAGUGAAGCCAAAUUCCAAUUAGAAUUUGAAUCACAAAUUAAAACUAGUUCUAGGUUUUUAAAUAAAUUCAUUUUAGGAAUUUUGUAUAAAUUCCAUUUCUCAAAUCCUAUGGCUCCAAAAAUUUCACAAAAUUACUCUUAAACCAUUUUAACACACAAUUCAACCUAAUUUGAAUAUUUCACAAUUUUAGAAGCAAGCAUAAUAUUUUUAAUCAUAUUUAAUCCACCUAAAUAAAGCACACAUAAAAUCACACUUGAAUUACUAUUAUGCUCAUGGGAUGUGAUGCUUAUGCCAUGCUUGAUGAGAAUGGUUAUGAAUGUUUUAUGAGACUAAGUGCAUGCGUAACACCUAGGGUGUUACAGCCCUUCCCCCCUUAGGGAAAUCUCGUCUCGAGAUUUGGGUUACUAACCAUUUCUUAUGAAAUUUUGGGUAAACUGUUUUUAGGUAAUCCUCGGUUUCCCAGGUGGCAUCCCUAUCAUCAUAAUGACUCCACACCACCUUGUAUGUUUUGACAAUUCUGUUCUAGGUUACCCGCUCCUUGGUAUCUACGAUACCCAAUGGCUGCUCCCUAUAUUCUAAGUCUGCUUUUAUUUUGAUUUCUCUGGGUUCAAUCCUUUGCUCGGGUACCUUCAAACAUUUCCGUAGCUGGGACACAUGGAAGUCUAGAAAGAUUGAACUCAACUCUUCAGGUAAUUGAAUCUUAUAAGCCACGAUUCCUUUUCUUUCUAGUAUCUGAUAUGGUCCCACAUAUCUGGGUGCAAGCUUGCUUCAAACUCGGAAACGCUGAACUUUCUUCAUUGGCGUAACUUUGAGGUAAACAUAGUCACCUACAUUGAACUCAAGUGGCCUUCUUUGCUUUUCAGCAUAACUCUUUUGUCGCGAUUGUGCCACCUUCAUGUGCUGUUGUAUGAUUUUCACUUUCUUCUCAGCUUCAUUCACGAAGUCGAUACCAUAGUAUCUCCUUUCACCAGGUUCAACCCAGUUUAACGGAGUCCUGCACCUUUGACCAUACAGAGCUUCGAACGGGGCCAUCUUGAUACUCUCCUGAUAACUAUUAUUGUAUGAGAACUCAACCAAUGGCAACCAUGAUUCCCAUGAUCCCUUGGACGAUAACACACAAGCCCUCAGCAUAUCUUCUAGUACUUGAUUGAGUCUUUCCGUUUGACCCGAGGUCUGGGGAUGAUACGUUGUGCUUCUUAUCAGACUAGUCCCCAAACUCUUAUGCAUUCGCUCCCAAAAGUGAUUGGUGAACUGUGGUCCUCUAUCUGAUAUGAUGGUCUUGGGAAUGCCAUGUAACUUGACGAUCUCAGCCAUAUAUAUAUCAGCAUACUCAGGACGUCUGUAUGUGCUCUUAACUGGAAUGAAAUGAGCCGACUUGGUCAACCGAUCUAUGAUUACCCAAAUCGAGUCAUUCCCCUUUCGUGUUGUCGGCAAACCUAUGAUAAAAUCAAUGCUGACCUCUUCCCAUUUCCACUCUGGAACUGAUAACAGUUGUUACAGACUUGCAGAUUUCAUAUGUAUAGCCUUGACUCUGCAACACGUGUCACAACGGGCCACAUACGUUGCUAUCUCUUUCUUCAUCUUAGUCCACCAAAAGUGAGAUCUUAGGUCUUGAUACAUCUUACUACUGCCAGGAUGAAUAGAAAGCUUGGAGAGAUGGGCUUCAUCUAUGAUGCGGUUCUUCAAUUCUCGAUUCUUCGGAACUACCAGCCGAUGCUGAAACCACAAUACCCCUUUUUCAUCAACUCUAAAUUGAGUCCUUAGGUCAUUUUUGAUCUUUUCUUUGAUAUGGAAAAUACCCUUGUCUGUUUUCUGGCCUUCGAUGACUUGACUCUCAAGUGAACAACUAAGUUAUAUGUGACAUAAGACUUCAGGAUGCAUGAGAUUGAAACCAUCUUCAAACAACGGUUGAAUCACUUGAUAGUGCGGUUUGCGACUCAAUGCAUCUGCUAGAAUGGCGUGCUACCUUCGGGAACGGCGUGGCCACGGAGAGGGUUCACGGCGGCGGUCUCGGCCGGAGUUGGAGGAGAACAGGGGAGCCCCGGCGAUUGAGUGGAGUAGGAAGUGAGCUCGGGGGUGCGAUGGGUUCACAAGGAGGUGGCGGAUGCUGUGGACUGGUCAAUUUGUCGCGAGGGGGACCGAGUACGGUGAAUUUUGAGGGAGAGGCUCGUCGGGAUUCUUCGGCUUGGAACGGGAAAACGCGCGGCGCCGCCCACACUGGUGCUCAAAGGGGAGGAGGAAGCGAGCCCGAGGUGUCCACGUCGCCUGGCGGCACUGGCAGCAAGCAGCUGCGUGCUUGCACGCAUGCGCGCGGCGCUGCUCGCGCGGCGGCUGCGUUGGACAGGGGCCGGUGAUCCUCAUCGGAUCACUGUAGCUGGCCCUUAUCCUCCCCCUUUCUGUCUUUUGUGAAAUUCGCCCAAAAUUUGAAUUAAAGUCCUAAAUCCGUUAAAACAAAAGUUGUGCAGAAUUUUAUAAUCUACAAAAGAUAUUUUAGUGUCCAAAGCUGAUUCCAAGUGGAAAAGGGUGAAUUUGACAAAACAGUUUGAACUUCAAAUCUCAAAUUGGGGAAAAUUCCAAUUUUUGAAUUGGGGCAGAUCAGAAUUUCCAAAAAUUACUUUUGAUUUUUCCAAACAACUUGAAAAACUCCCAACAUGAAAGUUGUUCAACUUUUUGAGCUCUACAACUUUCAUGUUGGUCACUUUUCAAAAUCCCAAAUAGAUUUUGAAUUGGAGGUUCAAAUUGGAAAAGGGGACACUUUCUGGAAAUCUGUAUUUUCAAAAUUACUUUGAAUUUUGUAUUGAAACUUCAAAAACUCAAAACACCAAAGUUGUACAUCUUGACAAGAUCUACAACUUUGCUUCUGAUCUCAACCUCAAAUUUUGCUUGGUUUUUAAAUUGCACAAAAGGGGGCAAAUCUGGGGUUCAAAAUCAAGGUUCCCCCCCCCUAGGCCUUCGGAAAACCUUUACCCUAGGGUUUUAGCAACCAACUCAAGCAUCAAUGUACAAGAUAAACACACUUUAGUUUCCUAAGCACAUUCAACCAAAUUAAACUCAUUUUAAGUUGAUGCAUCAAGUUGUGCUUAACAACUAUGCUGUGCAAUGCUGAUGAUGCCAUGAUCCGAAUUUUAGUAACCGUAACAUUGAGGAUGUUACAGCCCUUCCCCCUUAAAGAAAUCUCGUCCCCGAGAUUUAAAGCCUUAGGGUAAGUAAUGGAAAAGGAAAUUUGUCAAAACUCUUUCAUCUUUAAUUUUCCCAUAAAGCAAGAAGUUGGGGAAGAUUACUCAAUUAUAAAUGUACACUGAGUACAUGGCUUUGGCUACUCUUUUCCUUCACUAGAGUACAUUCCCUAUUCAUCAGAUGUUGUCCUGAAGAGAAGCGUGGAACUCAAGAAAAUUCUCCAACAGAUAAUCUUCAGAUUCCCACGUAGCUUCCCCUUCAGAGUGCUGGCUCCACUGUACCUUGUACCACUUGGUAGUUGUUCUUCGAGUAACUCUAUUUCUUUGGUCCAGUACUCGGAUAGGAUACUCCGAGUAAGUUAGAUCCGGUUUAAGUUCCACAUCUUCAAUAUCCUGAACUUGGUCUGGUACUCGAAGACACUUUUUCAGUUGAGACACAUGGAAUACAUUGUGUAUCCCGGAUAAUCGUUCGGGCAGUUUAAGGCGGUAAGCUACCUGUCCACAUCGGUCAACGAUUGGAAAUGGACCAAUGUAACGGGGUGCUAAUUUGCCUUUAACACCAAAACGAUUUACUCCUUUCAUUGGGGACACUUUCAAAUAUACAUGAUCACCUUUGGCGAACCUUAAUGGUCGACGUCUUUUAUCGGCGUAGCUUUUCUGUCGGGACUGAGCAACUUUCAAGUUAUUUUGGAUUUGUCUAACUUUGUUCUCAGUCUCUUUCACUAAGUCAACCCCGAAGAACCAUCUUUCUCCGGGUUCCGACCAGUGUAACGGAGUUCGACAUCGACGGCCAUAUAGUGCCUCAAAGGGAGCCAUCUUGAUACUCUCUUGGUAGCUAUUGUUUCAAGAAAAUUCUGCCAGAGGCAAGCAGUCAUCCCACUUAUCUGGAAAAUUCAGGGCACAAGAUCUUAAUAGAUCUUCUAGGGUUUGAUUCACGCUUUCAAUUUGCCCACCGGUUUGAGGGUGGUAGGCUGUGCUGUAUAAAAGUUUGGUGCCCAAGGAUUCAUGUAAGCAUUUCCAGAACUGGGAGACAAAUUGUGUGCCUCUAUCUGACACUAUUGUCUUUGGCACCCCAUGAAGACUUAGUAUGUGAUCAAAAUAAAUCUGAGCAUAGGUGGAAGUAUGAUACGAUGUCUUUACAGGUAAGAAGUGUGCUGUUUUCGUGAGACGAUCCACAAUGACCCAAAUAGAAUCAAAGCCUUUGGCCGUCUUGGGCAAUCCUACUAUGAAAUCCAUACUAAUAUCAUGCCAUUUCCAAGCUGGAAUAGGCAAGGGUUGCAACUCUCCAGCGGAUUUGAGAUGAAUAGCUUUGACUUUUCGGCAGGUGUCACAUUGGGCCACAUAGCGGGCUAUUUCUAUCUUCAUUUUUGUCCACCAAAACCUUUGCUUUAGGUCCUGAUACAUCUUAUUGCUUCCCGGAUGAAUAGAAUACCUCGUGGUAUGAGCUUCAUCCAGGAUUUGUUGACGUAGCUCAUGUACCUUUGGAACCACUAACCGGUUCUUGAACCAGAUUACUCCUGCAUCAUCCACCUUAAAGUCUGUGGGUGCUCUAUUAGAAAUUUUCUCUUUAGGAUGUUUCAUGCCGUUGUCUUCCUUUUGUGCCUCUAUGAUUUGAGCUUCGAGAUUAAACUCAAUCUUUAGAUUGGCAAGGCUUCCUUGGGAAAUCAUUUCUAUCCCCAAGUUCUCUAGCUCUUGGCACAAAGAUAAUCUCUAGGCGUCACUGUUAAGCAAUUACAGUGAGCCUUACGACUGAGGGCACCAGCUACUACAUUUGCCUUGCCAGGAUGAUAAUGCACCUCAAGGUCGUAAUCUUUGAUUAAUUCUAGCCACCUUCGUUGGCGCAUAUUAAGCUCGGCUUGAGUAAAAAUAUACUUCAAGCUUUUGUGAUCGGUGUAUAAAUGACAUGUAUUCCCCAACAGAUAAUGGCGCCAGAUCUUUAAUGCAUGUACCACGGCGGCUAGUUCAAGAUUAUGGGUCGGGUAAUUCUCCUCAUGUGGUUUAAGCUGUCGGGAAGCAUAUGCAAUUACGCGACCCUCCUGCAUUAGCACACAGCCUAUCCCAAUCCCUGAUGCAUCACAAUACACAUCAAAGGAUUUUUCAAUAUCUGGCUGAGCUAAGAUAGGUGCAGUUGUCAAUAACCUUUUCAGAGUCUGAAAGGCUUGCUCACAUUGGGAUGACCAAACAAAUUUUGUUUGAUUUUUGAGCAAGGUCGUGAUUGGUUUGGCGACUCUUGAAAAGUCCGAGAUAAAACGACGGUAAUAUCCCACCAUACCCAGAAAACUACGGACCUCAUGUACCGUAGUCGGGGGUUUCCAGUUCAACACAUCUUCUACCUUGCCUGGGUCUACAGCGACUCCUUCCGCCGAUAAUACAUGACCUAGGAAAUGAACUUUGUCCAGCUAGAACUCACAUUUGCUGAACUUGGCAUAUAGUUGAUGCUCCCUAAGGCGGGUCAGCACGAUUCUCAAAUGUUCAGCAUGUUCUUUCUUAGUCUUGGAGUAGAUUAAGAUGUCAUCAAUAAAGACGACUACAAAUUUGUCUAGUUCUGGCAUGAAGACAGAGUUCAUCAGGUACAUGAAAUGGGCCGGUGCAUUGGUCAACCCAAAAGACAUUACCAAAUAUUCAUACAGCCCGUAACGGGUUGUAAAAGCUGUCUUGGGCACAUCUUCCGGCCUAAUUUUAAUUUGGUGGUACCCUGAUCUCAAAUCAAUUUUUGAGAAUACUUUGGCCCCGGCUAGCUGGUCAAAUAAUAAGUCAAUACGGGGCAAUGGGUACUUGUUCUUAAUCGUCACCUCAUUUAGGGGACGAUAGUCGACACACAGCCUUAACGUUUGAUCUUUCUUUUUCACAAACAAGGCUGGGCAACCCCAUGGAGAAGAACUGGACUGAAUAAAACCUUUCUGCAACAGCUCUUGUAGUUGGGUUUUUAAUUCGGCCAGCUCUUUUGGUGCCAUUCUAUAGGCCCUUCGAGAUAUUGGGGCUGUCCCUGGUUUCAAUUCUAUACUGAAUUGUACAUCCUGGUCCGGUGGCAGACCUGGUAGGUCUUCAGGAAAUACAUCCGGAAAAUCUCGAACUACUAGGAUAUCUUUGACUGCAGACACAUUAGUGGCAUGAACUUGCCCAAUUGCCCGCUUGGGAGUAACUAAUUGAAUUAGCAGAUAGGAAUUCUCAAUGGGCAAUGGGAUUUUCAUGGUUCGGUACAAAGUGUCUAGCACAACCCCUCGUUGUGCCAUCCAGUUCAUGCCUAGUAUGACAUCAAUCUCUUGGUCUUUAAGAACAAUCAUGCUAGUGGGAAAAUUAUGCCCACCAAAUUCGAUGGGUAUCUGGUGAACCAUCUCUUUAGAACUCAGCCGUCCUCCUAGCGACUGUAUAUAAAAAUGAUCUUGUGUUUCCCCAAUGGGUAUGCCAUGCUUUAACACAAAGGUGCGAUUGAUGAAUGUAUGAGGUGCACCAGAAUCGAAAAGCGUUAAAGCAGGAUGUUUCGUGAUAGGAAACGUACCCAUCAUUACUGGUUCACCCUCCGGGAUCGUCUCCACCUCCGUAUGGAAGACUUGUCCCACUUUCUUCGCUGGUUUUUCCCUUUGCACAUUUUGUCCUUUCUGAACCCCAGUCCUGAAUUGGCCCGGCUGGGGUUGGCCCAUAGGUGGCCUUUGGAAGGUGGGGUUGGUUUGGCGGGGGUAAGGGCAUUCUUUAGAAAAAUGCCCAGGCUUACCACAAUUAAAACAAGGGUAAUUGUGGUUGGGUGGAGCAGUGGGGCGAACACCUGGGGCGUUCGGCUGGCGUGGUGCAAGGGCGAUGGCAGUAGGUCGAGGGUAUACCUGCUGCCCUGGUCUAUAUUGUGGUGGGGAAAAGGGACCACGAUAAGGUGACGGCGCCUGAAAGCGUCCGUGGCCCUGCGGAUGAUAAAUGAUUCUCUGGCGCUUUUGACCGCGACCAGAGAAGGAAGAAGAAGCAGCCUUUUUCUUGGCUUCUUUGUGCUUUCUAUUCUUUUCUUCUGAGGCGAUGGCAAUAUUUACCGCCUCGUAGAAGGUAGCAUUUUGGCAGGUGGUCAUCAUGGUCUGAAGUUUAGUAUUUAGACCACGCAUGAAGCAGGCUUUCUUCUUUCUGUCCGUGUUCACAUGGUCUGUGGCAUAUUGAGAGAGAUGAUUAAACUUUGCCACGUACUCCAUGACACUUUUACCGCCUUGCUGCAAGGCGAGAAAUUCUUCGGCCUUCAUGGCCAUAAGCCCUUCAGGGAUGUAAUGGGUGUGGAACGCGUCCCUAAACUCGGCCCAGGUGACCUGGUGUCCCGGAGCUUGGAUAGCUAGGAAGUUCUCCCACCAGGCACCUGCAGCUCCCCGAAGCUGCUGAGCUGCGAACAGGGGCUUCUGAGUUUCUGAACACUGAAUCAAACUGAACUUGUGCUCCAUGGUCCGGAGCCAAUCAUCUGCUUCUAACGGCUCAUCAGCCUUAGUGAAUACCGGGGGCCUUGUCUCGGUAAAGUCCACGUACCGAGCUUCUCCGUCCCCAUUGUGCUGUGCUCUGAAGUUUGGGGCGGGGUGUGGUUGACGUUGUGCUAACUCGCGCAGCAAGCGAGCAUUGUCGGUAGUGGCACUCAAAAGAACAGCAAUGGCAUCAGCCAAAGAAGGUGGAGCAGGUGGAGGGUUGGGGAUAUCAUCCCCUCCCUGAGAUGUCCCAGCUCCAUCAGAUCCGCGUGUACGCAUCGGCAUCUGCUACAAGAGUCAUAUAUAUACUUGUUACCACAUGAAAUUCAUAACUUAGAACAUAUCUUACAUACUUCCAUUUAUUUAUUAAACAUCAGUUCGACACACCAGGAACAAACAGGUACAACUUCUCAAACUGAAAGAGAACUUUAUAUUACAAACCCGACCCCACUACGGUAAACUAGGAAUCCUACAACGACAUUGCCCGCGGCUUCACCGAACUAGUCGGUGUGGCCAGAGCUGUAGCCCGGGUCGUCAUUGCCAUCAUCCUGAUUAACCCCCGGGUUGUUGUCAUCUGGGUCGGACUCCUCUUCAUCACUGAGGCCUUGAUCGGGUUCCCCAUCGUCCGCCAAUUCUCCAUCCGUAUCCAUCUCUCCUUCGCCUGGAGGUGGAUGGAGCUGAUGAUAUAUGUCAAAUGCAAUAUCAUGAUAUUGCAUUGCCAAGUCAUUGACAGUAUCUAAAUGAUGUGCCAGCUCCAGCUUCUCCAACUGGAGCUGGUCCUCCCGCUGCCACGCGACAUCCCGCUGCGCGGUGACCGUGGCCGCCAUCUUCACGUACAGAUCUUUGAGCUACCUGGCCUUGCCCAGCUUCGCAUUUGUUGACGGUGGAUAUACCAUAGAAAUCCACAUACAAAACACCGUCAACAUGCCUCGGUUGCAAGGGGAAAUGACAUGACAUGAACAUAUUUUAUCCAUAACUAGUUCCACUUGUACUCUUAGCUUGUUUAUGCAGGAACAACAAAUUCAAGACAUUAUUUGACAAAGCCAACAUCAGAAUCAUCAAGAGGAGAUCGAGGGGACAACAGGUGACACCCUGGGUCCACAGGGAGGGGGUCGCCCGACCCCUCUUUGGUGGGACCCAGGUGUGCCACCUAGUCCACCGACAUAAGGGACCCCUGUGGACACUGCUGGUGGGCCCAGAGGCCCAGAAGUGGGGUCGCCCGACCCCACAUCAAAGGCGGUUCCCGGGUCGGUGGCCUCCCACCGACCUUCCCCACAUGUCCCACAUGUUGAUUUGCCCCUGCCGUUGAUCAAAUGGCGGUUGUGAGGUCGGUUUGGUCCAAGGGUGGAGAGAAGAUGUCACGCGGAUCGAUGACAUGGCGAUGGAGUAACCCCUACUCCAUCUCCCUCUAUAAAAGGCAGCCUCCAUCCUUCAUUUCAAGUGUGCAAUUCCAAGGCCAAGUGCAUUACAAGUUCCAAGCAUACAAGUAGAGUAGUAGUUAGUCUAGAGUGGGAGUUAGAGUCGAGUCGAGCGAAGCUCGGGGUCUCCGGAGUCGUCUUCUGUAGAGUCUGGUAUAGACCUUGGAUUCACCACUACCCUUCGUAUUCGUCAUUUACCACCCUUAUUCACUAGUUGAUACUAGACAACUCAAGGAAUCUCAUUCCCCUUUUUGUUAAACACACUUAGCCGCUUUCCCUUGGGAAAAUAUAAAUUACGAUACCUUGGAAUACUCCUUGGUGAAGUGCUACAGCGGUACAUUCUGUGCGCUUGCGGAAUUAUCCAAUAGUAAAUAGAGUUACCCUACCAGGGCACUUCUGGCGCCGUCGCCGAUAUCCGGUGGUUGCGUUAAGAAGUGUCAACAAGCAUUUCUGGCGCCGUUGCCGGGGAGAGCGUCUGUCUAAGAGUUUUAACAAAAGGAGAAUCCAGAGUUUGCUAGUUAUCAAGUAGUGAUAGGGAUAACCCAUCACUUGUCUUGUCUUCCUUUAUUGUGAAGCCUGACAGUGUAUGAGCGGUUUCCAAUUGCCGUCAAACUUCGUUGAAGAUCCUGAGCAACUGUUGAGGAGAACUAGACGUCGUCAAGUUCCACCUCAAAGGUUCAUCUCGAACCUGAAUCCGUUAGAGGAAGGAGUAUCUGCACCGGUUAUCAAAGAAGCUAUGGCCCAGAAGACCAUCUCUGAGUACUCUGCGCCGUCGGCUGACAAUGUCGCCACGGGUCCGCAGCUUAACUUGGGGGAUGCGACUUUUGAGUUGAAGCCUGCACUUAUCAAUAUGGUGCAAGCCAAUCCCUUCUAUGGAAAGUCACACGAGGAUGCCAAUGCCCAUCUCCAACACUUCUUGGAGGUGUGCGGCACCUUCACCAUCAAGAAUGUCGCCGCAGACGCCAUCCGUCUUCGCCUCUUCCCAUUCUCGUUAUUGGGGAAGGCGAAGCAAUGGUUCUACGCCAACAAGGGUGAAGUGACCACGUGGGAGAGGUGCGCCAAUGCAUUUCUCAAGAAGUUCUUUCCGAUGGGCAAGACCAGCGCCCUUCGUGGAAAGAUUUCCAGCUUCCAACAGCAAGCGGAUGAGACGAUUCCCGAAGCAUGGGAACGUCUGCAGGAGUACAUUCGCGCCUGUCCUCAUCAUGGGAUAGAGGAGUGGCUCCUAAUCCAAGGUUUCUACCAUGGCCUGACCGGUUUGGCCCGUAGUCACCUUGAUGCUGCCGCUGGAGGAGCAUUCUUGCAACACAAUGUCAAGGAUGCCAAGGACCUCAUUGAAAAGAUGGUUAUAAACCAAGGAUGGAAUGAGGAACGCCUCCAACCCAAGAGAAGAGGUGUCCAUGCCUUGAAUGAGGUGGACAUGCUCUCUGCUAAGAUGGACCUCUUAAUGAAGAAGAUGGAAGAAAGUUCCAAGCAAGAGGCCAUUCAACCUUACGCCACUACACGGGCCAUUGAAUCUGAUUCAUGGUGCGAAGUGUGCGGAGGAGAUGAUCAUUCGGGAAACAAUUGUCCCGAAACAAAGGAGGAAGUGAGCUUCAUCAACAACAACAACAAUGGGUACCGGCCCCAACAACAGCAAUGGAACUCGCGCCCCUUCUACCAAGGUAAUCAAGGUAAUGGUUACAAUCAAAAUUUCAAUAAUUCUUUUGGUAACCAACCUUCUCUUAGAGAUCUUGUCUUAGGCCAAUCUAAAAUCAAUGACAGCAUUAACAAGAAAAUGAUGGCUAAUGAUAAGAUCCUUGAAAACUUAAGUGAAAAGUUGGAUAGCUUUAACUCUGCUAUGAAAAAUCAGUUGAGCUUCAACAAAAUGCUAGAAACACAAUUAGCUCAAUUAGCAGCAGCUAUCCCAUCCUUCGAGCAAGGUAAGAUCCCAGGGAAACCUGAGGACCCAAUUGAAGGAGUUAAACUAGUUACUACGAGGUUCGGUAAGCCUCCGGUACAAUCCAACUGGAGCUAUCUUCUGGAUUCGCCCUUCAUCACCAAGAAGGACGACCCAGGCCUGCCGACCAUCACCUGUGAGAUCGGACCGCAAAUCUUCCACAACGCCUUCUGCGACCUUGGAUCGGGUGUCAACAUCAUGGCCAAGGUAACUUAUGAUAAUUUGCUAGGAGGGCCUUUGCACCCCACAUUUGUUCGUUUGCAGAUGGCAGAUCAGACGAUCAGGUUCCCUGAGGGGUUGGCAAGGGACAUACUGGUAAAAGUUCAAGACGACUACGUCCCUGCCGACUUCAUCAUUCUAGAUAUGGGAUCCAAUAAUGAUGUCUCGAUCAUCUUGGGAAGGCCAUUCCUCAACACGGUCAAUGAAGUCAUCUAUGUGGGGUCCGGCCAGAUUCACCUCCAAUUCCCAGGAUGGAAGGUAAAAUGUCCAUUCAAUGGUUAUAAAGCUAACAUGCAGGUGAAGGACAAAGAACCUCCGACUAAGCCUCGCCACAUCCGACGCCGAAGGGACAAGAGAGGUAAGUCGGCCAAAAGGGCCGAAAAGAAAGAAGAGGAACCCGCUGAACCAAAAAUCAAUACCAAGCAAGUAUGGCGGGAGAAAGAGGUGCAAUCAAGGUCCACGUCUCCGGGACCAUCUGAUGCACCCGAAGAAUGAACAAGAUGGAGAGGUCCUGCUCUACGGACCUAAAACAUGGAGCCCUUGCUGAUAAGGUAAAUCAGUAGUUAUCCCAUAUUUAUUUUCUGCAUUUCAAUUUCUACUAUUCACUUUUCAAUUGCAUUCUUACUUUGAAUUUUGCAUAUCUUAUUUCGACAAAAUGUUUAGCCAUAAUAAAUAAAAUCUUGAGAAUAACUUGUCAUAAAAAUUUGAGCUGCUGGAGCUCCCAAAGGGGGGUCGCCCGACCCCACCUUGGGGCCCACUUCACCCCAUUUCAACCUUGCUAGUCAUAGAGGUUCCAACCCAGCACUUGGAUGCUCUGGGAGCUCCAAUGUGGGGGUCGGCCGACCCCCAUAUUGGCCCCACUUGCCUCCUGCUGGCCACCAUUUGAAUCACAAUGGAGUCCUAUGCUUGUAACACUAGCUAAAGUUUGAAAAAGAGUGGUCCCUUGAUCCUUUACUUUAGUCAUAAGAUGCUCCUUUCAUCUUUGAUUCUUUUGGGACCACUCCACUAGCUUAAAUUCUGCAAAGUGGUCACCUAGGCAUGCUUGAGUGCUCCCAUGGUCCAUAGGAAUCACUUUAGACAUGUAUCCACUUUUGCCAUUCAUCUUUUACCUUUCACAAAGCACUAAAACAGGGAAUCUCAGAAACAAUUUGAAAACUUUUGGUCCACACCUAGCCUUUACUUUUCUGGACAAUCAAUGACACAAUGUUUAAAGUGGAGGAGGGGCUAGGAUGGGGGUCGGCCGACCCCCAUUUUUGGACCAUCUCUGCAAAAUCUUGAAAGCAUGCAGAAUGGUUCCCUGUAUAAAGCUAAAUUCAAAUUCAAAGUGCUUCUAGGGGGGGUCGGCCGACCCCUAUAUUGUGGGUCCACUACUUGCCCUUCUUCCCCUAUAAAUACCACAACAUUGUGAGCUCAACUCCACACCCAAAACCACCAGAACCAUUUCGAGCUCACAAUCCUUUCUCUUCUCUCUUUGUUACAAGCCAUUUCUCAAGUUUAGUUUAGAAAUAGUCAUCAAAACAAAAACCCAAAAAGAUUCCCCUUGCAUAGUAGUAGUAGUAGGAGCUUGGUUUGCCUCACUUGUGUAGGAGGAUGAAGAAGCAUAUCUUCGGCAAGUUCAAGAAAGCAAAGGGUGAGAGCUCUUCUCAAGGCUCUCACCAUGCUCAUGGAAGGGAGGAAGAAGAAGGUUACCAUGGGAUGGUACCCUAUGAGCCUCCAUCAAGGAUGAGAGAGCCCGAGAGCGGCCUCAUGUUAAGCCAAGAAGAGUUGCAAAGGUACUACAUCAUCCGAGAGAGUCUCUUCCUACACACUAGCAUCAUCGAUCCGGACCUUUUGGCCCGCACAGGUAUGGAUGUUGAAUUCGAUAAGGUGUUUAGAGCAAUUGGUUGGAGUAGUUUUUGGCAAGUGCCUGAAUUUGGAAAAGAAUUGCUUGCUAAGGAAUUUCUAUGCACCCUAAAACUCACAAAUAAUGGAAUAUCUUUUCGCGUGUGUGAGCAAGAACAUCAAUUAAAUUGGAGUUUGCUAAACACUGCUUUAGGGUGUGAACAUGAAUGUGAACUUGAUCUAGAUCAUGCCACUAGAAUGUUCGAUAAAUUUAGAUUCUGGAAAGCAAUUUUUGGCUCUAAUGAUUGUUCAAAUCCUACUCCCAUUGAAAUCCAUAAUCCAACCUUGCGCUUUCUUCACUUCUGGAUCAUGUGCACUCUAUAUCCUGGCAUGGGAACUGAUACUUUAAUUGAUGAUGAACUUAAAAUUCUCUAUGCCAUGGUUAGUAAAAUCAAGGUCUCCCCUGUGAAACUGCUAGUGAACUAUUGGCUUAACUCUAUUGAGUAUGGGAAGCCCAUCUAUUUCACAUCCUUUAUUACUCGAAUAGCCGAUACUUUUGGAUUACUUGAAUCACAUUAUUUUGAAGACAUUGGCUAUGUUAGAGGAGUGGUAGAUGAGAACUUCUUCAUCAAUGCUAACAUGCUCAUAAGAGAUCCAAAUGGUGAACUUAAAAUGAUUUAUCCGGGCUAUACAACCGAAAUUCCUCUCCCAUGUGCGAGGCGCCGGUUGUAUGGGGUCCGCACACUUACCAUUAGACUAGCCCGAGUGGCAAGUCCAGAUGUUGCAGGGACACGCAGGGUGACAAGAAGGAUGAUGCAAGCCGCCCAGAUGGAGCAAGGAGGAUCCUCGCACCAUGACGUUGAAGAGGGCGAUGAAGCGAUGUCAGUGGACGCUUCAGACUCCAUGGGUCUACCUCCACAACGCACUCCACGCCCAAGGGGCAGGGCUAGGCGUCACCAGCCCACAGGUAUGGACAGUCUCAUUAAUGACAUGGGCGAAUUGCAGAUUGGGCAAGAAGCAACAUUGCAACUGGCGUUACAAAACGGCCAACAUAUCCGACGUGUGCGAGAGGAAGACGCACAACGCUGGGCUGGAUGGUACCAGAAUUUCCCGCCACCACAGUGAGCGAAGAUCUAGCUUGGGGGAGAUCCUCUCCCCCACUAAGGUAAGUAUUCUAUCCUAUUUAUUUUCAUGCAUUUUAUCAUUCUUACUUAAAAAAUAAAUAUUUAUUAGCAUUUCCCUUUAGCAUAUAUGCUUCAUGUAUGUUUAUAUCCCUCAUGGAAAUGAUGACUAGUUGCUUGUUAAUGUUUCUCUAGUGCCUAGUAUACAACUUAGUAUUUCUCUAAGUAUGGAUCACUUAGCUCACUUAAACUGCCAUGAACCUAAAAACUUUGUGGGUUGCAAGUGCUAGAACUAAGUCUAAGUUGUUGUGGGACAUGAGAUAGUAAGACAAGAGCUACUAUAAUAUUUUUCUAAGCAUGCAUGAUUAUCAGAGAUUUAUUCUUAAAAUGAUCAAAACCUUAAUUGUUCCUCAAUGGUGAUGAAUUCCUACCACAGCCAUAUCUACUUUACAUAAUUGCAAUCUUUCCACAUAAGCUAUUUGCUUUGUGUUGAGUGUCGUCAAGUCUUGUUGACCCUUGUUAAGAGACUUUUCAUGCUCCUAAGAUCAAGAUCACGUACACACCACAUAUAUACAUGCUACUUCUACACUGGAAGUACGCAACCACAUGUAUUUCGCAUCCACUAAAUAGGUUGCUCCAUACUGUAAAUGUUAGAACAUCUCUCUAAGCAUUAUUUGGUAAAUGAGACAUCAAAAGGCUUGGCAAAAUAAAAGAAAAAUAAAAAGAUGGACAUGUGCAAGUCCACAGAAAAAGAAAAUUGAGCACAUGAAAGCUCGAAAAAAAAAAUGCUAGCCAUGUCUCAAUACAUAGAGAGUCUAUCAAAUAAAGGAGCAACCUAGUCCACCAUAUAUCACACUUGCACAUCUUGAUCUGGGAGUAUGACACUUCUCUUCAAGGAUCCGAGCUUUGACUUCGCAAUACAUGCAAAGUAAGUAUGCUAUCUCCUUUCAUCCCUACCUUGAACUCCACAUAAGCCUUUUAGAAAUAGGAUGAAAUAGAGAAGGCAACUCUUACCAUAUGCCUUGGUGAGGAAUCAUACACCAUUUGAGUGACAUGAGAGAACCAUAAGAGGAACAUUUAAGCUUUCUUUUGAAAAUAUCACAAAACCUCUGAUAUGAAACUUGCUAAGAAUGAGAAAGUUAGUGCUCAAGUCAAACUGUUCUGUCUCUCAACCACCUAAGACAAAGGAAAAGCCAUAAGCCCCAUAAGGGACUAAGGUAAUAGGGGUAAGUUUACAUAGCUAAAUUUUUCAUGCAAAGAGAAGAACUUUGUUGUACACAUGGUACUCUUGAAAUGUGAACAUAGUAACAAUACCUGAUCCACCGAGGCUAAGUUUGAUUGUUUGCUCGGGACGAGCAAAGGUUAAGCUUGGGGGAUCUUGUUGAUGGUGGAUAUACCAUAGAAAUCCACAUACAAAACACCGUCAACAUGCCUCGGUUGCAAGGGGAAAUGACAUGACAUGAACAUAUUUUAUCCAUAACUAGUUCCACUUGUACUCUUAGCUUGUUUAUGCAGGAACAACAAAUUCAAGACAUUAUUUGACAAAGCCAACAUCAGAAUCAUCAAGAGGAGAUCGAGGGGACAACAGGUGACACCCUGGGUCCACAGGGAGGGGGUCGCCCGACCCCUCUUUGGUGGGACCCAGGUGUGCCACCUAGUCCACCGACAUAAGGGACCCCUGUGGACACUGCUGGUGGGCCCAGAGGCCCAGAAGUGGGGUCGCCCGACCCCACAUCAAAGGCGGUUCCAGGGUCGGUGGCCUCCCACCGACCUUCCCCACAUGUCCCACAUGUUGAUUUGCCCCUGCCGUUGAUCAAAUGGCGGUUGUGAGGUUGGUUUGGUCCAAGGGUGGAGAGAAGAUGUCACGCGGAUCGAUGACGUGGCGAUGGAGUAACCCCUACUCCAUCUCCCUCUAUAAAAGGCAGCCUCCAUCCUUCAUUUCAAGUGUGCAAUUCCAAGGCCAAGUGCAUUACAAGUUCCAAGCAUACAAGUAGAGUAGUAGUUAGUCUAGAGUGGGAGUUAGAGUCGAGUCGAGCGAAGCUCGGGGUCUCCGGAGUCGUCUUCUGGAGAGUCUGGUAUAGCUCUUGUACCUUUCUACUUUUGUAAGACUUUCCUUUUAUUAAUAUAUUAUUCUUACUUUACUUUACUGAGUUCUUACUUAGUGCAAGUCUUUUAGUCUUGUUGUGCAUUUACUUUAGUAAUAUAGUUGUCUUAGUGAAGUUAGUGACCUGUAACCACUCCUGUGUGUGCAUCAUCGUCCUAUCUUGUAUAGGAGCUCUAGCUAGCUGCAACUAGUUAGAGUUGUAGGAUUAAGUGUGAGCGUGGUGCUCAUACUUAAGAUUACCUUUGAUUACCGCUGGCUUGAACGGAAAGUAGGAGCGCACUCCCUAGUAGGUGACAGAUCGUGGGCGGCAUUAGGUUCUCCUCACGUACAGGCUAGUUCUUAAAAGGUAAGGCGUCCAUAAGCCCAAUAGUCGCUUUCGGUAAGGGGUUAGGUGAAAAACCUUCUAAGCGUCUUACCAGCUCGGCUAUCCCUCGCACACAGUUAGUAAGGCUCUAGCGUAGUUAAGGCAAUUAUCUAUUAAAGUAAGUCACAGAAGUCAAGUUAGAUACAUAGGAGUCCUUUACUCACUCGUUGUCCUCCCACCUAGCUAACUCUACCAUUUACCUUUAGCAUAGGACCUUGGAUUCACCACUACCCUUCCUAUUCGUCAUUUACCACCCUUAUUCACUAGUUGAUACUAGACAACUCAAGGAAUCUCAUUCCCCUUUUUGUUAAACACACUUAGCCGCUUUCCCUUGGGAAAAUAUAAAUUACGAUACCUUGGAAUACUCCUUGGUGAAGUGCUACAGCGGUACAUUCUGUGCGCUUGCGGAAUUAUCCAAUAGUAAAUAGAGUUACCCUACCAGGGCACUUCUGGCGCCAUCGCCGAUAUCCGGUGGUUGCGUUAAGAAGUGUCAACAGCAUUCAUCCUAGUCAGCUCGUGCCUGUGUGCGCUCCUGGCCUCUUCUUCUCGGGCAAUAGCGGCAUUCCUCUCCUCCACCAUACGGGACAACAUGGCCUCACAGUUCUCGGUAGCUUGUUUUUCUUUGGCUAGUUGAGCUUUAAGUUCGCCGAUCUCCAUGACGUUGUACAUCCUUUCUCUCAUCACUUCGGUCAACUCGGCGGACAACCUGUCCACCUCCUGCUGAGGCGGUGAACGGCUACUGCUUGCUUGAUCGCUGCGCGGGGCCAACUGAUGUGUGGGGACCCCUUUUGGACCUGUCCUCUUGCGCGGGGUCUGUUUCCAACGGGCCAUCCUGUAGAGGGUAAGUUUGGAUUAGUAAGAUAGACCUUAAAGGUUAGCAAGAAUAGGAUUGAUUCUAUCCACCCAACCCAAACAAGGAGGAAGGAACUUAACCAAUUAAUACAUCAUGAUGCAUGCACGAACUUACGAUUCCAACUAACGAUUCACAAUGAUAAUACCUUAAACUUAACAAUAUAGGGCAAUACUUUAUGUUGCUCCUCCAUACCACUUCAAAAUUCUAAAAAAAAAGCCUACAGACAGGGGUAAGUUAGGACUAAAGCACUUGGACUCAAAUUAGGCCAGUUUAUAGCAUUAGAUCCAAAUGAUUUUGAAGUUUUUCAAAGGAUACAACAGUCAUCUUAGCAACGAAUGGCUCCGAUACCAGCUGUGGCAGAACCCCCUAAGUGUUUGGGCCCACCGACACCUGUCAUUGUCCUAAGGACCUCUGACGGUGAUGCCGAGGAUCCUCCCACUUUAGAAGUCCGAUGAGCAUCGCUGGAUGCUCAUUCCACUGCUUCCUGUGGCGUACUAAGCAGGCUCGUCCUGACCACUGGUGAUGGUCAAUUAACGAGAACUUCUUCUUCUCGCCCUUACAGGAUAGCAAGUGGCCACCUUAACACCAGGAUCAUUCGUUGUGAAGACAUUGCAGUAUCACAAACGACAUACGACCAAAAUAAUAUUUCAGAGUAAAACAGCAGAAGUAUUACAUAACCUAUUUUACAAAAGGAGUUCUUCCAAAUAGCAGAGUGUUAUUACAAACCAGGUCCAGCGGAGCAACUUAAACUUUAGUAUACAGAUUACAAAUUUACAGACCCUGCCCAUGGGUCACGCUCACUCUUCUUCGUCGUCAACCUCGACGACGGUCACACAACAGGGUCCGAAACAAGUCGGCUCCUGAGCUUCACCUGCAACAGGGGUUAUGGAACCCUGAGUACGGGAGUACUCAACAAGACUUACCCGGUGGAAAAAGAGGAGAAAUCAGGAAUGCAGGCUUAGGGUAGACAAGGAGUGGCUGAGCCAGGAGCCAAAAUGUUUUGCGGAAAUGCUUACUAAUAGUGCAUCCUUACUUUCAAGUUUUACCCGCGAAUUCCUCUCCUUAAGUGGCCGAGGAGUUCGAGGACAAGCUAACUAGUUGUCUCCCACAGACAAGUCUGUGAGUUCCUAGUCCUAAAUUAAAGUGUUAUUUAUUCAACGGCCAUAGCUUCAUGUCACUCUGGGUUCGGGAAUUGGGAUCCGAACCUCAUGAGACAUUUUCCCUUCUCUCAUUUUAUCACUUAGUUGCAUAAUUAACUACGAUGAGGGUCAGUGGAUUGAGUCUCCCAAUCGGGGAGCAACGACAAUUCAAACCGCUUAGCAAUCCAGCUGGAGUCCUAACCACCCGACAUAUGUAGAACCAAAUCUUGCAUACGUCAACCCAAAUCAAGCUCUCCCCAAAUUUGACCAGGUUCGCGGCACCCGAGAGCACAGUACUCCACCAUCCUACAGCCGAUCUAGAUGUUUUUUGGUCAUCUCAGAUCCGUAAGGUGGGUACACACUACUCUCUCCAUUGCUCCACGCCCAGUGCGCGAGUAGCUGUUCGCGUCGAGGGAUCACAAGACCGAGCUUACCGAGGGCAAGUGGCUAGUACUAUAAAUUCUCAACCCAGUGGGCCAUCAACGGAUCGGUCCUUAACCGACACAGUUGGAGACACUACUUUAAGACUCCAUUCUUAAAGCAAGUCCACCGACCGGUCUCAAGUUGAAACAUCAUUGAUCAUAAGUGUAUUCCACAACAACCCUUCAAACUUUGUUUGAAAACCAAUCUAGUAGCAGGGCUAAGCAUUACUACGCAGUUUUACAAUAAAGCAGGUGUCAAGGUCAAGAUAACAAGUAUCCAGGUAGUAAAUGCAGCAAAUAGGUUAGCCCAAUUCUCAACUACCUAAUGCAUCAUUUUCAAUUCAUAAGUGAUAAAAGAUUUAAAACAUUCAAGGAGGGGUUAAUGCAUCCGGGGCUUGCCUUGGUUGCAGGGCAGAGAGGGUCCCUCGGAGACUUCCCAAGUCUCGGGUCCUACUUCCUCGAACGGAGCACCGACCUCGGGGUUCGGUUCAACGGUCGCUCCUUCGGUCACGUGCACUAUACGCAAAAUGAUGAAUGCUCAUGAUAUGCGUAUGACCAAUAUAUCAGAGGGACCGAAUUAAGUAUAACUGGCCUCCUCGGUGCAACAUAGAUUAGACAAUAACUAAAGUUGUUUAACAUCUUAGUGUCUUUACCCAAGAGGUUGCAUCUGUAAAUUAAGACUUCUCUUAAUUCAUAAUUAUCUUAAAUUAAUUAAUUAUUAAUCCUAUUUACCUUAAUUAAUUCUUAAUUAAUUACUAAUGACAGUAAUUAAGCAUUAAGGCCAAACAAUAAUUAUAUGCCAAAGGUCAUUAGGGUUAAUGACCUCAGGUCAUCACAUAAUCCCAAAAUCACUCAAAUCCUAACUUUGAGCAAUUACUAAUUAUUAUUUAAUUAUUCUAGAAUUAUUAAUUAAUUACUAACUAAGGGUUUAAUAAUAUUUUAUUCAAACAUCAUCCAAAUGCCACCAAAUUUUGUGUGGAGCCAAGGAAUGCUAAACAGAGACUCCCUACAAAUUUUGGUGAUUUUUUGAUAUAUAAAUAAAUUACAAAAAUUCAUAGAAGUUUUAUUUGCUAAAUAAAAGAGGCAAUUUUUAUACACUUGCAAACUAUCAGAAAACAGAUCCUAAUAUUUUUCUUGUGUUCUACUCAUUUUAUGGAACCAAUACGAAAAUUUUCAUGAUUUUUGAAUCAGCAUAUAAUUUAAUACAUAAAUUCAAAUAUAAAUCAAAAACUGCAUAAAAAGAAAAAGAAAAACACUACAGCGAGCGGCCGGAAAUUGGCCCGCAGGCCGGCCCACUCCCGCACGGCCCACGCGGGUGCUGCGCGCGCUGCCCUCCUCUCUGCGCGGUCACUGACGAGCGGGUCCCACUCGUCAGGCCCUCCUCUCCCCUCUCUCUGCGGGACGCUGACGGUGUGACCCCACCCGUCAGCUCCUUCUCUGUCACGCACGGCGGCUCGGUCACGACUCCAGCCGCCGUUGGUGAGGGUCUUGGCCCACGCGCGCGUGCGCAUUAGCACCGCCUCACCUUCGCGAACCGAUUGCUGCCACUCACUCGCGCUCUACCGCCUUCUCUCUACUUCAACCGCAUCACUGGCGGACGGCCGCCAUGACUGACCGCAGACCGGCCGCUAGGGCUCGGUAGAGCAUAAACUAGUUGAACAGGGAGGUUUGGGGAGGGCUAAGAAGUACGGUGCUCACGUUGCAAGGCCCGAGGAGGUAGCCGAGGUUGUUGGCGACGGAGACGGUGUCGUUGGGCGGGCGCCCUGGCUCGACGGAGUUAUUCCGGUGAACCUGCUCGCGUCCAAGGCAAAGCAGCAAGCGCAUGAGCAUUAGAGUGACAAAGAGAGGUAGGAACACCAGCUAGAAUGGCGUGCUACCUUCGAGAACGGCGUGGCCACAGAGAGGGCUCACGGCGGCGGUCUCGGACGGAGUUGGAGGAGAACAGGGGAGCCCCGACGAUUGAGUGGAGUAGGAUGUGAGCUCGGGGGUGCGAUGGGUUCGCAAGGAGGUGGCGGAUGCUGUGGACUGGUCAAUUUGGUGCGAGGGGGACCGAGUACGGUGAAUUUUGAGGGAGAGGCUCGUCGGGAUUCUUCGGCUUGGAACGGGAAAACGCGCGGCGCCGCCCACACUGGUGCUCAAAGGGGAGGAGGAAGCGAGCCCGAGGUGUCCACGUCGCCUGGCGGCACUGGCAGCAAGCAGCUGCGUGCUUGCACGCAUGCGCACGGCGCUGCUCGCGCGGCGGCUGCGUUGGACAGGGGCCGGUGAUCCUCAUCGGAUCACUGUAGCUGGCCCUUAUCCUCCCCCUUUCUGUCUUUUGUGAAAUUUGCCCAAAAUUUGAAUUAAAGUCCAAAAUCCGUUAAAACAAAAGUUGUGUAGAAUUUUAUAAGCUACAAAAGAUAUUUUAGUGUCCAAAGCUGAUUCCAUGUGGAAAAGGGUGAAUUUGACAAAACAGUUUGAACUUCAAAUCUCAAAUUGGGGAAAAUUCAAAUUUUUGAAUUGGGGCAGAUCAGAAUUUCCAAAAAUUUCUUUUGAUUUUUCCAAACAACUUGAAAAACUCCCAACAUGAAAGUUGUUCAACUUUUUGAGCUCUACAACUUUCAUGUUGGUCACUUUUCAAAAUCCCAAAUAGAUUUUGAAUUGGAGGUUCAAAUUGGAAAAGGGGACACUUUUUGGAAAUCUGUAUUUUCAAAAUUACUUUGAAUUUUGUAUUGAAACUUCAAAAACUCAAAACACCAAAGUUGUACAUCUUGACAAGAUCUACAACUUUGCUUCUAAUCUCAACCUCAAAUUUUGCUUGGUUUUUAAAUUGCACAAAAGGGGGCAAAUCUGGGGUUCCAAAUCAGGGUUCCCCCCCCUAAGCCUUCGGAAAACCUUUACCCUAGGGUUUUAGCAACCAACUCAAGCAUCAAUGUACAAGAUAAACACACUUUAGUUUCCUAAGCACAUUCAACCAAAUUAAACUCAUUUUAAGUUGAUGCAUCAAGUUGUGCUUAACAACUAUGCUGUGCAAUGCUGAUGAUGCCAUGAUCCGAAUUUUAGUAACAGUAACAUCGGGGAUGUUACAGACUGGUGGUUUGGUGUCCAUGAAGUCCUUGAAAGAGCUGUACUGGUUGACUUCACGGCCACCCUGGUUAUCCCCACAGCGGGUAUUGUCAGCGAUAUUGCGCAGAGCUUCUUCCAUCUUGCGCUGCAUCUGUUCCAUAUUGCGUUGGCUCCCCAGAAACUGCGCGAAAAACACGUCCGCAGUGUACGGAGGAGGCGGUGGUGGUGGCGGUGAUGGUGCCCUAUCCUCAUUCCGUCGAGCCCCACCUCCGGAGGUACCUGCACCAAGACCGGGGUUGCUGUUACCCCCGCCACGUGUUUGCACCAUCUGCAUGCGUCAAUGACAAGCAAUCGUUAGGAGUUGCCAUCAACGGUAGACAUGUGUAGAAUUAUGCCGUACUGAAUUUAAUGAGGGAAUAAAUUCGCAGAAAAAACAAAGGCACAACAAUUCAUCAUCCACACACAACAUCACUAACAAAUUACUUAACUUUCAAGCAUCAAGGUUCGCAUACAUUCAAAAUUGCCAGCAUACAUACACUGGACUUUCAGCGUCAUCACAUAAAGUUUUACACAGCCCAGAUCCGAAAGUAUAAGACAUGCCAUGCAACAGCAACAACAAAAGAAGAAGGACUAGCUCUAGAGCCCUAGCAUCUACUCGCUAUGGUCACUGUCCAUGCCAUAGCCCUCCUCGUCCUCAUCUCCACUAGCAGCUGCGUCGAUCUCUGGAUCCUCAUCCAUCUCGUCCCCAAAGUCUAGCUCAGCUGCUCCAGGCAGGUGGUGAGAGUGGAGCUGGUUAUGCAGCUGGUGGAUCGACUCAUGCAAGUUUUCAUUGUACUCCUCAGCAUUAGCUAGCUACUGCUCAAGCUCUAGCUGUCGGGCCCUCAAGGUGUCCUCCUCGUGCCAGGCGUCAUUCCUCUGACCAAGCACAUGAACUAGCAUGCGCUCGCAGUUCCUGUGAGCAGUAGUCACCCUGUCUCUCUGCUCCCUAACUGCAAGCAGGUCCUGACUCAGCUCACUGCUCUUCUGGACUGCCUGAUCCCUCUCUCGGGUCACACGGGCCAACUCUGCCUGCAACCUCUCAACCUCAGUGUCGAACUCACGCUGCAGCAGGCGCUUCUCAUCCUGGACUAUGAGAAGAGACCCGGACAAGUGCACCAAACAACGCUCCAGGCCCCCAUAGGUCUUCAUCAAGGCGUACAUAGCACUCAUAGCUGCGUUGUCACUGUGCUGGUCCUCAUUCGCACUCCUCUCUAGAGUGUUCACCUCGGACUGAUCCCACACUGAAGUGUAGGGGUCACCCCAGGGAAACACCCCAGCGAAGGCGUGGGCCAGCUCCUGUGGAAACCUCUCCAUGAGGUCCCUCAGAACUGCGAAAGCUGCCCUGCUGGCACCAUGGAAAGGCGUGGCACCUCAGGACUCGUACACCCAGCCGCCCUAGGCGGGGUCACCUCCACUGGUAGGGACCACUGCCUCGAUCCCCACCAGGGUCCCGUCACCGAGCUGCUCCUUGUCCCAGUAGUAGCGAGGUUCCCUUCCUUCGGGAUACCCCAUCGAACUGAGCACCCUCCAAAGCAAGGUGGGCAUCCCAAACUCCUCCAAGAACUUGCUCUUGUGACGCGAGCUCCUGGCUACCAACUGAUGGCGAGGGGCCCGCCCACCAGUGGGCUUGCGAGCGGUGAGCCUAGUGCGUGCCAUCUGCUGCAAAUGGAAUACCUUGGGUAAGAUUGAGGAUCAUCUUUUAUUAUUAUAUUUGGAAUUGGGACAGAUUAAAUUAAGGGGAGAAGGUAAGCAUUGAUUAUGAAAUGAACAUGAUGCAUGCACAGGCUUAUGAUCUCACAAACUUAGAAACAAAGGUUAACACUAAUCGGUAUAUGCGGUGGCACACAACGUUCUCUCAUAACGUAACUAGCGUGCUAGGCGGGAACGUGGUUAGUGUACCUGCAGAAAACUCAUUUCAGCCCCACCACAGUAUGAACAUGCAGAACAAGAAUUUAAAGCUAUACACCCCACAUACACAGACACCCCGUCCAUGCAUAUGACGUGUUACUACCCACAUCAUCGCCCUAGUGACGGCAUCGCCUCUCAGGACAGAAUCUCCCAACAUACGGUACUGUUCCCAAGCACACCAAACAUGUGUGCAUGACACAACACCUAACAACAAUCCCCUAGAUCGGCAGUGUAUCCGAUCAUGCUCUCACAGCUCCCAGUUACCGAGGCGUAGAGGAAGAAUUGAUCCAUACAUUACCACUCAAAUGAAUUGUACUCAUACUAUUGCACGCCGUAUGAGCGACGAAAUAGAAAUAUGAUGCAUAAUCCCACCAAGUCAGUACUUAACUAGCCACCUUAGAGUCCUUAACUGGGCAUAGAGGAUAUGACCAUGGCACACUAGAUAGUUUUUCCAAAAACUUAGUUUGACACCUUGAUUAUCAUUAAUAAAUAAAAAUCUUUUAUUAAACCGGUUUAAAUUUAGUUUAGAACGUACUUAUGAACAGUAACUCGCUAAACCUUGCUCCGAUGCCAGCUAUAACAGAACCGCCCAAAUUAUAAGAGAUUAAGCCUAAUGGUGACCAUUUGCAUAGUCAUCCCAUCGAGCUUAAACCCAUAUAAUCUCGGUAGUCCGUGAAAUCUCGAAGGAUUUCAAACCACAUAUCGUACAUACAGCCAAGAUCGUAAUAAGUUUAGCGGUCACCUUCCACAAUUACAUCCAGUUCAUAAACAACCAUCAAAUACAUCGGAGUGCUUAAAAUUAUUAGAAACCAAGUUCUCAAGUAGCGGAAGCUUCAUAGUUCGAAAAUAACACACUCAUACUUAGUCUGGUACAGUGCCAUAGUUCAGUCAUUCCCACAAAAGCAAAAGAGGAGGUAGAGUGACCAUCGCCCUUGGUCUAGUAAUCGCCCAUUGCUGGGUACAAGCAGAUGAUGCAAUAACCAUAGUACAUUUAACCAUCUACAAAACAACAUGGCAGUAGAACCCUGAGUACGAGAACGUACUCAGCUAGACUUACCCGUCAUAAACCAAAAAUAAAGACUCUUCAAGGAUCAUGAAGGCUAUAUGGUGGGGGUAGCUGAUGACUUUUUUGCGUAAAAGCACUAUUCUAUUAAACAUAUCCUAUAGGAAUCCUCUUUCUUUUAAUUAGCUCAGGUUGAAAGUAUCAUUACCUAUUAUCUAGGUUUGCUCUUGCACUAUGGCAAACAAAUAUAAUAAUAUGAUGGUACCUCAUCAUAGCAUUCAUGCAAUUUUUUAUCAUAUAACCCAAGUGUUCCAUAGUCCUUACUACGAGGACGAAGCUCAUGUCAAGUGCUCACUAUCUAGGAGCGAUGGCGAUUCGAAUCGAUUUCUAACCAGCUGGCGAGUUAUUCCCCACACAAACCACACUCAUUGAUCAAGUGAGCUACAGAUCACCGUGUUGCACUAUCUAGGACCAAUUCGCGGGUUCGACAGGCACCGCCCGUACCCGAGGACCGUUCCGGCGACCGAGGUAUCCAAGGUAUACCAAGGUUGCGCGCCGCGCCCUCGUCAUUCUCCUCAACCCUCACCAAUACAGCGCGUACAUCGGGUCGAUUCCCGGCCCGGAUAGUGCUCAGGCUUCGCGGUCGGAACGACUUAUCCUUCCAGCUAAGUGUGGGGCAUGCGUUCAACAUGACAAGAGGGCCGUCAACGAUCGGUCCUUAAACGACACACGUAGGGGCACUACAGCCAAAACCCACCAUAAGACCCUGCCCGGUCUCAAAUUCCAUUCCACACUUGGUUAUUCUUUCCCAAAGCAAUCACCGCUUAAUCAAGCAGGUAUCCACCUAUAUCUCGCAGGUGACAGGAAAUCACCCGACUUCUACCGGACUAAGCAAGCUAAGCAUAGACUCCGUGCCUAUCUACAUAGGACAAGGUAGAUAAACAAAUGAUGAUAUCAAGGAGUACAUAUGCAUCAACGGUAUCAAGCAAUUCCUAUCACUUAAAUGCAACAUAGUAAAACAAGCAUAAUAUAUCGUUUAUGUUAGCGAGAAUAGGGAGACUUAGAAUGCUCCGGGGCUUGCCUUUGUCAAACGUGCUCGGCUUGUGAUCCGGGCACUCUUGCAGCUCUUCUCCGGGUUCUGACACUACCAGAGGUUCCUCCUCCUAUGCUUCCUCCUCCUCCUCGGGUCCCACCUCGUUCUCCUGCGAGCCUGUAUGAUGCAUGGAUGCUCAUGAGUGGAGUGCGAGAUGCCCGGGGUGCAAUGCUCAUACGAGAGGAUACCAAAUGACCAUGACAUGAUGCAUAGAUGAUUUAGGUGGUCAUUUUUACAAGGUAGUCAACAUCAUUCAAGAACAUGCAAUUACACUAAGCAUCUAUUUCCUUCUCUUCUAUAAAUUGUCCUCAAGUGAAACCAGCAAACUCACAAGAUGCUUCAAAGAUACACCAAACCCCUUUUAUUCUACUUAAUCUAUAUAUAACAAUUCAUAAUUUCUUUAUCCAUUUUUAGGCCUACCAAACUAGCAUACAUUUCUGUUUAUCAAUAAAUUCCACAAAAAUUACAGUAGACUACCAGUCAAUCGUAAAGUCUACCGUAAAUUUUUCAUAAUAUUUGGACACUUAUUUUGAGCUACAAAAAUCACAAGAUUAAUUUACAAAAGCAAGUAUAAAUACUCUACUCUGGUAUAAGUGUCAAACAGCAGAUUUCAUAUUUUUAUAAUUUGCUUAUUAUCCUAAGAAAUACACACAAAAAUUCUCAGAUUAAUUGCAUGAUCCUAUUAUUUAUUAAAAAUCAUAAACCACUGCCAUGCAAGCAUUUAAAUCACCAUAAAUUAAUUCACACAGCAAAUAAUGUGUAACAUAUUUUUCUUAGAGCCUAAUCAUCCAUGCAGAGCCAACAAAAUAAAUUUCAUAUUUUUCUGAGCUUUAUUUUAAUUACUAUGCAUUUUCCAAUCCCAGCAAAACAUGGAUUAAAUAUAUUUAUAAAAAAAGUUGUUCAAACAUGACAUGCAACCACACCAGGCUAUAGAUCUGAGAAUAGGGAACACACCAAAAUUUGUUUCACCAAUUUUGGAGCUAUACAACUCAAGAUAUGGAUUUUACAUCAUUUAAAUCAAUUUCUGGAAAACCUUUAUUUAAGAAAACCGACGGAAAACGUUAGAUUCACCCGGAUCCACGCCCGGAGAGGCGCUGACAGGUGGGAUCCAGGGGUCGCGGCCCCACGGGUCGGCCAUGCAGCACUCCGGCCAACUUCGGCCGGCUGGCUCUUGCCGACGGAGAGGUCUCCGGCCACGGGGUGAGCACCAGCGUGCUCCCCGCAGCGAGGCGCACCCAAGGGUGCCCUUGGAUCGGCUGGGGGAUGCCCGGAGCACCCCCGACGAGCAUGCAUGGCGGCACGGCGGCACUGCUCGCCGUGGCCAGGCCGCUCCGGUGCGGUAGAGCUUGCGCGAGUGCUCCUCCGAGCUUCCUCACCGAACUAUGGACCUAACGCACCCAAAAACGAGCGAAAAGAUGCAGGGACUAGCGAGAUUCGACGCGGCGGAGCUCUCCGGCGAGGUCGGAGCAACUCUGGCGAGCGAUUCACGGCGCACGACGGGCUCUCACCUCGGUAGAGCGUUCGCAGGGGCUUACCGCGGCGACGACAAGUGCGCUGGUGGUCUUGGCAUCGACGUUGGGGCACUGGCGUGGCCGGCGGUGAGCAGCGGAGCCCUCCGGCAAUGGCGCUGCGGCGGAGCUGCUAUGGAUGCGACGCUCGCGAGCGGAGGAGGAAGAAGGAGAGAGGAGCGGGGUGACAGAGUGGAGCCUGGGGGCGGCGUCCCGACCAGGUUAUAGCCGGUCGGCCGCGGCGCGUCCAACGCCGGCGUACGGCCGCCACGUGGCCGGCGCCGGGUGGAGCGAGGCGGGCGCCGCGCGCGGGAGAGAGAGAGGGGAGGGGAAGCGGGCCGUGCUGUUUGGCUGGGCCGAAAGGGAGGCGGGUCGGCCCAGCAGCGCCUGUCCCCUUUUCUUUUUUUUGAAUUUCUUUUCUCCAAAAAGAUUAAAUGAGACUUUUGAAGCUUUUACAAAACUUUUCAGGGGUUGGAGUAAAAAGAAGAAUUGUUGCCAAAUUCCAAUUAGAAUUUGAAUCACAGAUUAAAACUAGUUCUAGAUUUUUAAAUAAAUUCAUUUUAGGAAUUUUUGUAUAAAUUCCAUUUCUCAAAUCCUAUGGCUCCAAAAAUUUCACAAAAUUACUCUUAAACCUUUUUAACACACAAUUCAACCUAAUUUGAAUAUUUCACAAUUUUAGAAGAAGCAUAAUAUUUUUAAUCAUAUUUAAUCCACCAAAAUAAAGCACACAUAAAAUCACACUUGAAUUACUAUUAUGCUCAUGGGAUGUGAUGCUUAUGCUAUGCUUGAUGAGAAUGCUUAUGAAUGUUUAUGAGACUAAGUGCAUGCUUAAUACCUAGAGUGUUACAGAUGUGGUAACUGUUCGCACGAUAAUCAAGGGAUUGCGCAAGUGAUUUGACAGGAAGCGGUCGUGAUCUGGAGAUAUUUCGCCGUGCGAGAUUUCUUGGUCGGUCCAUCGGUAGUUCCCUCUAACGGUAAUAUUGCCGAUGGGCGCAUAAAGUGGAGAGAUCCGUUUCGGAAGGUUGAGGAUUUCAAGGAACCUACAGGAGAAUCGGGCCAAGGUUGUUCAGAUUUAAACGGUCGGUUACCAAAUUGGGAGAAUUAAUUGCGGAAAGGCAUCAUUACUACAGAGAAUUUCGGAGCAUUAAUGAUUUCAUAUUCCGAAAUUGGGGGGCAUGUGUUGACACCGUUUUUGGACACAUACCCAGAGACCAAGAUCGGCAGGUGGAGCAACGGUAACUAGCCUACAGAAGAGUUACCGAUGAGGAUAGUUGCCGAUGAAGAGACGAUUGAAUAUGACUAAGUCCAGAGGUGGUGACGUGUUCUUGCCGAUGCUUAAUAUUGGUGUUUACCGAUGGCUAUAACAGGAAGACUGCCGAUGACUCUGAAGGAAAGCGUGGAGGUUGCCGAUUGAUCUCUGGCGGUGUCCCGAUCGGUUACGAGGCGGUGGUUCUAUGUUUUCCUUAGUUAUUUAAAAUCUUUUUGUAUACGGAUUCUAUUUAAUUUGGAAUUCGAGUCCUAGUUGUGUCUGAUUAUAGCUCUUUGAGCAGGGUAUAAAUGUAGACCCUAGGGCCUUGUAAUGAGAUAUCUAUCAACAAUCAAAUACAAGUUUUUACUCAUAUUCCAGAAUCUACUUUUUCGAUGACUUCGUCAUAUUUUCCUUUUUAUUAUGAGUUUUUAGGAGUUCGUCGACUUAAGCUCGGCGUAUUCUCGAGUUCCGCAUGAAUACCUCUUGGCCGUGACAUCCGGGCGCAUCGCUGUUGUCGGGACCAAAGUAUUCGAAUUAUCACCUUUGCCGAUAGUAAGGUCAAAUCGGCUGGUACGCCUUAACGUUUAAAUCGGGAAUUAGCCCUUUGUGUUUGCAAAUCAGCUUUUGCAUCAACAAGUCAAUAUUAUAUGCUCUCCAUCCAUUGAUCUAUGCUGCUUCUGUCCUCAGAAGUACGCCCCCAUUCAUAAGUCACUACGCUGCAUUAACUCUGUGCUACUUUUCUUCCUAGAGGUACCACCCACAUAUAUACACACUGCAUGCAUCUUAUGUUGUUUCUACCUUGGAAACAUGCACCUAUGCUGCUCCCACCCUAGGAGUACACAUUCCUCUAUUCACAUGUGUUGACGGUCCUUAAGUACCAAAUAUAAUCAUCAAGUAAACAAAGAAAAGGAUCCAAAUGCAACCAACACCCAGACUUAGGGUUUUAUUUGAAAGAAUUCCACGAGUUUUGGUGUUUGUCUAUUUCUGCAGGGGGUUAUCAGGAAAUAUGGAAGAAAGGCCCACACGUUAGGUUUACAUAGAGAUAUUAACGUGCCGCGCAAUUUUCUAUCCUCUAGAAGACUCUAGAAGCCAUGGGAACGAACAGGAAGGCGAUCAGGCCCGGGGGCAGGGCGCCCGCCCUCCCCCCUUGGGCGCCCGCCCUAUUGCAGAGACCAAUCAGGUCCCGUCUCGCGGAUUACACUCCACCGACCUAAAGGAUCAAGGAUAACUGUUCAAUCAAUGUCGGUUUGAUAGGACGGCCCACGUUCACCUGAGGGAACUAUAUAAGCAGACCCCCUGGCCCCUGGAGGAGAACAAGUUCAUUAUAGAGUUGAGAGGUGCCCUCGAAGGAUAACCUUUCCUCUACAUAGACUUAGGGCUUAGCAUCCAGUGUGAGAGUAGACUUGUUCUACUAGAUUGAGAGAGAUAGAGUGUAGGUGUAGAUCGGAGGAAGCCCGGCUUGUCGGUGUCUACUCCGAGGUUGUACCUGUGGGAUCAAGUCUUCUAACCCGAGGCUUGCUCCUAGGAUUCUUCAGUAUUUCGACUUCUAAAUUCUAGUAAGUUCUUUGUUUUAUUGUUCUUUGGUUUAUGAGUUUACUUUGAUCUCUUCGCGUAGAGUUUAGAGUAAUCAUCUCUAGCAUAAACGUGGUGUUUGGGCUAGGAUACUCAUAGAUAUCCCCUGACUAGCUGGACCGUGGUAGUAGCGAGGAACGUGACAUUUUCGAGUUAACUUUGUAGCCCAUAUCCCGUUAGUAGGAUCGAUAGGGUUUAUAGGUGCAGGUCGAACAUCCUCUGUGGUGUCUAGAUUCCGUGAGCCUCCCCAAUAGAACAGUAGAUCAUCCUUACCAGGGUUAGAACGAGAGUGCAGUUGUAGUCUUCUCUAUACGUCACUCACAUCGAGUCACAUUCUUUGUAGCCUAAAGGGUAGUAGCAAUAGAUUUGGUUAGUCAGAUGCACGCUUUCUCCCAAUGAUAAAAAUAUAAAUACGAUACUCUGGAUAAUCUCCCGGGUGAAGUGCUCACCGAUCUCCGUGCGCUUGUGGAUCAAUUCCUGAUGGCGUUACCAAAUAUCAACAAGCAUUUCUGGCGCCGUUGCCAGGGAGAAAGACGGUUUGCUGAGAUAACUUUAAGUCUUGCUAUUAUCUUGUAUUAUACUUUUAUACUUUUAUUCUUUUAUCUUUUUACUUUUUCCAUCUUUAUGGAUAAAUCAAAUUCCAUUAUUAAAUUUUUUGCACCUUCAAAGACCAGCCAUAGACCAUGGGAGUCAACAAGUCUUUUCUUUGCCCCUAAUUAUGAUCUGUGUCAGGAGUUGAUUGCAAUAGGUCAAAACCAACCCUUUUUUAUAGCUAAGGUCCUAUCUUUUAAUCAAAAAGAUAAUGAACUUUUAGCUACACCUAGGGAAUCUGUUAAUCUUUCUAUAAAUUCUGGUUUAAACCUAGCCCUACAUGACCAUGUUUUUUCUUGAUAUUUUCAAAUUGGUCUUAAUCAUAUAACCUUUGGUAGAAUCUUUCUUUCUUUAUCUAUUAGUAAAGGAAGGUAUGUCUUCAUUCGUGGACAUCCUUCUUGCACUAGUCUUCAUAAAAAAUUCCUACAGAUAGAGAAGGAAUCAUCUCCCAGACAAGAAAAGGAAGUUUCAAUAGACGAUUUCCAAACAUUUCAAUCCCAUGAUUCGGCUAUCCAACCCAUCCUUGAGCUUAAUAAUUUCUACUAUGCUCUUUCCCUUGAACCUCCCGAUGAUCCUAUGAAUCUCUCUAGACAUCCCAUGUAUAAGUGUCACCAAGACCAUAAGGAGGAUCGAGAAGAGCAGCAUCAAUGGCUAGAAGGCAUUAAAAAUCCAUGUGCUAUCACCAUUGAAUGGAUGGACAAGGAAGAAGUCCUAAUGGAUUUUGACUUUGGCUCAAUUUCAAAUGCUGAGUUCUUAACUCCCUUUGAAGAUGAGAUUCAUCCAACUACAGAAAAGUGGCGGAGCUAGAAUUUUAAACUUGGGUAUUCCUACUUCCACAAAGUUAAUCUAUAGGUUGAAAAUAUAGUCAAUUAUACUGCAAGUUAGGAACUUUAAACUAAUAUUUGCUUUCUAGAAUAUAGACUUCUAAUUGAAAUGCUAGUUUUUUACAUGUUUUGAGCUCAAAUGUGCAAAAUACUAUAUAUUAUAGCAUUAUACAAUUAUAUAUAUAAGUAUAUACACAUAUUUACAUAAAAGUGUACCAAAAUAGUUGGGUAUUCCCGGGAAUACUGGGGAAUACCCCUAGAUCCGCCACUGCUACAGAAGAGGACAUAGACGAGACCAAUCUAGGAGAAACUCCAAACAUUCAGAUUGGAGACGAAGAUAACAUUAAUGAGCAUGGAAUUUAUUUCAUAGCCACUUCGUUUACUCCAUGCUCAUAUACAACAUCUUCCCAAUCUAUUGGUCUCUCCAACAUCACCACAUUUGAGAUCUCCAGCCCCCUCUUCCUUUCUAUUUAUAAAAACUUUAAAAGGGUGGUUGUCGAUGCAUAUGUCUAUAAUAAAUAUUGCAGAUCUCGUUGAGUUGAUCUUCAUAUAGGUCAGCGUUGGAGAGGGAACCACUUCACCGACAUAAAUUGAUGGUUUCCCAACGACAAGCUUAGUGUCCUAAAACAAGCACUGAUCAGAUCGUAACAUGAGCUUUUAAUUAUUUACAACAUUACCUUGUGUAUUGAGCAUAUAAGGAUAAUUGUAAAAAUAUUCCUUUAGGUAUUCUUGUCACUAACCUUUCUAGGAUUGGAGCAAGAAGAUCGGAUGAAUGACAAGCACAAGGUAUGUCCAACCUUGAAUUAAAUUCAUCCAAACUUGAAUUUUGCAAAAUUCAAGCUUGGGGGAGUACUUUACAUAAAAACAUCCUUUGCCAUGUUGCUAUGUUGGUUGUCCAUACCUUUGAGACAUGAUCAAUUUGUUAAAUACUAAUCACACUACUUCAUCUCCACUUGAGUAGAUCUCUAUAAAUGCUCUCAUGCUACCUUUAUUUGCUUUAGUAUAUGUCUAGGUUUGGAGUAGUUUGAGUUACCUCUUAAUUAAGCAUGGUGCUUAGUUUAGGAAUUGUAACAGAACCGCCCAAUUUACAAGAGAUCAACUAUGAAAAACUCCCGCCAAAGCAGAUGCUUUAACAUAAUCGAACUCUCAUAAACCCGGUAGUCCGUGAAAUCACGAGGGAUUUCAAACCAACCAUCUUACAAGCCAAGAUCGUAGUGAUUCAACAUAACAAGUCACAUGUUACAUCCAUUUCGCAAAUAGUUUGACAUACAUUGGAGUUUAAUAUAGUUAUUACAAGUUGAGUUGAAAAGUUGCGGAAGCAAAGUAUUUUAAAACUAAUAUUGCCCUCAUUUCAAAUACAUGCCAGUAUCUAGGUCAACUCCAACAAAAGCAACAUAGAUGAGGUAACUAAGAAGGAUCAUGCCCAUGAUCUUACUCCUCUAUUAUGGUAGGAGUCAUCCAACUCUUGCAGUAGCCAUGAUACAUCACAACCUGCAACAAGUGGGAAUAAACCCUGAGUACGAGAAGGUACUCAGCUAGACUUACCCGUCAUAAACCAGAAAUAAUAUGACACCAAGGAGUAUACAAGGCUUUAUUGGUGGGGCUAGCUUGACAACACUUUUUGCAUAAAAAGUUUAAGUUGCAACUAAGUAACCUUUCAGGUAUUUAGCUCAAGUUAAUAAUCAUUAACCUAUCAUCUAGAUUAGCACCUGUACUAAAGCAAUCACUUGAUUAAUAUACAACAAUAGUACCCAUAUUUGAUGUGGCAUUUCCAACAUCAUCAUACCAUAACCAUCCAAGUGUUCCAUAAACAUUACUACGAUGACGAAGCUCAAGUCAAGUGCUCACUGUCCAGGAGCGAUGGCGAUUCGAAUCGAUUUCUAACCAGCUGGCGAUUUUAUUCCAUACACAAACCACACUCACUGAUCAAGUGAGCUACAGGUCACCAUAUUACACUAUCCAGGACCAAUUCGCGGGUUCGACAGGCACCGCCCGUACCCGAGGACCGUUCUGGCGACCGAGGUAUCCAAGGUAUAACAAGGUUGCGCGCCGCGCCCUCGUCGUUCUCCUCAACCCUCACCAAUACAGCGCGUACAUCGGGCCGAUUCCCGGCCCGGAUAGUGUUCAGGCUUCGCGGUCGGAAUGACUUAUCCUUCCAGCUAAGUGUGGGGCAUGCGUUCAACAUGACAAGAGGGCCGUCAACGAUCGGUCCUUAAUCGACACAGGCGGGGAUAGAUAGGCACCCAAGACCUCCAUGUCUUGUUACUUCUCUAUCAUCGUCCCGCCCGGUCUCCAAUUAUUCAUCCUCAUCACUUGGUUAUUUCCAUGAUAGCAUAUAUAGCCAACCCUUUUCAGGUAUCCACCUAUCUCGCUCAGGUGACAGGACAUCACCUGGCUUCUACCAGUCUAAGCUUGACUAAGCAUUUAGAUUCGAUCUUGAAUCUACAUAGGGUUAUAGGUAAAUUUGCUGGACAAGGAGUGUUAUAUGCAUCAAGGGUUUCACCCAACUCCUAUACUUAAUGCAACAACAUAUAUAUAACAUAUAUUCUCAAUUGCAUUCAAAAGUAGUGGGAGACUUAUAAUGCUCCGGGGCUUGUCUGGGAUCAACACUGAGUCAGUUCAGUUAGUUGCUCCGUCUCGGUGACAUCUAAGGUCACAACGCUUGCUUAGUCCUUUCACCUUCGUGAUCCACCCAACACCAUCUUUGGGUUUGUUUCCACACCAUCACCUUCACAUGAUUCAUCUAGCGCACCUAGAUGAGAUGCAAGAUGCAAGUGCAUGAAUAUGAAGAAUAGUAACACAACAUGCAUCACAUAAAAGUAUUCAAAACACAUGCAUCUAAAGUUUUUUAACUAGCAUCACACAACCAAAUAUGGAUAGCAACAUAUCAAGCAUGACACACAUUUUACAAGGUCACAAGUAUAUUAUUUAAUCACCACUAAAGACAUGUGUCACACUUAGUAUACACAAAGUAAGCAAUUAAGCAUUCAUGUAUUUCAGCAAUUCUGGACAUACAUGCAGCAACUCAGUAAAUAAAUCCUAACUAGAGCUACACAGCUCCAAAAACUAUGAAAUAGGACAUUCUGGAAAGACUAUCAAAUUAUCUACAAUUCAUCUUUAAUCAUAUUAGCAUGAUUAACAAGUUAACCAAGUCAAACAUGCAUGACCAUAUAAUCUGCUCUAGGAAUUUCCAGAGAACAAGCAUUUCAAAGGAUGAACUUCAUACUACUGUAACUCAUAAACCACUUAGCCAAAUGAUAUGCAACUUUACCACAAGAUAUGUUAAUAAAUUAUCUACAUCUUUUAUAUAUACAAGUUGCACAGCAAACAUCAUUUAUAUCAUGGAAUUAGUUGCAUAAAUAAAACUGCUCAUGCUGCCAAACAGUAGAGGUACAAUUACACACAGAAAACGGAUUGGCACUUCAAAGCAGCAUAACUGGAGUUGUAGACCUCCAGAAAACAUGAUUCUUAUAUUUUCGGAAAGCUUAUAAAGUUACCUACAAGUUUCUUAUGAUCAUCUAAACAUGAAUCUACAGUUAACAAGGUCAAUUAACCCCAUAAAGACAUCUCUGUCCAAAACUUGGACAGAAUCUGUCAUGCCAUAUUAAACAGCUAUAACUUGAGGUUCACAUGUCCAUAGUUCAUGGUUGUCUACUUUCUAGAAAGCUUAUGAAAUUGUGAACAACUUUGUUAUAGACAUCUAGAGCUAAAUCUACCACUAACAAGGUCUUACAUUACAAACAAUGCAACCCUGUCUGGGUUUAGACAGAAACUGGAACAGUACUUUAAACCACUAUAACUAAACAUGUGCUUAACUAAAAAUUGUGCUAUUUAUCUUUUUAGAAAGCUUAUGAAAAUUACUAAAACUUAUAUAUUUUCAUCUUGGCAUGAUUCAUAACUUAACUGAGCCAAACAAUACAAACAUGCAGACCUACUCAGAAUAGGAGCAAAGCAACAAAAGGGCAUUUGUUAUUUUUAUAACUCUUACUCUAUAAAUCCUAAAAUCAUGAAACCAUUACCAGACAUCAAGAAUCAUAUUAAACGCAUUUAACAAUAUUUGCACAUUUAUUUGGGCAAUAACACAGCAGUUAUGAAAAAGACAAAUAUAACAAGCAAUUAAAACCUAACUGCAUAAAUCUAUUUUUACGACUAAAACUUCAAACUAAACCAUGCCAUAUUAUAGAUCUACUGCAUAGAGAAUUUCAUAAGUAUUCCAAAAAGUUCACAUUUGCUAUUUUACGACUUUUCUAUGAAUUACUAUGCAUUACCAAAGUUCAUACAAGAAAUCUGCAAAAACAAAAGAUAAAGGGAAACGACUUUGCAUCUGGAACCCUGAACUUUCUCCGAAUCAACCCGACGUCGAGAGCACUAUUCAUAUGAGUCUUGGCUUCGCAUAACGACCCCUGCUCUCCUUCGAAUUUGAGCCAGAGGUCCCUGGUCGCGAACAGAGCAGAGGAGACGGAGGGGGGAUCACCGGUUCCGGCCAGCAGGGACGGCAGGGAAGUUGAUGGGGAGACUCAGGGGGCCCGUGCGCACUCGUUGGUUGCCUCACAUGGCUAGGAGAGGGCCGGUGGCAGCCUUGCCCUGUACCGCAAAGGUAUGCAGAGGCGGCGGCUCACCGACGGCGGCGCUCCGGUGGCUGGAAGCUUGGGCGAGCGUGUGCACGAGGUGUAGCAGGACGAGGCAACGACGAUGGCGUACGAGGCGGUGGCCGUGGUGGCUUGGAGUGGCGAGAACGCGGACGGAGGUGGUGCUCACCUCGCCGGCAAUGGCGGCUGGCUCUGCGCGGAUGAGUGGCCGAGGGGCGAGGGGUGAGUAAGAGAGAGUGCGCCUGGGAGUUCUGGAGCUGGGCGUCCACUUCUUGAGGGGAUAGAGGCGUUGGGCACGCGGUAGCAGUGCUCAGCUAUGGUGGAGACGCGCUCUGCUGCAUGGAGGACGCGUCGGCAUUUCGUCGAGCACGUGGCGCGCAUCGGAGUAUGCAAGGUGGGACGCGAUUUUGGGCUUGUUCUGGGCCGAAUUUGGAGAUGGGCCCAAAACGAAGUUUGCUCAGCCCCUCGUGCACUACAACUUUGGUUAAGGGUGCACAGUCAUUAGACCAACAGUUUACGAGAUAACUUGAUGCCAAAUCACGAGUGUCAACGUAUUGACGGUGAUUAGCAAAACCAAGAAUUGAUGGUCCAAACCAUGUCAAACUUGAUGCAUCUUUUUGCAUGCUCUUCUCCAAACAGUUAUCCACAACUUUUAUUCUUGGACCAACUUGAGUUGCUUAACAAAAACACGAGAACGCGGCAUGCCAACGGGUCGAUGUCCGUUUAGCGAUAAAAUAACCUUUUGCUGUUUUGGGAGCUACUUUUAGAUAUCCAAAUGAACUCCAAAUCUGAUAAUACUUGAUCCAUUGUUUCCACAAAAAAAGGUACUCCAACUCAUAUUAAGGAAUCCAAUUGAGUUACCAUAUGAAUUUGGAUAAUAAAAUGCCACAAAGAAGCUAACUUGCUGCUGUCACUUUCCAGGGACUUAGAAUUAUUUCUCAGGAAUAAAACGCAGCAGCUGAUUCGAAAUUGGAGCCUUUGUUUGAACUCUUUGCAAGCUGAUUUGGUUCUUGACCCUUGAAUUAAGUUUCUUCUACAGAAGCAAAACUACAACUUUCAUUUAGGGUCAAACCUCAUAACUACAACAGAAGUCAAUCUUUCAAUUUGGUCAAAGCAGUAACCCGAUAAAGCUCCAAACAGGGUUUUAGGGCAAUUGAAGCAUUUCUUUGGCAUAAGCUCAACAUGAACCCUUCCUGAAUUUUGUUGUAUAAUUCAUCUAGAGUCAUAUGAGCAAGUUUGUAAGGGUUGGUUCAUGACCCAUGUUUCUAUUUCCUUAAUAGAGCCAUUCCAACAAGGAUAUAACUUAUCAUUUUAUGUGACUUCUUGAUUCCAAACUUCACCAAACUUUUCCAGGGACCAAUAUAGAUUGGGUUGGAUAUGAGACACAUGGAAAAUGUUCCACUAGCCUCAGCCAUGUAUACCUUUUAAAAGGGCCUAUAUGUAAGUAAAGGUGCACCAUCCAAGUCUAAGUUAGAGCUUACUUUCAUAAGUUGGUUGUGACCUCUUUGUUACCAUUGAGCUUGUCAUGUUUGAGCUCAAACCUAGUACUUAGCAAGUGACAAACACCUGGGGUGUUAUAGGAAUGAUGAUCUUACUUCCAAGGGUUUUUAAAUUAAGCAUGGUGCUUAGGUUAAAACGCCCUCCUAAAUAAAAUUAGACAUGGUGUCUAGGUUGAUUUUUGAGCCGAUAGUAUGCUAUAGUAGAUAUAGGAUAUUUUGUUGGACUAACCCCUGCGAGAAACUUUCAAUAUCGACCUGAGAAGUCCUGAGAUAAACUCACAUUGGAGACAAAGAGAGAGACACAUGAAGGUUAACAAUUUAUACAAGGAAGGCAUAGAUCACAAGAGAUGAUCCAUGGAGGGUACCACAAACACGAUGCACAACCGCUAAGAAAGGAAAGCUUCCACAAGGUGAUACUAUACCAUCACUCUUCAAGUAAGGUAACAUCUUAAAGUACUUGACUAUCACUUUUAUAAGCUUCUCCUUGGUUCUGGCGUACACAUAAAUAGAGAGACAAACAUGUAUGAUUUGUAACUCCAAAUUAACCAACCUAAUUAAUUCAACAUGUUUAGUCCUUUAAUCUUUGUUCUUAGUACUACCUUCAUGAUCCCACACUCCUAAUCAUAUAAGCUAAAAUGUGCACAUUCAAUCUUUGGAAGAUAUAAACAAAACAUAAAUAUGGAUAGAUUAUCUUUCCAUUAGGUCGAGCGAUCUGAUUUGACAAAUGUUUCGAAUGCUACACUGAUGAUCCAUCAACUUUGUCUUUCUCACUAUGCUUAAGGUUAGAGAAGAACAAAUACACUUUUGGUUUUGUUGGUGUUUUCCACCAACAGGGCCCAUGCACUUGAUCUCUACCUUGUCUCUAUGAACAGGUACACUUCAAGCAAAACAUGGAGGAGUUUUACAACUCCCAGACUCCACCAAGUGAAGGACCUGGAUCUACGAGCACAAACACAAUGAGCAGGAUAUUGCCAGCACCGCACUUCGAACUGCUGGGCAAACGAAAAACAUGGGUGACACCGUAUCAAGAGGUGUAGACAUCAAGGUCCACACCAAAUCAAAUGAUGCACCUAAAGGAUGAAGACGGUGAGAAGUCUUGUCAAGAAGACUUAAAACAUUGGAUCCUCGUUGGAAGAGCUCAAGAUCGUCGACUCAAGUCGCCUUUCCUGAUCAAGAAGGACGACCCUGGUGUUCCAAGUAUCGAGUGCACAAUCAACAGAUACUCCUUUCAGAAGACAUUCUACGACACCGGAUCUGACGUCAACAUAAUGGCCGCAGUCACUUAUCAGCUCCUGCAUGGAACCAUGCCCCUACAACCAAUAUACAUUCAGCUCUAGAUGAUUUUCAGGUAAUUGACAUGGGAGAAGACGAGUACGAUCCAUCCAUCAUCCUAGGGAGGCCAUUCCUGAACACCUCAAGAGCUGUCAUCUACGCUAGUGCUGCCAAGUUCAGUUUCUACAUCAAGGGGAAGAAGGAGACUUUCCUUCAAGAACAAGACUACACAAAUUUCAGAGCAAUCCCGACAUGAACCAAGGAAGACGACGCAACCGCAACCAGAGGAGGCAAAUCAUCAACGACGGAUGGGCAGACUACGAAGGAGAAGUGGUAAGGUCUGAAGACAUACAGCUUGAAUAGAAUUGUCCUGAGGAGACCGUAGCACCGAGUCAGGUGUGGAGAGCACUACUAGAUUCGCCCAGAAUUUCAACGUGCCUAAACUGUGGCAAAAGCACCACAAACGUUGUAAUAACAGGAAUGGCAACGCGCGAAAAACAUUGCGGGGUGUUGCAAGACAAACUGUGGCAAGACGCUGUCGCAACGCUUUUUUGGUUAGUGUUGCAAAUGCAGUAGUUAUAUCGCAACACUUGUGGCGUUGUAACCUGUAUUGUUGCUACGUUUUCUAGUGUGGUAACAGCAGCUAAUACAAUGCUUGAGGUGUUGCUGGAACAUGUAAUUGCAACAUGGCCAUGUCGUAGCAACUGGUGCAAUAGCAAUGAUUAGUGCGGGUUGCAAAACAAUUUAUUGCCACACUCGACAUUUCAUUGUUAUACUUAACUUUGGUAUUGCUACGUAGAACUGGUGUGGCAAGUGAGGGUUUAUCACAACACCAUGAAAUGGUGGCAACAUGUUGAUUUUCCACGCUCUAGAUGUCAUUGAUAUAAGUGAGUUUGCUAUUGCUACGUAGAACUGGUGUGGCAAGUCAAGUUGUAUAACAACACCAACAAAUGGUUGCAACAUGUUGAUUUGCCAUGCUCUGGAUUUCAUUGCAAUAACUGUCUUCGUUAUUGCUACACAAAAAAUUGGUGGCUACAUGGGCAUAUGCUAUUACAACGAUUAGUAUGCGUUGCUAUAGUAUGUGUGUUUCCUCAUUAAAUCUGGUUGCAAAUACUCAAUUUAACAACGCUGUUUGUUUGGUAGCACCAUGAAUUAUUCUUGCACCAUUUAAUAAUUCAAAAAACAAUAUUAAAAAUAAGUAGAUCAUGAGAUUACAGCCACUUAAUGACAAAAACAACCAUUCAUUAAAUACACAACCCAAUGUAAAGUAUAUAGUAUCACAAAGAUAAAUGGUCUCGUCAGUACUUUCGAAGAUAACAAAACAAAGUUUAAAUUUGCUUCGUUCAUGACAUCUCAAACUUGAAGCACCACAUUGUCUAUCAGCUUGCUACUAGAAGUGGUAGAACACAACUUCUUGGCGAUAUAGAAGCAGUAGCACAGAACUUCUUGGCGAUGUAGAAAUGCUCCAUCUCAAAAUGUCAUGACCCCAACCACUCCAUCAACUUCCAUCUUCCUGCAUAUUAUGUUACUGUCAUCAUAAAUGAAGGGCUUUUAUUAUUAGAAUGUGAAAUAUUUGUGACAAUUAUAGCAUUGAAUCUUACAUUCAGUCUUUCCUUGGAACUGCACCUCGCUUCUUUUUUGUAGAUUGCAGCAAUUGUUGUGAAGUCAUAUAUUGGGUACUGACGUUCCUGUCUUUAUUCUGUGAUUGACUUCUAUUAAAACUCCUGGUGCUGCGCACACUGGCCGCUGCAACUGUCGUAGCAGCACAUAGUUCAUUUUGGUUAACUACCUGGUUAUUCUGCAAAACCAAAUAAAUACAUGCCAAGUAUUAAACAUACAACUCAUAACAUGCACUAGUUCAUGAACAAUGUAACAUUUUUUAAUCAUUAAUUACCUGUGGAUGUAAGUGUGUCUCAUCCACUUAUGUUCCAGCAACUGCUAUUUCAUUUGUAUUUUGGUUAACCAGCAUUAAAAUCUCAUGGUUUCUGCUUUUUAAAUUUCUGGUGCCUUCUUUAUUCAUCUUGUGUAGGCAUAUGCUAGGGUCAUGUAAGGGAGAUGAUUAGACGACAAGAAAUGUAUGAUAACAGCAGGAACAUACUAACUACAUAAACAUGCAAGUAAAAACACCGAGCCUUAUUAUAGCCUAUGUCGAUGCUCCAUGCAUUUUUGCUUGUAUCAGUGCUUGAAACUCUUUCCUAAGCUGUUCUUUGUCAGCCUCCCUAGCUUUCUGUAGUGCUUCCAUCUCUUGCUUCUGUUGUUCCAUCAAACGCUUGUGUUCUUCCUUCUCAGCUUCCAUUUGAGCAACUUGGCUCUGGAGUUGUCCUUGGACCUUCUCUAGUUGAGCCUUCAGCUCUUCUUUUUCUUUGUGUGCUGCUGUUUCAGAAUGGGCCCAUUCCUCAGAUUGCUCUAGCAUUAAUUUCCUUCUACUUGGAUACCUUGCCAUAUACCCAUUACCAUGAACCUUGGACGACUGGCAUCUAGUAGUUUCCUGGUAUACUUUCUGGAAAAUAUGGUUUCUCUCUGUUGAAGGAACAAAGUUCUCUGUUGAGUCUCUUUCCUUGUUUCUAAUUUCAGUGCAAGCAAUUUCCUCACAGAUGUAAGACAUUUGAAAGUGCUUAAUCUGGUUAGAAAUUUAGGAGGAUGACUACGAUACAAUUAAUUAACAAGGUUUCUACAAUUGAAGUAGAUUAUUAUACUUACAUAGACAGCUUUAGCUGCAUCAUUUGACCAUUUCUCUCCCUUACUGUGUGUUAUCGCCCAUAGAUCACAAUCAUUUGGCUCUCCAAGAGUGUCUGGGUCCAUCUAAUUUUGCCUAGAAAGAAACAAAUGAACUCUUCAACAAGUACUAAAUCAAAACAAUUCAUGCAUGCAUGUACUUCUCUAAAGUACUUACCAUUUCAUAGCUAAUCUGAGAGAAAGGCUUUGAUCCCAUCAUAUGUUGUGUUUGUUGCAUUGCACGGUUUUCAGAAUUCAUUCUGCUAAUUUUCUGCAUACAAGUUUUGUAUUAAAAAAUAUAUUGUUCAAAACAACUAAUUUAUUUGUACAACUGCUGUUGCAAACAAUGAUGCGAAAUGCAUCAAACCUGGAAUUCUGAAGUGCCAAAAUACACUAUGAGAUAGUGCCAUUCAACAAUGUGGAGGUCUUCUGGCUUAUGCCUCAUUCUGAUAUCAUAACUGUCGUAUAUCCUAUAUGUAGCACUGAAUGUUGACCGCCAACCUUUAUAGCGUUUGUUAGCUAUGGUCCACAUAAGUUUCUUGUUUUCAUCAUUCCUCUCAAUGUCCCAAUGGUUCUGUUUAAAAGACAGUUACACACAAAGAAUCAAUUCGUAUACAGAUUCAUAUGUAAGAUCAAGUAAGAUGGGUAUGGAAGAAAAAUGUUAAAGCUUAUUACCAAUACAUCACUGGCUAUCUCGUCUUUAACUGCAUCAUCAAUUUCUUUCCAUUUUUUGAUACCAAUGAGUGGAGCAUGCAAUCUUGUGAACACAACGAUUUCGUCAACAAAAGACCGUUGGUUACCACCUACAGGUCCUCCUAGUCUUUUUGAGAAUUUGAUUUUCAUUUUCUUGUUUUUUCCUUGCCUAUGCCUCUUGUUGGAUGCAGCAUAACCUUUCAAAGUCCCACGUGCUAUGUACUUCCUCUUUCCACUUCCUACUUGUGCAACAUACAGUGAAUUGGAAAAUAUGUUAAAGUAAACUUAGUGAAAAAACAUAAGUUCGAAGAUAGGGUGUACAAAAACAUUGUCUUACCUUGAUUAUCGCCCGCAUGUUUUAAACACCGAGCAUGACUUGGCCACUCUGUUGGCGGUGUUGGAUUGCUGGUUUCACUUUCUUGAACAUCUUCAUAUGCCUCUGCACAAUAUAAUACUUAAGGUAAAUUUGGUAAAUUCAAUGUCUGAGAAAUUGGAGAGAGGUAUUAAAUUACCGAUUUCUUCUAAUUGUCCUAGUUCUCGUAGCCACGCUCUGUAUACUUGGAUCGUUUGGUCCCUGAAGAUAUCCUUGAAUUCUACAACCAUGUAUACAUAAAUAAUCGAGUUGGAUAACAAUGAAUUAAUUGUGAUGCAAGUUGUGGACACAAUUAUAUGAUUUUUACUUGCCUUUGCCAUCGCCCAUCUCUCGCAGUUCUACAAGCCAUGUCUUAUAUUCAUAAACAUUCUCAUCUGAAAAGUCUUCAUAAAAUGUUGUACCCACAGGUACUUUCCUUGGUGUUAUGUUAACAGUCAGGUCAGUAAUUUUAGUACGGGUUAGAACUAAUCUAACUUCGCACUCCUCAUGGUUGUCCAUUAUCAUAUUUUCUGCAUCCUUCUUUGAUUCAAUCUCUACAAGUUUUGCCAUAUUUUUACGAUCUCAUUUCUUAUAGUAUAAGAAAUCCCUCAAAGUGUACCCUAAAUGUCCUUUGAUUGUUACCAAUUUUCCAAAGCUGAGAUCGAUCCUUUUUAUCCGAACUGUUUCAAAAUCCCGUCCAACUGGUGCCCCUACGAGAUCGAUAUACAGAGACCAAAUUUCUCCUUGUUCUUGGGUUAAAUCAGCCCUGACAUAUGAAUUAGAAUUGAAAGAAUCUGAAUCUAUAUGCGAUCAUGAAAAAAUGAAAGACAAAACAACACCAGGGUAUUUCUCUUUGAGACAUGCUCACUAUAUCGUACACAAUUUGAAGAAUGAAAGGAUGGGUGCGAGCAAUAGUCAGUGGUUACGUACCGGUUUUGUGACACGUCGAAUCGCAUAAGCCUUGUAGUAUGAGAAGAACGGCCAUGGCUGCCGGAAUCUUGACUACCCACGUCUGCUGCCGCGGCGUCGUCGGGAGAGGCAAGGGUCGGCGGCGUCCUACAAGCGUCGCUGAAAAGUGACGCUGAGACCCUGUGAGGAUGAUUCAUCGUCGUAUUUGCUCCAGUUGGCCUCGUGUACGCUGGGGUCACCGUCGACGAGGAUGGACGCCACCGCUCCGUCAACGUCGGCUCCUCAGCUGUCGGAGAGGUCUCCAUCUCGUUGCCUUCUAAACCCUAACUGGCGGCUGCUUAGUCUGGGAUUAGAUUAGUCUAAGCGGCAAUUUGGAGGGAUAAGUGCACAAGUCACGGUGAUGAAAGGGCCUUCGAUAAAAUUUCGGAUCUCACACACGAGAAAUUAUCCUCGGCAAAAAAAGAGCCCGCCAGUACGUAAGUGUUUGGCCUUCUUGAAAUUUUGAAAUUUGAUUGAGCCAACAAAUAUUGAGGAAACCAAUAAAUAAUUGCAGUAAUAGGUAAACAUGGAUAGAAAAUUCCACAGAUGCACACAACAUCAUGGUACACCUACAAUAACAUCCCAAAAAAUUCUCACAGGGUUUUGAGAAAGUUGUGCCUUUGUAAGCAUGUGUAUCACAACCUUAUCAGAAUAAGUUGAAAAUUUUUCCUCAACACUAUACAUCUAAAUGAGGUGUCCAUGCAAGUUUUUAGAUUUUUCUAGGUAGCUUUGGUUAUUCAUGAGGAAACCAACAAAUAAUUACAGUAAUAGGUAACACAUGGAAAAAAAAUUCCAUAGAUGCACACAACAUCAUGGUACACCUACAAUAACAUCCCAAAAAAUUCUCACACGGUUUUGAGAAAGUUGUACUACAGACCCCCCUAACGGCUGAGCAUCUCUCACUUAGUGACAAGGUAUGUGUGUGAGAGAUGUGUGCCUUUGUAAGCAUGUGCAUCACAACCUUAUCAGAAUCAAAUGAAAAUUUUUCCUCAAAACUAUACACCUAAAUGUGGUGUCCAUGCAAGUUUUUAGAUUUUUCUAGGUAGCUUUAGUUAUUUUAGCAUUUAUUCUUGAGGCAACCAACAAAUAAUUGCAGUAAUAGGUAAAAAUGGAUAGAAAAUUCCACAGAUGCACACAACAUCAUGGUACACCUACAAUAACAUCCCAAAAAUUUCUCACACGGUUUUGAGAAAGUUGUACUACACACCCCCCUAACGGCUGAGCAUCUCUCACUUAUUGACAAGGUAUGUGUGUGAGAGAUGUGUGCCUUUGUAAGCAUGUGCAUCACAACCUUAUCAGAAUUAGUUGAAACUUUUUCCUCAACACUAUACACCUAAAUGUGGUGUCCAUGCAAGUUUUUAGAUUUUUCUAGGUAGCUUUGGUUAUUUUAGCAUUUAUUCUUGAGGAAACCAACAAAUAAUUACAGUAAUAGGUAAACAUGCAUAGAAAAUUCCACAGAUGCACACAACAUCAUGGUACACCUACAAUAACAUCCCAAAAAAUUCUCACACGGUUUUGAGAAAGUUGUACUACACACACCACUAAUGGCUGAGCAUCUCUCACUUAGUGACAAGGUAUGUGUGUGAGAGAUAUGUGCCUUUGUAAGCAUGUGCAUCACAACCUUAUCAGAAUCAGUUGAAAAUUUUUCCUCAACACUAUACACCUAAAUGAGGUGUCCAUGCAAGUUUUUAGAUUUUUGUAGAUAGCUUUGGUUAUUUUAGCAUUUAUUCUUGAGGAAACCAACAAAUAAUUGUAGUAAUAGGUAAGCAUGGACAGAAAAUUCCACAGAUGCACACAACAUCAUGGUACACCUACAAUAACAUCCCAAAAAAUUCUCACACGGUUUUGAGAAAGUUGUACUACACACCCCCCUAACGGCUGAGCAUCUCUCACUUAGUGACAAGGUAUGUGUGUGAGAGAUGUGUGCCUUUGUAAGCAUGUACAUCACAACCUUAUUAGAAUCAGUUGAAAAUUUUCCCUCAACACUAUACACCUAAAUGAGGUGUCCAUGCAAGUUUUUAGAUUUUUCUAGGUAGCUUUGGUUAUUUUAGCAUUUAUUCUUGAGGAAACCAACAAAUAAUUGUAGUAAUAGGUAAACAUGGACAGAAAAUUCCACAGAUGCACACAACAUCAUGGUACACCUACAAUAACAUCCCAAAAAAUUCUCGCACGGUUUUGAGAAAGUUGUACUAUGCAAGUUUUUAGAUUUUUCUAGGUAGCUUUGGUUAUUUUAGCAUUUAUUCUUGAGUCAACGAACCGUCAAUGACGCGUCCAAACUGUCUCCGGCGGUUCACUUCCUACGUCUCCGCCCGCGCCUCCCCAAACUGUCUCAUCAACUCCCGCUCCUUGCCAUUCUCGCCGCCUGCGACUCCCGCCGCGUGCCAUCCUCCAUGGCAGCAAUGGCCACCGCAAGCUCGUCCUCCUCCUGCUCCAGGAACGCCGCCUCCGACUCCUCACGACAGCCGCACCCGCAGUGCAGCACCUCUCGUCCCUACCGAGGGGCGAUAGGAGGGGAAGGUUCCCACCGACGCCGAGGCGGCCGAAGACGAAGGUGACCCCGCGGCGCAGCAUUCAGGCCGAGGCGGGAGCGAUGGCCAUUCCCGAUGUGCCGCCUGGCUACUCUGAACACCAUCGCCACCAGAACCCUGUCGAAGCGGCGGAGCUUCCAGCCCCGGAGGUUAUGGUUUUCUAGUGCUACUGUUUACAAUGCUUUUCUAGUGUACACUGUGCUUCAAUUUUGGAUUGGGGAUUUUUAAUUUUUCAUGUUCGGAUAUUACUCCUGCCAAUUUGGCAAUUGCAAUCAUUCCCGAGUUCAUAUAGAGUAUGACAGGGAUUAUAAUUCUGUUUUGAAUUAAAUGAGAUUAAUUUAGAACUUGCAAUCAUUCAUGCUUAAUCUUUUCAAGAUUGAGUAUAUAUAGUAUGAAAUGAUUCAAAGUCUGGUUUUGGGGAUGCUGUGAAUUCAUCUAUAGUAUGAUAUGGUUUUAGCAUCUGUUUCGAAUUGAAUGAGAUUAGUUUAGAUCUUGCAAUCACUCAUGCUUAAUCUUUUCAAGAUUCAGUAUAUAUACUAUGAAAUGAUUCAAAGUCUGGUUUUGGGGAUGUUGUGAAUUCAUCUAUAGUAUGAUAUGGUUUUAGCAUCUGUUUUGAAUUGAAUGAGAUUAAUUUAGAACUUGCAAUCAUUCAUGCUUAAUCUUUUCAAGAUUGAGUAUAUAUAGUAUGAAAUGAUUCAAAGUCUAGUUUUGGGGAUGCUGUGAAUUCAUCUAUAGUAUGAUAUGGUUUUAGCAUCUGUUUCGAAUUGAAUGAGAUUAAUUUAGAACUUGCCAUCAUUCAUGCUUAAUCUUUUCAAGAUUGAGUACAUAUAGUAUGAAAUGAUUCAAAGUCUGGUUUUGGGGAUACUGUGAAUUCAUCUAUAGUAUGAUAUGGAUUCUAAUUCUGUUUCAAUUGAUUGAUAUUAAUUUAGCACCUAUAAUCGUUCAUGUUAAGUCUUAUUUGAUUUCAUUGAGAAUAAUUUUUCACAUGCAGUUCAUAUUAAACAUUCUAAGUCUGACUAUACACUUACCCUGAUUUUGUUAAUGAAGAUUCCCAAAUACACCCAUGUGUUCGUUGUAAGUCCUAAGAUCACAGUUCACUGCACAUUGACGCGUGACAGUGACGACGAGACAGAAGAUUGGCCGAUCGCGAUGAAUAGGGAGGUAAUAUAUGGCUUCUCUACCUUACGAUUCCUAAGUUUCAAUUAUACAUAUGCUAACUUGUCCCCUUGUGAAUUGACAAAUCAAGAAGAAAUGCGAGAAUAUUCGUGUCCUCCUCAAGCGCAAGUACUUUAAGCCGGCAUGGCUGGAAUCUUCCGACUCCUCCAGCGUCGCAAGGGACGACAAGUGAAGAAUGAAGUUGGUGGUUUGUAUAUAACCUUAGAUAUAUGCUGGUGUAAUCAGUGAAGUACUGGUUGUUGGCUGGUGGGUGUAAUCAAGUAAACUAUUAAGUCCUCCUUGUUGCCUGGUGUAAUCAAGUACACUGGUAAGUCCUGCUCUAUUUUCAGAUCUGACCUAUGCUGCUAGUUGUUGAUGCAAAAGUGGAUCUGCAAACACAAAGGGCUAAUACCCGAUUUCAAAUGUUAAGGCGUGCUAGUAGAUUUGACCUUACUAUCGGCAAAGGUGAUAACUCGAAUACUUUGGUCCUGACAACAGCGAUGCGCCCCGAUGUCACGGCCAAGAGGUAUUCACGCGGAACUCGAGAAUACGCCGAGCUUAAGUCGACGAACUCCUAAGAACUCGUAAUAAAAAGGAAAAUAUGAUGAAGUCGUCGAAAAAAAGUAGAUGCUGGAAUAUGAGUAAAAACUUGUGUUUGAUUGAUUGAUAGAUGUCUCAUUACAAGGCCCUAGGGUCUAUAUUUAUACCCUGCUCGAAGAGCUACAAUCAGACACGACUAGACUCGAAUUCCAAAUUAAACAGAAUCCGUAUACAAAACGAUUUAAAUAACUAAGGAAAGCACAAAACUAUCCUCCCAUGACAAACUGGGACACCACCAUGGACCAAUCGGCAACCUUCAUGUUCUCCUUCUGAGUCAUCGGCAGACUCCUCAUCGUAGCCAUCGACAAAAGCUAACGCUGAUCGUCGGCAUGAACACGUCACUACACAUGGACUUAGUCACAUUUAGCUGUCCCUUCAUCGGCAACCACCUUCAUCGGCAACUCCCCUACAGACCAGUUACUGUUGCCCUACCUUGCCGAUCUAUACUCUACCGAUCCUGGGUACGUGUCCAAAAAUGGUGUCAACACAUGCCCCCCAAUUUCGGAGUAUAAAAUCAUUAAUGCUCCGAAAUUCUCUGCAGUAAUGAUGCCUUUCCACAAUUAAUCCUCUUAAUUUGGUAACCGACCGUUGAAAUUGAACAACUCUGGCCCGAUUCUUCCGCAGAUUCCUCGAAUUUCUCAACCUCCCAAACUGGACAUCUCCACUUUAUUCGCCCAUCGGCAAUAUUACCGUUAGAAGGAGCUGCCGAUGGACCGACCAGGAAAUCCCACACAGUGAAAUAUCUCCAGAUUAUGACCGCUUCCUGUAAAAUCACCUGCGCAAUCUCUUGAUUACCGUGCGAACUGUUACCAUAUCCACCCGAGUAUCCUCGGAUUUCACGGAUGCGGCGAAGAGAUAAGUCAGAUUUGCCCUUGCCCGUUUUGUCCUAUAAAUAGUUCCUUCUCGGGUACUCCUUCUCCAUCGCAUCAUUCUACAGCCCCAACUCUGCUUUUCUGGCAGCGGCACCGUUCGAGAGCUCCAAGAACUUCAACAAGAACCUUCUCCAACAACCCCCAAGUUCUCAAUCUUCUCCCCUACUAGGAGAUGGCCGUCAACUUCACCGUGCCUGAGGUCAGUUCUACUUCUCUCUUGUAUUUUUACCGCACUCCUGUUCAUCCGCAGUUCAUCUUACUGAAUACUUUUUUUUCUUUUGCUCUUCUUUUUACCCCCAAAAAUCAUUAGGAUCUGUCCAAUAGAAUUGUCAUCCCUACCGAUCAACCACACCUCCAAUGUCUCGGUCCGCUAAGGAACCCAGAUCCUACCGAUCUGAUCAACGCAGAGACAAACAGAAUACCCUUUAGAGCCGAGAAUUUUUCUCUAGAUUUGUGGAAAGACGCCUUCCGUUCUUGGCCCAGUCCUACCAAGGGAUGGAAGGAUUGGUUCUUGAGAGUCAACCAUUCAAAUGAGGUUCAGUGGGGUGAGCGAAAACUAGAUCAAUGAAUCAGGUUGUCCCUUGCCGAUAUGGAUAGGAAUGAAUCAUUGUUGAUUGCUGCAUCGUAUUUCUAGUCAGACACACUCAAUGCUUUUGUGUUUGGUCAUGGUCCUGCUUCCCCCACACUUGCCAAUGUACUUAUGCUCACCCGUUUAGAUGUAUCUUCUGCCGAUAGCACCCACUUGUUUGACACCAAACCCAGUGCUAAGGUAGAAACAUGUUCCAUCGGCGGUUGGUCAGGGUACAUCUAGAAAUACCAACGAACAGGCCCUGUCAACAUAAAGGAGCAGACCACCUUCAUAAACAUGUGGCUGGACAAACUUGUAUUUUAUGGUCGAUCGGCACGACCAACUUCUGUCUACUUAGCAGCAGCAGAAAGAUUAGCUAAUGGUGGCCGAUUUCCCCUCAGCCGAUACUUGCUCGGCUCAGCUUACCACCUCCUCCAUCAAGCAGCCAGGAAACUCCUGCUCGGCCAACCCAUCGGCAACUUAGGGGGUCCCUGGUGGUUUAUCAAUAUGUGGCUUAGCCUCCAUAUGCACAAGCGUCUUGAGUUUGACCUCUUCGCACAACGCUUCCCCAGGGACAUAGUCGAGGAUUAUGAACAGGAUGAAGAAGAAUCGGCAACUCGUCCCCCUCUGAACUUUGGUGAGGCUGCCAUAGUUUUGCCUGGCACAGGUGGUAACGCAGACCAGGUUAGCCGAUUCUUUCAAACUCUGUACGAAGGCCUGACCAGGGAACAGCGAGCAUGGAUGCCUUAUGAAGAUCCGAACACAAGAUUUCCCUUGGUCUUCCAUCCGUUCAAUGAUGCUCUCAACAAGGAUCAUGAUGUGAUGAUGGCAAUCAUCACCCCAAGAGCUAUACCAGUUAACUUCUUUGGUGGUGGAAAAGCUUCCAUCUAGACCUACGAAUUCUACAACCCAUCGGCACUAGCUCGUCAACUAGCUUUUGGCCAACUGCCGACUGCACUCUGCUACGCUGAUGUGAUAAAGCCAAGGGAGACCAUCACCAAUUAUCUCGAGUGGAUCAGAGUAGCCCAACUCCCACCGAAUGCCGAUACAGAUGUCAAUCUAUCGGCUUGGGUCCCGACCCUCUUCAUUACUCAGGCAUACAAACAAUGGUGGGAAGAAUGGAAAGAGCAUUUGUUCUGCAAAUCGGCUCUCACGUACCGCGGCAUGAUCGACCCCCAGUACAGAGUCCCCGAUAAUACCGUAAGUAUUUCCAAACCGAUGUUUCAAUCCUUUCACUUUUACUUCCAUCGGUAACUCACUUUUUGUGUUAUAUUACAGGUUGAUAACACACCCCCAUCGGUCAGCAAGAGUGGUAAGUUUAUUGAGCUCCUUCCAUCGGGCCUGAUUUCUUUGAUCGGCAACAACUCUCCAUCCCUGGCCGAUUCCAUUCUACUUUAGCACAGGCUUUCAAGGUAAAUUUUCAAAUUCUUUUACCCAUACCGAUUCCAUUCUUACAUCUGUUACACUUGCACUCACAAAUUUUCAUUGUUGUAUCAGAAAACCGGGACAUCGGAAAAGACCAGAGGUGUGACUGCCGAUGCCCCCCAGUCCUGCCAACCAAAGAGGAAAAGCUCCAAGAGUACCAGAACCCAGGCGAAGAGCCAGAAGACAGCAAUACCUUCUCCUCCCCCAAGGUCACCGAUCCCGGUGGAAUCUUCUCCCUCUUCUCUAGAAGUUCAGAUACAGCAAGCACCAUCUCCUCCUCAACCACAAGAAGAACUCCGCACAGAAGAACCCCUGCCAGAGGAGCCUCAGCCAAAAGACACAUUGGCUGACGUGCACGAGGAAACUGCCGAUCCAGCAAGCCUGAUCAUAACAUCGGUAGUUUUCUCAAUCCAGACAAGCACUAUACCCCCUCAAGGUAACAUAUUCUCUAUGAAAUCAUUGCCAAUGAACCUUCUUCUCCCAUCUUAUAAUUACUUCUGUCAAUCUUUCAGCUAACAUAGUCUCAUCGGCAACCCCAGCCGAUCAGCCUGUGGUUCCAUCGGCAUCAUCUAGUCAGAGGCGAGAGAUAGCCCUGAAACAAGUAAGUCACCCAAUCUUUAUCUGUAUUGUUUAUCAGUGCUUGAUCAUAAAAUAACUUAUUUUAUGUUCCUUUUCAGGAACAGGACUCUCCUGACAGCUUGUUCUCCUUUGCCAUCGACAUCUCUGAGGAUGAAGGCGAAGAGGCAAGUUCUUCUCGAGCAGUUGGCAUCACAUCGGCAGAGAUCAGGGCAAAGUUAGAAGAAUUAUCGGCCCUCCUUCAUCAAGACACAGCCCAAUUGGUCGAUGACUCCGAUCCGGCCAAGGCCCUGUUCAAGACCCUAAGAGGCCAAAUUCCUGCCGAUGCCGAAGAAAUCCUUUUUCAAGCUGCACACCUAGAGAGUCGUCAGCUGCAGUAUCAAAAGGCUGCCCAGCGUCUUGCCGACAGAGCUGCUCACGCUCAGCUCUCUGAUGAGAUGAUGAAAAUAAGGCUCCUUGCCGAUGAGAAGCACAAGAGCAUCAGCAUCGUGACAUCCUCGGGAGACGUUUUGAAGCAAAAGAUUUCCGAUCUAUCGGUGAGAAGGGAAGCCCUGUUGGCAGAACUCAAACAGGUAGAAGAAGCCUUGUCUCAAGCCCAACAAGAAGAAAGCCAGCUGCCUGAAACGAUCAAACUUCUUGAACAAGAGCGAAAUAUCCAAGCCCGCCAAGCACUGCAGAUGAAGAUGAAGCUGAAACCAGUGGGAGGUUCUGUCGAUGAUGACGUGAAGGAAAUAGAAGAAGCCAACCAGAUCCGUCUGCACGCCAUAUCGACGAUCCAGGCGCUGUUGAACAUGUGAACUCUUCAUCGACGACAUACCCUGCUCUCUUCUUUCUAAUCCUCCUGAUAUUUUGGUCUAGCCGAUAGGACUGUUAUCGGCACCUUUUAAAAACAUUGAGUUUAGCCCCAGACACACUUUGAUUUAGCCGAUAGGAAUGUUAUCGGCAUUUUAAACUCUUAUGCAUCAACCCAUAUGCUUGGGUGAUACUUCUUUAAAUAUUUGCCAUUCAAUGCUCUGGGAAAUUCAACUCCUUCGAGAGUUUCUAAGAUAUAGGCAUUGCCAGGAGCAGACCGAUUUACACGAUACGGACCUUCCCAAUUGGGAGACCACUUCCCAAAUUUUGAACUUUUAGUCCCGAUUGGUAAGAUUAAUUUCCAUACUAAGUCUCCAUCGGCAAACUCAUUAGCUUUUACUUUCUUAUCAUACCAUCUGGCAACUCUCUUUUUAUUCUCUUCUAUACUCAUCAAAGCUCUUAGCCGAUGCCCUGCUAGGUCAUCCAACUCGUGUGUCAUCAAAGUAGCAUAAUCAUCGGCAGCCAAUUGAUCUUGAAAAGAUAAUCGCCUAGACCCAGUCUUAAUUUGCCAAUGUAACACUACAUCAUGUCCAUACACCAACUGAUAAGGUGAAACUUUGAUCGACCCAUGACAAGCCAUCCGAUACGACCAUAAAGCUUCAUUUAACAACGUGUGCCACCUCCUAUGAUUUUCUUCAAUCUUUCGUUUAAUGAGCUUCAUGAUUCCUUUGUUAGAUGCCUCGGCCUGCCCAUUAGGUUGCGCAUAAUAAGGAGAAGAAUUUAAUACUUUAAUUCCCAUACCGAUUGCAAACUCAUCAAACUCCCCUGACGUAAACAUAGUACCCUGAUCGGUAGUAAUUGUUUGAGGAAUUCCAAAUCGGUAGAUAAUAUGCUCUUUCACAAAAUCAAUCAUAUUGGAUGAUGUAAAUUUCUUCAAAGGAAUAGCUUCAACCCAUUUGGUGAAAUAAUCGGUGGCAAACAAAAUAAACUUAUGUCCUUUGCUGGAUGGCGGAUAAAUCUGGCCAAUCAAGUCAAUAGCCCAUCCUCGGAACGGCCAAGGUUUAAUAAUGGGAUUCAUGGCCAAUGCGGGUACCCUUUGAACAUUGCCAAACUUCUGACAUCCUUGACACCCUUUGAAAUACUUAAAACAACCCUGAAGUAUUGUCGGCCAAUAAUACCCAUUUCUUCUGAUCAUCCACUUCAUUUUAAAUGCUGACUGAUGUGCUCCACACACUCCAUCAUGGAUCUCUCCCAUCAAACUUCUAACCUCAUCAUCACCUAAGCACCUGAGAACUAUUCCAUCAAUAGUUCGAUAAUAUAACUCAUCUUCAAGGAGCACAUACUUGGUAGCUUGAAACCGAACACGUCUCUCAACUUUCUUAGAUGGAUCCUUUAAAUAAUCAAUGAUUUCUUUUCUCCAAUCGUCGACACUGAUUGCCGAUACUGCGUUUUUCAUGGGCUGAUAUCCCGAGGCAUGUUGAGCCAACCGAUUGGCCUCUUCAUUAUACAACCAAGGAACAUGCUCUAAUCGGAAAUCCUUGAAUUCCUUCAAUAGUUGCAUACUCCUUUCGUGAUAAGUUAUCAGGACUUCGCUUCGGCAUACAUAGCUUCCAGCCAAUUGAUUUAUAACCAGCAUAGAAUCCCCGAAGAUUUCAACAACAUCAGCAUAAACUUCUCUUAGCAAUUCUAACCCCUUUAUCAAGGCUUGAUACUCAGCUUGAUUAUUUGUUGACGUGGCAACAAUCGGCAAGGAAAACUCAUACUUUCUUCCCUGAGGGGAAAUUAACACUAUGUCGAUCCCUGCCCCCGGUCACACGUGGAUCCAUCAAAGAAGAGCGUCCAAGGCACAAUUUCCAAAGUCUCCACAGUACCGCAAUGUUGAGUUACAAAAUCAGCAAUAAUCUGUCCCUUAACCGCUUUAUCCGAUUCGUAACGCAAAUCGAAUUCCGAUAGUGCCAAAAUCCACUUACCGAUCCUGCCACUCAUAAUCGGCAUAGACAGCAUAUAUCAGACCACGUCAUCUUUGCAUACGACAGUGCAUUCGGCCGAUAACAAAUAGUUUCUCAACUUAAUACAUGAGAAAUAAAGACACAAACAUAACUUUUCAAUGGCCGAAUACCUGGUCUCAGCAUCAACCAAUCUCCUGCUUAAAUAGUAAAUCACACGUUCCUUCCCUUCAAAUUUUUGAAUUAAAGCCGAACUGAUGACCAUCCCAUCGGUAGACAAAUACAACCUGAAGGCCUUUCCUUGCUGAGGUGGAAUCAGAACUCAAGGAUUUACCAAAUAAUUCUUGAUUUCAUCUAAGGCCAAUUGUUGCUCUUUCCCCCAGACGAACUCUUGAUCGGCUCUCAACUUAAGUAAAGGACUGAAAGCACGAAUUUUACCAGACAAAUUAGAUAUAAACCUCCUGAUAAAAUUUACCGUGCCAAUCAAGGAUUGGAGCUCAGUCUUGUUGGUAGGAGCAACUAUUUUGUUGAUAGCAUCAAUGGAUCUUCUACUAAUUUCAAUCCCCCUUUGUUGCACCAUGAAACCAAGGAAUUGUCCAGCCGAUACACCAAAUGCACACUUAUUGGGAUUCAUCUUUAAACCAUGCUUCCUUGUGCAUUCUAACACCUUUCGCAAAUCGGCAAGAUGCUUUGUGAAGUCUCCAGACUUAACCACCACAUCAUCAAUAUAAAUUUCCAUCAGCUUGCCGAUGAACUCAUGAAAUAUAAAAUUCAUAGCCCUCUGAUAAGUAGCACCAGCAUUUUUCAUGCCAAAGGUCAUGACUAUCCAUUCAAACAACCCAACAUGACCAGGACAUCUAAAUGCAGUCUUUGGAAUAUCCUCUUCAGCCAUGAAUAUCUGAUUGUAUCCUGCAUUGCCAUCCAUAAAGCUGAUGAUCCGAUCUCCAGCCGCAGCAUCAACUAGUAGAUCGGCAACUGGCAUUGGGUAGCCAUCCAUCGGUGUAGCUUUAUUAAGAUUUCGGAAAUCAAUGUAGACCCGAAGCUUCCCAUUUUUCUUGUAAACCGGAACAACAUUGGAAAUCCACUCGGCAUACCGACACUGCUGAGUAAAUUGAGCUUCAAUAAAUUUGGUUAUUUCAGCCUUAAUAUCAGGAAGAAUAUUAGGAUUACAUCGACGAGCUGGCUGUUGAUAGGCAACUGAUGUUCAACAAUUGAUCGGUCCAGACCAGGCAUCUCAGUAUAAUCCCAAGCAAAGCAAUCUUUAUACUCUUUUAACAAAUCAGUUAACUGCUGCUUACACUCAGAAUUUAACUUAGCACUAAUAAAAUCUUAUCACCACUACCUAUAUCUACUUCUACCAAAUCAUCGGCCGAUGUGAAUCCCUGGCCUAACUUUCCAUCAUCGGCGAACCUAUCUAUUAAAACUCUUCAUCAGAACCGACUGCUUGGAUCGGUGGAAUUUUAUAAUCGGCAACUUUGAGGAAAUCCUUCUCCCAAAUCUCUCCCGAGAUACACCUAGUUCUUUCAUAGGUAUCUGCUUCUGCCGAUGCGAUGACAUAAGAAGAGUCUCCUGGGACAAUCUCAAUCUUGUCACCUACCCAUUGGACUAAGCACUGGUGCAUUGUAGACGGGAUGCAACAAUUGGCAUGAAUCCAAUCUCUCCCUAACAGCAAGUUAUAAGCACCUUUUCCACUGAUCACGAAGAAAGUUGUCGGCAAGGUUUUACUGCCGAUGGUCAACUCGACACAUAUUGCCCCCUUAACCGGAGAUACGUUUCCCUCAAAGUCCUUUAGCAUCAUAUCGGUCUUGGUCAGAUCCUGAUCUCCUUUUCCAAGCUUCUGAUAUACAGCAUACGGCAUGAUGUUGAUAGCGGCUCCACCAUCAAUUAAUAUCUUGGUCAUCGGCUGACCAUCAACCCUUCCUUUGACAAACAAAGCUUUAAAGUGCUGCCUUUCAUUGUCAGCAGGCUUUUCAAAGAUAGCCGUCAUCAGAUCUAGAGCCAACUGAGCUAUCUGGUCGGAAGACUCCAACUCUUCAUCAUCGCUGGACGGCGCAAGGAAUUCCAUCGGCAACAUAAAUACCAUGUUAACAUCUGCCGAUGGCCCUUUCCCCUUAGGAUCUGAUUGUUGCUAAUCCCCAGAUUGGCCAGAGUUCUCGCCCUUGCUUAGCUCUUCUCGUCUUUCACACUGCAGUCUUCUCUUCUGUGUUUUAGUCAACCCCUCUGCACACCAUGGGGGAAGUGGUGACUGCCUAGCCGAUGGACGAUGAUGCUCCCUUGACUCCAUCCGAUAAGUGUUAGCGUCCCUGCAAAAUAUGAACUCAUCGGAAACCCGUGCAUUAGCCAUCUCCUCAAGCUCUUCCUGAUUCCUGGGAAAAUAUUCAACUCGAUCACCAAGCCUAUCAUGCACACUGAGUCUGCCCCCCAGCCGAUCAUGAACGGGCGCUCUCCCACUAAUCGGCCCAUUAAAUCGCCGAUCAUCAUUGUGAUAGCGCCGAUCGGAUCGGUCAUACUGAUCAUAACCAUUGCACUCAGGGCAAUCUCUAACAGUAGGCAACUUGAUGUUCUACUCCCAACAAUGGAUAAAGAAUGGGCAAUUCCAGUGAUCCUUGUGCCGAUUCCACUCCUGUCGGCGUCUUUCUUCUUCCCAAUGAUAGUCUUCUUGCUGGCGCCGAUACCGAUCCUCACGCUGCUGCCAAAUUUCCUGAGGCCUUCUAUGAGUUAUCACAAUACCAGAUCGGGGAGGCCUUCCCAAAUUAGUUCCCUCCUGGAUCAAGCCUUUUCUUUUUGCAUCAGCAGUAGUGAUCUGAUGCUGAGGAUCCACCGAUGCACUUCUUUCAGCUGCUUCCGAUGUCAAGACCUUGGCCUUUCCCUUAGCAUCCAGCAUAUUUGUUGGGAAAGGAUGUUGAUCAAUCUUCAUCAGCUUCUGAGUUUUGGAGCUAUCAAAUUUGAUCCUCCCAGAUUCUAUAGCCGAUUGCAGCUGUUGCCUAAAAACUUUGCACUCAUUGGUGCUGUGAGAGGUUGCAUUAUACCACUUGUAGUAUUUCAUCUUCUUAAACUCUUCAGCCAAUGGAAUCACAUGAUUGGGUGACAACUUGAUCUGGCCUUCCUGAAGUAGAAAGACAAAUAUCCUAUCGGCUUUGGUGAUGUCAAAUGCGAACUUCUCUGGCUCUUUAUGCCCAAAAGGGCAAGACACCGGCUUCUUAUUCUUUACCCAUUUUGCCAAGCCGAUGACUGGCUCUUCGUCAGAAUCUGAGCUUGCUGCCUCAUCAAUAAAUGACACCUUUUUGUUUCAAGCUCUAUUGGGUUCAAAGGGUUUGAUAUCCUGGUCGGAAGUCCUCUGGACCAAGUGGUUCAGGCUCUCGAACUCUUGAGAAGCAUAUUUGUCCCUGAUAUGUGGCAACAAACCCUGGAAAGCCAAAUCGGCUAGCUGCCGAUCAUCCAAAACUAGACUAUAGCAUUUGUUCUUGACUUCCCGCAAUCUCUGUACAAAACUUUCAACCGAUUCACCAUUACGCUGUUUCAAUCUGACCAAAUCGGUAAUCUUCUUCUCAUGGACUCCAGAAAAGAAGUACUUGUGGAACUGCUUCUCUAGAUCGGCCCAAGUAAUCACUGAAUUAGGAGGCAAUGAUAUAAACCAAGUGAAAGCUGAUCCAGACAAAGAUGAUGAAAAUAGUCGAACUCUCAAUUCAUCCCUGUUAGCAGCUUCUCCACAUUGGAUGAUGAACCUGUUGACAUGUUCCAUGGUUGAUGUGUCAUCCUGUCCAGAAAACUUAGUGAAAUCUGGUACCUUGUACCGAUUUGGAAGUGGAAUCAAAUCAUAUGCAGGAGGAUACGGUGUCCGAUAAGAGUAAGUGUUGACUUUGGGUUUUAUCCCAAAUUGGUCUCUCAUUACUUCAGCAAUCUUAUCGGCCUAGUGAGCAUCGGCAUCUUACCGAUGGGGUGGUUGUGGAUCUGGUGCCUGCUGAUAUACUUCCAUGUGUCGUUGAGGCGCACGAUCUGCAUGGAACAUGGGGUUGAUUGUCUGACCACCAAACUGUUGACCAAGAUUCAUCGGCUAGUUGUGCAACCCUUGAUUCUGGAACCCGGGGUAGAUCUGGCCUUGUUGAAACCCUGUAGCCUGAUGAUUCUAUUGGGGCAUUUGUGGAAAGACUUGCUGCCCAGGCCAUCCACUAUUAGCAUUCAUCGGCAUAGACCCUGCCGAUGUCUCGUAAUUAGGCAUCAUCAUUGAAUUGACAUACCCUGACUGAGUCAUAAACCUCUGUUGCGUCGGCACUGAAUCUGCCGAUGCAUUAGGCAUCUGGAACAUUGGAGCAUGAGAAUUCCCAGUGUAAGGCCUUGCAGUAGUAGUUGUAGUAUACUAGGGACUCUGAUUCAUCCACAUAUUUGGAGGUGCCGAUGCCAUAGGAGCCCUGCCUCUCACAUCAGCCGUCUGAGAUACGCUAGGUGUCUUCAAUGUCAACUCUGGAGGCGUACCAUAACCCCACCAGUUAGGAGGAGGGACCGAUCUAUAGCAAGCUUGACCUGCUCAUUUGAAGUCAAUGGAUUGGUUGUCAUCGGCGUAGAUUGUGCGUUAGUGACUCCUAACGUGCUUGGAGGAACAGUAGUUUCUGUGCCCGCAGCGGCUGCUGCAGCCGAUGGAGCUGUGACCACCGGUGAUCCUGGCUGAUGAUGAGAAGGGCCCACAUAAUUCGGUGGCAAUUGUCCUUCUUUGAAAUUUCUAACCAUGGCAUUGAAAACCGUAUUGGACAGCACACCAGCUUGAUUGAUCAAGGCACGGUUAACAGCACCAUCAACCAUGUCUUGAAGUUUACUAGGAUUGGCUUCAAAAGUAACCUGCCGAGGUGCCGGCUGUGCUUCUUUCUGGAUCACCUCGCCACUCCUAUUGAUGCUGAAAGACUUCAAACAUCGCUGCUUGUAGUCCUCCAUGGCUUUUGCAAUAGCUUUCUUUUGCUCAUUUGUGAGAUUGGCUUCUGUCACGGGGAUGACGUUCUCCAAGUCGAACUCGGUAGUCGACAUGUUGAUCUUGAUCUUGAAUCUUGUCCCACUGGGCGUGCCAAAAGAUGUGUUGAUGCAAAAGUGGAUCUGCAAACACAAAGGGCUAAUACCCGAUUUGAAACGUUAAGGCGUGCCAGCCGAUUUGACCUUACUAUCGGCAAAGGUGAUAACUCAAAUACUUUGGUCGCGACAACAGCGAUGCGCCCGGAUGUCACGGCCAAGAGGUAUUCACACGGAACUCGAGAAUAUGCCGAGCUUAAGUCGACGAACUCCUAAGAACUCGUAAUAAAAAGGAAAAUAUGAUGAAGUCGUCGAAAAAAGUAGAUGCUGGAAUAUGAGUAAAAACUUGUGUUUGAUUGAUUGAUAGAUGUCUCAUUACAAGGCCCUAGGGUCUACAUUUAUACCCUGCUCGAAGAGCUACAAUCAGACAUGACUAGGACUCGAAUUCCAAAUUAAACAGAAUCCGUAUACAAAAUGAUUUAAAUAACUAAGAAAGCACAAAACUAUCCUCCCGUGACAAACUGGGACACCACCAUGGACCAAUCGGCAACCUUCAUGUUCUCCUUCUGAGUCAUCGGCAGACUCCUCAUCGUAGCCAUCGACAAAGGCUAACGCUGAUCGUCGGCAUGAACAUGUCACUACUCAUGGACUUAGUCACAUUCAGCUGUCCCUUCAUCGGCAACCACCUUCAUCGGCAACUCCCCUGCAGACCAGUUACUGUUGCCCUACCUUGCCGAUCUAUACUCUACCAAUCCUGGGUACGUGUCCAAAAAUGGUGUCAACACUAGUCUUCAAUCUCAUUCCCUUGCUGGGCUACCAGGGAACCCCCUAGUGCCAUCAUCGUUCCCUUAUUCCCCAUAUGAACUAUGGUUCACUACAUAUACAUAAAGGAUGAAACAUAUAUUAAUACAGUAUAAAUAAAGAAGAUGCAAUCUCAAGCUCAUGAAGAGGAUGAAACUUAUAUUACAACAGUUUAUAUAAUUAUGUAGACAUGCGGUCAAACAGGUUACACAAACAAAAUAAGUACUCAUAUAAUACACUUAAACAAAGAAAUAGUUGUCCUCGGGAUCGCCAACAUUUGAAGCUGGUGCAAUGACUCCAUCAUCAUUGUAUGUUUCAUCAUCGUCGUCGUCCUCUGCAUCAAGAAUUGUUGCUUGAUCUGGUUCAGGAACACAUUGGGCAAUCGCAAAUCUAAUAGCACUUGCAUGUCCACUAGAGCCUUCCACUCUUGGUCUCCUCCAACUAGACACAUCCAUACAUUGGCGUACGUCGUCACACAUGUCUUGCACACCCACUUCGAGCAAAGAUAUAUCCAUGUCACUAUCAUCUAUUGUACUUGAUUCUAGCAUGGCAAACAAAUUUCUAGGCUUCAUUGCGAUAACAGAACACCAAUGAGGCUUGUCUGGUAUGUCAGCGUACAAAACUAGUUCAGCUUGUGUUGCCAAAAUGUAGGGGUCACCAGAAUAUCGAUGUUGACGGUCCUUAAGUACCAAAUUUAAUUAUCAAAUAAACAAAGAAAAGGAUCCAAAUGCAACCAACACCCAGACUUAGGGUUUUAUCUGACAGAAUUCCACGAGUUUUGGUGUUUGUCUAUUUCUGCAGGGGGUUAUCAGGAAAUAUGGAGGAAAGGCCCACACGUCAGGUUUACAUAGAGAUAUUAACGUGCCGCGCAAUUUUCUAUCAUCUAGAAGACUCGAGAAGCCACGGGAACGAACGGGAAGCCGAGUGGGCUCGGGGACAGGGUGCCCGCCCUACUUUUUCCACCAAUCACAUUCUACUUUGUGGAUUAUGCUCCACUGACCUAAAGGAUCAAGGAGAACCGUUCAAUCAAUGUCAGUUUGAUCCAACGGCCUAGAUUCACUUGAGGGGACUAUAUAAGCAGGCCCCCUGGCCCCUGGUGGAGGCACCCCUUGAUCCCUAUUCAUUAUUCAUAGACAGAGCAAAAGCUAGGGUUUUGAGAUGAGAGCUCUCCUCUCUUCUCUAAACUAGAGUAGAUCUAGAUAGUAGCGAGAUGGAGAGCGAGGGAGGAUUGGAGGAGAGGCCGGCCUGUCGGUUCUUCCUCCGGUUGUACUUCGCCAUGAUCAAGCACUAAUCAAGCUUGCUCAAGGGAUGACUCUGGUAAUCUACUUCUAAUUUCAUUAUGCAAUUACUAUCCAUGUAUGUUCUGGUUCACAACUCUUUUGAGUACUUUAAUCUAUAGGACGCUAUAGGUGAGAGUUGUAGUUUAGGUGUAAGCCUGGUGCUUAGACCUAGAUUACUUGUGGAUAUCCCCUGUCUAGCCGGAUCGUGUGGUAGGCCACGUAGGUGACAGUUACGUUGGUCCACUGUAGUCCACCUCAUGUUAGCAGGACUGGUAGGGUUUAUCGGCCUAUGGAUAAGCAUCCUUUGUGGUGUAUUCUUAUCACGUGGUUCGUCCCAGACAUAGACAUACCCCUUUGAAGUUGAGAAACCAUAGUUAUCCUCUCUAUUCUCCUACCAUCGCCCAUAUAUUAUAUUGCUCUACUCUCUAUUCCUAUAUUAUCACCCAUUGUUAUCUUACCUUUAUUAUUGUUCUUAUUCAAUUCAACCAUCUUUCCUAUUUACACCUACCUAUCUAUCUAGGUUAAGUUAGAGCGUAGAUCAGUUCUCCCGUUGGAUACGAUAAAACCUUUAACCGGGUAAAAGCUACAACGGUAUCCGUACGCUUGCGGAUUUAUCUGUGUGCGUAUAAAUACCAUAGUACACUCUAGUGCCAUGAUGGGGAUGACAACCUAGUAUUCAAGUGGUGUUAGCAAGUGUCAACAAGCAUUUUUGGCGCCAUUGCCGGGGAAACGGUUGCUGAGUUGACUACGAACUAGCUUAAUCAUUUUCUAAAAAAAAUAUUUCCUUUUAUCCUUUGCCUCAUCUCUGCUAUUCUUUCUUCUUAUCUAAUCCUUAAUUUCUGGUCUAUCAUGAAUGCAAACAUGUCUAUCUAUCAGUUUCAUAGACCUACGGGCACACAUCUCGAACCACCAAAAUCUUCAAAGCCUAUCAUAGUAUCUAGUUUUGAGAUAGACCCCGAAUACAUAGAAUUUGUUAAAAAACAACCUUUCUCAGGAGAAGGUGAGGAAAACCCAUACACACACCUAAGAGAGUUUUAUCGAGUCUGUGACCUCCUUCGCAUAGAAGGCAUGUCCGAUGAGACCCUUAAAUGGAAGCUCUUUCCGUUCUCUUUAACAGGAAAAGCUAGACAUUGGUGCAAACUCAAAGUAGGGAGUGUUCAUGGAGAUUGGAAGGAGUUAUAUAAUAGUUUUCUUUUAAAAUAUUUUCCAAUCUCCAAAGUGGCGGAACUUCAGCAUGAGAUUAUUUCUUUUAGACAACUGGAAGAAGAAUCUCUUGGCAAAUCAUGGGACUGCUUUAUUAACCUUACUCUCACUGGCCCAAAGCUUUCUAUUCUAGGAGAAGUUCUUCUAAUUCACUUUUUUGAGGGCCUUAGUAGGGAAAAUAAGCAAACCUUGAAUACAGCCUCUAGAGGAUCCUUCUAUCACCUACGUGCUAUUGAAGCUAGGGAUUUAAUUGAUUCAUUGAGUGGAAAGUUUCCUAGCAUUUAUAUCCCUGAGAAAGAGAAAGAACUAGUUCCUAGACAAGAAAAGGAAGUUUCGAUACACAUAUCACAAACACUUCAAUCCCAAACUUUAGCUAUCGAUCCUAAACCAUCAAUACCCCAAAAUUCUCCAAGAGAGGAAGGAAUUCUGACCUUAAAUCUUUCAGAUGCUGAUGGUUUAGACUUCUGGUUCCAUAAGAGACCUUCAAGUAGGGAUAAUUCAAAUCCUUGCAAUAAUGGUUCUUUUAGAGAAUGUCCUGGUUCCUGUUAUGAAGAAGUCGAGGAGAGCUAAACCAUAUCAAGUGAAGGAGAGCUAAACCAUAUAGAAGAUUCCAUCUGCUCCCCUUCCAUGUUCACAAAUUCUAAAUCCAUCCUUGACCUUGGAGACCUCUCUUAUCCCUCUCCUUUUAAGUCUCAUGAUGAUCCUAACAAUCCAUCAAGACGAUCAAACCAUAGGAGUCAUAAAGACCAUGAGGAUGACAUGUCAAGUAAUGUCAUAGAAGGAAAGCUAAGCCAUAUAGAAAAUUCUAACACCUCCCCUUUCCUGAUCACAAGUUCUAAAUGGCUAGGAUGUGUAGAAUGGAUGGAUAAGGAAGAAGCCUUAAUGGAUUCUGACUUUGGCUCAAUUUCAAAUGGUGAGUUCUUGAAUCCCUUUGAAGAUGAGAUUCAUCCAACUACAGAAGAGGACAUAGGUGAGACCAAUCCAGGAGAAACUCUGAACAUUCAGAUGGAGACGAAGAUAACAUUAAUGAGCUUGGAAUUUAUUUCAUAGCCACUUCAUUUACUCCAUGCUCAUAUGCAACAUCUUCCCAAUCUAUUGGUCUCUCCAACAUCACCACAUUUGAGAUCUCCAUCCCCCUCUUCCUUUAUAUUCAUAAAAACUUUAAAAGGGCGGUUGUCGAUGCAUAUGUCUAUAAUAAAUAUUGCAGAUCUCAUUGAGUUGAUCUUGAUAUAGGUCAGCGUUGGAAGGGAAACCACUUCGCCGACAUAAAUUGAUGGUUUCCCAAGGACAAGCUUAGUGUCCUAAAAUAAGCACUGAUCAGAUCGUAACAUGAGCUUUUAAUUAUUUACAACAUUACAAUGUGUAUUGAGCAUAUAAGGAUAAUUGUAAAAAUAUUCCUUCGGGUAUUCUUGUCACUAACCUUUCCAGGAUUGGAGCAAGAAGAUUGGAUCAACGACAAGCACAAGGUAUGUCCAACCAAUCAUUAUGCAAUACUGAAUUAAAUUCAUCCAAACUUGAAUUUUGCAAAAUUCAAGCUUGGGGGAGUACCUUACAUAAAAACAUCCUUUGUCAUGUUGCUAUGUUGGUUGUCCCUACCUUUGAGACAUACUCAAUUUGUUAAACGCUAAUCAUUCUAUUUUCAUCUCCACUUGAGUAGAUCUCUAUAAUGCUGUCAUGCUACCUUUGUCUAUUCACAAGUAAGUGUUGGUUUGGAAGUACUCGACAUACUUCCAUUGGCAUUUAAAUUAAGCGUGGUGCUUAGGUUAAAUAGCCUUCCUUAAUCUGAUUAGACAUUGAGUCUAGUUUGGUUACUGAACUAAAAAACUGCUUGUGUAGACAAUGGUAUAUUUUGUCAGACUAACCCUUGCAGAAAAACUUUCAAUAUCGAUUUGGGAAGUCCUUAGAUAAACUCACAUUGGAGACAAAGAAAGAGACACAUCAAGUUUAACAAUUUACACAAGAAGGACGUUGCUCAUAAGAGAUGAUCCAUGGAUGGUGCCACAAACACGAUGCACAACCGCUAAGAAAGGAAAGCUUCCACAAGGUGAUAUUGUACCAUCACUCUUCAAGUAAGGUAACAUCUUAAGGUACUUGACUAUCACUUUUAUAAGCUUCUCCUUGGUUCUGGCGUUCAUAUGAAUAAAAGAGACAAACAUGUAUGAUUUACAACUCUAGAUUAACUAACCCAAUCGAUUCAACAUGUUUAGUCCUUCCACCUUUGUGAUCCCACACUCCUAAUUAUAUUUGCUAAAAUGUUGCACACUCAAUCUUUGGAAGAUAUAUAAAAAAACAUAAAUAUAGAUAGAUUAUCUUUCUAUUAGGUUGAGAGAUCUGAUCCGACAAAUGUUUUAAAUACUACACUCAUGAUCUUAUUAUCCAUCAAAUUUGUUUUGCUCACUAUGCUUAAUGUUAGAGAAGAACAAAUACACUUUUGGUUCUGUUGGUGUUUUCCACCAACAGGGCCAUGCACUUGAUCUCUGCCUUGUCUCUAUGAGUAGGUACACUUCGAGCAAAACAUGGAGGAGUUUUACAACUCCCAGACACCACCAAGUGAAGGACCUGGAUCUACGAGUGCAAACACACUGAGCAAGAUACUGGCAACGCCGCACUUCGAACUACUAGGCAAACGAAGAACAUGGGUGACACCGUAUCAAGAGGUGUAGAUGUUAAGGUCCACACCUGAAUCAAACGACGCACCUGAAGAAUGAACACGGUGAGAAGUCUUGUUAAGAAGACUUAAAACAUUGAACCCUUGCCGAAAGGUAAAAUCGGUAGUUAUCCAUAUUUUUCCUUUCUGCAUUCCCUUUUCCCUUAAAUUAUUUACUUUCCUUAAAUGGCUUGUUAGUUAAUCAUGCUAUCUUGAAAAGAAAAAAAAAAUGUUAAAAAUUGUAAGCUCCAUGUGAGUAUGCUCGUAGCAUAAAACCCAUAAGUACAUUCACUGUGGUGGCGUAAAAAUAAAACAAAUAUAUUCCUGUCCUAUAGAAAUGAAAAUAUAAAAAUAAAAUUAUGAUCCUACCAAAGAGAGUAAUAUUUAUUAGAGGAAGCUCAACAUGAUAAAGGCAAAGAGAUUUUAUGCUAACACUUAAUCAGUUUCACAAAGCUUUGUUGUCUAUUUGAGCUCCACAGAAUUCAAGGGUCAAAGAAGAAUGGCAGACCGAGGACAUCCUAAUCGCAGUUAGGGUGCUGCCGACAUUCAAAUACACCUCCACCACCUGCUAGCUACAUCAGAAGAAAUUACGUCAAAAUCCAGCUUGGGGGAGAGCACCCCCAUUUAUCCAGCUAAGUGUUUCUACUCGCGUUUAUACUUUACACAAAUAAUAAAAAGAUGCAUAAUCAUAAAAAACCAUAUAAAGAUUUUAUGCUUAUAUAUAUAUAUCUUUUCUUAGUUUGCUAAAUAAAUAAAUAAAUAUAUAAAGUUUGCUAUGAACCCUCAUAAUAAGCUCUCACAUGGAAAUGAUGAAUAGUUGCUCUGCCAUGACUAGUUCUCAAAAUUGAAUUCUCUCUCAAGUUUAGGCAUGACUGUUAUGAAUUAAGAUUUGCUCUAAGCCUAAACUUGUGGGAAGAGUACUUCAUCUAAAGUCUAAGUUGUUAACAUAUAUGAUAUGGGAAGGUUGAGCUGCUGUUUAUCUGUUCCUAGAGAUGCUAGAAUUCUAGAGAAUUUUAUCUUUGAAAAUCUUUAAAAUGUUGCAUGAUGAGUUCCUGUAUGAUGAAAGUUUAAAAUCGUACCACAUCCAUAUGUACAUGCUUAUUAGACUAUGAACCAUACAUUUACUUUUUACUACUUAUGAGCAUUGAGCGUGGUCAAGCUGUGUAGACCCUUAGGAACUUGUCAUGCGGUUAAAAUCAAGAUUCACUUGCACAUUCACUCAUACAUGCUACUUCUACUCCGGAAGUACGCAUCCACAUACAUCCACUCCUUUCCUUCUCCAGAUUCACGCAAAAUUAUUCUACUCCUAUCCAGGAGAGAAUAACCAAAAACAUUCUCCUAUCCCUGUUAUUCCCAAUGAAAUAAAUGCUCGAGAUAUUUUGGUUACUACCACUUGCUACAUUAUUCCAGGAGGGUGAGUGCUCUGAAAAAAAGUGAAAACGAGGAAUUAAAAAGGGGCAAGUGCCCGGAACCUCGAAAAAAAGAAAAAGUGAGACGAGAGGUAAAAAUGGACAAGUAUCCGACAGUAGAUUUAGGGGUACAAGAUACCCACCUGAGAGGAAUGAAAAAAAAUAAAAAUAUAGAGCAUCCCAUUGUCCACAAAAAGUUUCAAAAGUGCAAGAAAGGUAUGUAUCCCUUCAAAAGAGCAAAAGUAGAAUUAGACUUUGACCAUUGUUUUCACCAUCAUCACCAUACACCAUUCAUUCGCCACACAUGCACAUCUUGAUUUGACUUAUUGACUUGUUUCUCUGGAUCCAUGGUUUGACUAUGCAAUAAAUGUCUUGUAAGUAUGUAUGCUUUAUCUCCCACCUAUGAGCUCCAGAUAUCGAAACCUUAUUAGAGUAGGGUGAGACAGAAGGCAAUGUCACUAUGCCUCAUACAAAAAUACCAUAUACUUUGAGAGAAGGCAUACACCAUUACUGCCUUGGUAAGGAUCCAGAAAUACCACAAAAGAGAGACUACAGAGAGUCAUACAAGGAAUCUCUGAGUUUUAUUUGAAAAUCUGCAAAAACUCCAGAGCUAUAGUUGAUCAAGAACAAGUGACAUGGCGCUUGACUUGACCGUUCUAUCCUUUAAUUACUCAAGACACGUAUGACGAUUGCAAGCCCCAUGGUGAAAGGUAAAAUGAGUAAGUUUUAAGUCUUAACAGUUUACUCUAACUCAGAGAUGAGAUCUUGUUUGAACGCAUGUGUACCUUUAAGGCAUGAAACCACUGCAGAAACUCUU